rnacentral:lncRNA from 1 species
UGAGGAUACCUAUCAAGACCCCGAGAGCCUUGAAUGCGUGAAGCGUGUUAACGACAUCGCGAAGCUUAACUGGAAAGCAUUUGUGUCUGAAGAGCAUAGGGAGAUGAAGGGACACUUGAUGACAUACCCAGUUCAGAUUGGGAGAGAUGGACGAGUGAGUUCGUUGCCUGGAUACGAAUCGUUUCCUGAUGUUGGUGGUAAAAUAUUGGGAGCACCCACCAGUCUUCCGGAUGCCCUAACAACAUAACCAGUUGAAAUUGUACCUUGGGAGUCAAGGCACCAACAUAUGAUGUACAGUGUGGAUGUAGUCUUUAAAUCUAAAACUUUAAUUGUGAUGUUGUACAGUGUCAUCAGAACAUGUCUUUAUGAUUGCCAUGAAUUAUAUUCAGCAGUUCGAGAUGGUCAAUUGCUUAUUAGAAUAUUAUUGUAUGGUACUGAAACACUGUCACAUAGUAUAAUUAAUUUACUUAUGAUUUAUUACAUGUAUAAUCACCAUUUGCGUUACUAGUAAGUUCUCAUGAUUCUCUUAGAGGAAAUUGAUGAAAAAAUAACAAACAAAAAGACUUCUAACUCAUAUGUUUAGUAAAGCCAACUAUUUACAUCGCAAAACUCUUCCAUGCUACGAGCACUGGAUGGGCAUCGAAGUCGAACCCAAUUUGAUCUUGUAACACAUUUUAUAAAAGCAUCCGAAGAACAAUGAUUUAGAGUACUUGAAUCUAACGGAGGACAUGACACAGAACCGAACGCAAUGACAUUCUAGUAUUCAUAUAGCCGACCUCACUUAAUAGGAAAAUGCUUUGAUAUUGUAUUCGAAGAACAAUGAUUUGCACACCAUUUUUACCUCUCAAACACCCCUUUAUUUUUUGUCAUAUUGAUCUUUUUCAGUUAUUCGAUCCAAUGGCAGGAAAUUGAGAGGAGCGUGUAAAAGGUAAAAAGAGGUAGAGAUAGAAUCACAGUACCAGUUACAAAGGUAGCUUGUUGAAAGUUGAAUAUAACAACAUUUUUGCUGCACUCUUCCUUCAUAUGACCGCAUAGCGCAGUGGAUUAGCGCGUCUGACUUCGGAUCAGAAGGUCGUGGGUUCGACUCCCACUGUGGUCGUCUUCUUUUAUUUUUUCAAAUAUUUUUUUUUUCAUUUAUUUUACACUCCCUCCCUCCCUCCCUCUGCCUCUCUCUAGGGUUUUAGGCAUUCUCAGAAAUUCUUUUAGCCCUCUCUGUCUCUUCCUUCUUCUUCAUCUGAAAUCUUAGGUAAGAACUCGAACAUUUUCUCUUAUGGGUUUUAUUUAUUAUAUGAUGUUCUUUGCUUUUCCUCUUCAAUUCAGCUAAAAUUUCAAUUUGUUUAUUGAAUUUUACAUGGGGUAAAUUCGAAUUGGGGUCUGAAAAAAAAUGGGUAAUCAAGAAAAUGUGACUUUUGGUUGGAAAUUUAAAGUCUUUUGAUUCAUUUAUGUAUCAUUUUGAUUGCAGAGCUUCACACAUUCUGGGUAAAAAUGGCUUCAAUGGGACAACCCCCCGCCGCCGCUGCCUCUUAAGCGGCGGGAGGCUCCUGCAGUAUCAAGAGAAGAUGAUAAAAUGAUCAUUACUCCACUCGGUGCUGGCAAUGAAGUCGGCCGCUCUUGCGUGCACAUGACCUUCAAAGGGAAAACUGUCAUGGUAUGCUGCCAUUCUCACAAAUGCGUUGUUGUUUCUUUUGAGUGUUGGAUCUGGAUUUAAUCUUGUUCACUCUCCUGACUUUGUUUUUUUACUUGUUUCUUGCACUUGUGGCUGUGUGGCCGCCUUCGUAUGAAUGAUAGUUUGAUUGUGGAAUUCACCCUGCUUAUUCGGGCAUGGCUGCCUUGCCUUACUUUGAUGAGAUUGAUCCUUCCACAAUUGAUGUCCUCCUCGUAACCCAGUAUGUAUUUAUCGUUGUUUACAGUUUUUUGUUUUGUUUUAUCAAUUGAUUGAUAGUCAACUGACAUACAAAAUUUAGAGCUUUUGUUGAAAGCUGUUGCUAAAUUAUAUCAGACAUGGCACAUUGGGUUGAGAAAUUUUGUAAUUUGUUAUGUGUUUACUCUGGUUGAAACUUGAGUGCCGCUUACUAUACCUCUCUUUCGUUCUGUAUUUCUUGUUUAGAGUUAGGAGCAAUAAAUUCUAAUAGGAGAGCCGCUUACAUGGGAUCAAAUUUUUCUCUGACUAAAAAAUGGUUUUUAACAUAUAAAGUAUUAAACAUUUUUUGGGGACUAUUUCGUGCUUAUUUCCUUGGUUUUCUUAUCAGUUGAAAAGAUUGUAUCUAACUUCGGAAAAGUAGCUCAAAUACCAAAUUUACAGACCUAAAUCCUCAAUACGACUUUUUUGCAAUAAAGAGUUUCCACACCAAAAUGACCAAGGACAAACCAUAGAUAGAACAAACCAGGAUCUCAGAAAAAAGUUUUAUCAAGUUGAUUUAAUGUGCAAAACUGUCCUAAUCUUCUGGUUACAACCUAUUAGUUUGUACAGUAAAAGUUAUUACUUGCGAUUGUUCAUUCAAUUAUACUAAUAUUACGUCAUACUUUUUGUUUGCAGCUUUCACUUGGAUCAUGCUGCAUCCCUACCUUACUUUCUUGAGAAGGUUUUCACUUUUUGAAUGAUUUGUACAAUAAUUUGUAUUUAUUAUGCUCUCCACGGGACUAAUAUCUCUGUAACUUUUGAUAGACCACAUUCAAAGGCCGAGUUUUAUGACUUAUGCUACAAAGGCUAUCUACAAGUUGCUUUUGACGGAUUAUAUAAAAGUGAGCAAAGUUUCAGUUGAAGAUAUGUUGUUUGAUGAGCAAGACAUAAAUUCCUCGAUGGAUAAAAUUGAGGUUUGUUGUUCGCCCAUGACUUAUGUUUUCAUCCCGAUCUGUUUUGUCUCCAACAUAACCAACCUAUCACAGAUUUAUAUUAAAUUUGAGUUAUGUUGUUCUCGAUGAUGCAGGUUUGAACUUUGAACCAACCAAACUUCUCCAUCACUACUAGAACUAUUAGUUUAUGUCUCAUAGGGGUUGUAUGUUUAGAUGCAUUUCAGUCGGCAUUUUUUUACUUAAUUAAUAUUGCAGGUGGGGACAGGGUGGUUGGUGAUAUUAGUACUUUGAGUUGAUUAAUAUUUGUGGUCACUGAUGAACUCUCUCAGUCCUCACCGUUUUACGUCAUUAUCCAUUUAUCCUAUUCAUCACACUUAACAUGAAUACUGUUAUUGGAUCUUUAAUCAUUUAAACUCAACAAGACAUGAAUGAUAUUCUCACGAUAAUAUUAAUAUUAACAAUGCAUGAUAAUUGCAGGUUAUUGAUUUCCAUCAGACAGUAGAGAUUGAGGGCAUUCGAUUUUGGUGCUACACUGCCGGUCAUGUCCUUGGUGCUGCCAUGUUUAUGGUUGAUAUAGCUGGUGUUAGAGUUCUUUAUACUGGAGAUUAUUCACGUGAAGAAGACCGGCAUCUCCGUGCUGCUGAGACCCCAGAGUUCUCCCCUGAUGUGUGCAUUAUUGAAUCCACUUAUGGUGUCCAGCACCAUCAACCUAGGCACAUCCGUGAGAAGCGGUUCACUGAUGUUAUCCACACAACCGUCGCUCAAGGGGGUCGUGUCUUGAUUCCUGUAUUUGCACUUGGUCGUGCCCAAGAACUUCUCCUGAUCCUUGAUGAGUAUUGGUCAAACCAUCCUGAGCUCCACAAUAUUCCUAUUUAUUAUGCUUCCCCACUUGCUAAAAGAUGUUUGUCUGUAUACGAGACAUACACCCUUUCUAUGAAUGAUAGGAUCCGCAAUGCGAAGUCAAAUCCUUUCAUUUUCAAGCACAUAUCACCACUAAAGAGCAUUGAGAAUCUCAAAGAUGUAGGUCCAUCGGUGGUGAUGGCAAGCCCUGGUGGUCUUCAGAGUGGACUGUCAAGGCAGCUCUUUGAUAAAUGGUGCACUGAUAAGAAAAAUUCAUGCGUUAUUCCAGGUUAUGUGGUAGAAGGGACUCUAGCCAAAACCAUCAUCAAUGAACCAAAAGAGGUAACUAGUAUGACUGGACUCUCGGUACCUCUCAACAUGCAGGUGCAUUACAUUUCAUUCUCUGCCCACGCAGACUCUGUUCAGACUAGUGCAUUUUUGGAGGAGCUGAGGCCUCCUAACAUAAUCCUAGUUCAUGGAGAAGCUAAUGAGAUGGGAAGGCUAAAACAGAAGCUUGUGACCCAGUUUGCUGAUCGGAACACCAAAAUCCUGACCCCAAAGAAUUGUCAGUCUGUUGAAAUGUAUUUUAACUCCCAGAAAAUGGCAAAAGCUAUUGGAAGGCUUGCUGAGAAGACCCCUGAAGUUGGUGAAAGUGUCAGCGGUUUACUGGUAAAAAAAGGCUUCAGUUAUCAAAUAAUGGCUUCCGAUGAUCUUCAUGUCUUCUCACAGCUGUCCACAGCAAAUGUCACUCAACGGAUUACUAUUCCAUAUGCUAGUGGCUUCACUGUGAUAAAGCAUCGGCUUAAGCAAAUAUACGAGAGUGUAGAGUCUUCAGUGGAUGAGGAAUCUGGAGUGCCAACACUGCGAGUGCAUGAUCGGGUGACUUUGAAGCAGGAUACAGAUAAACACAUAUCACUGCAUUGGGCGUCAGAUCCUAUAAGUGACAUGGUGUCAGACUCCGUUGUUGCUCUUAUUCUGAAUAUCAAUCGAGAAGUCCCCAAGGUAGUUGUUGAAUCAGAGGAUAUAAAAACUGAGGAAGAGAAUGUGAAGAAGGCGGAAAAGGUUAUCCAUGCACUUCUUGUUUCACUCUUUGGCGACGUGAAGCCUGGAGAAAACGGGAAACUGGUGAUUAGUGUUGAUGGGAAUGUGGCGCAGCUUGAUAAACAGAGCGGGGAUGUAGAGAGUGAAAACGAAGGUCUCAAGGAAAGAGUAAAAACAGCAUUUCGUCGAAUCCAAAGUGCGGUGAAGCCAAUCCCUCUCCGUGCAACUUAGCUGCUGCAGCACUUGGGGUCUAUCUGUUUCUGCAUUUUGAAUUAACUUUUGAAUCUUGUAAGCUAUAGAGAUGAACACUGAAUACAGUUAACAGUAGUUUCUAAGCUUGUUUAUUGGGACUAACUAAACUAGCAACCGUUAAAUGCAUGCAACUGAUUUUUGUCAAUUUUGUUCGGACUAAUUUUCUCGAGUUUAUAUCUUUUCGUUUCAAAUGCUUUCGUUAAUCAUUCGUGUCUCUCGGAGAAGUUGCGGUUUUCUGUCGAUCAAUUUCUGAAGCACGGAAUGGAUGCUGUCUGUUUCAGACCGAGAAAAUUAGUUGUAUCUAUUGCUUUUGUGCAGAUGCUUUGCUUUAUUUAGACGAGAAAUUGUCACAGGCUCCAGUUUCUUGUAUUGACAUGCGCAUUUCAUUUUCUACCACCAAUCAAUACAAUCUCUCUUUCGAUGUUUACAAAAUUAACACUCUUUGAAAUAUGUCGGACGCGAUAUGUUGGAAUGUUGGAAUAGGCUUAAAUUGACCGAACAGAACUGAUUAACAAUGAUUUGAUUUGGUUUGGUUUGGUUUGGUUUGGUUUGGUUUUAAUACUAGUAUUGGUUACAUCUGAACCAAACCGUUUUAUGCUAGUUGGUUCGAUUAUAUUUUUCGUGUCAAACCGAAUCAAUUAUAUUUUGUCCUUGGUUGAAGUUGAAUGUAAUAACGCACCAUAUAUCCCCCCAAGCUUUUUGCAAAAACAAAAGAGCUAUGCAACAACCAGAAAAUUAUAAAUUCAUUUAUGUAAGGCUCCUAAGUAAUACAUGUUAAGAGUAUUUAUACACACAAAAUUACAUAACAGAGUUCCAGUAUGGUAGAGAAUAAUUGAAUUUGAACACGAACAAUAUCGUGCAUCCUCGUUGUCCAAGUCGACAAGACACCUGAAUCGUUCUCAUCUCCGAUUCCUUCAGUAUUGCGUUAACUUCCACAGACAAAUUGAGCAGAAGCCUUAGACAGUAGACUGGCAUUGAAGAAACAAAUGGACCAUACUUUCAGCUACCUCUCCUCUUUACACAAGGAUGACUCACCUAUCUCUUAAGUCUUUCGGAACACUAACAGCCAACUUUAAAAGCGAAACCCCAAGCUACGAACAAUGUUGAAGACAAGCGGAAACACAAAUUUCACCCAAAGGGGAAAUCUAAACACAUAAAAGAAUCAAAGUUUAUAGCAAUAGAUGCCGACGAAAAACUAUGGUGGCAAAAACGAAUCAAACUUAGAAAAAGAAUAAAGCUCCCAAAGCUUCAAACUAGGGUUACUCAACCUCUCAUAUCUUAACUUUCCUAAUCUCCCACCUGAUCCUCGUCCCAAAAUUUAGGGUUUCAUAAUUGCAUACCUCUUCUAUCAGGUUUCAAAUUAAGUACUGCAAACUCCGAGCCAUUAUCUCAUGCUUGGUGAGACUCCGUUGUUUCUCUUCACAGCCCUAGAUUACUUAUAUGUGCCCAAAUGAAGACGAGACUGAAGGAUUCUGAAGGCAAUCAAGAGUAUGAUCUGGAAGCUGUGAACGAUGAUAGAAGACCUGCAGCCUGGGAAGGUAGAAUGUCACCAAUUGACGACAUGGCAGCCGCUGAUCUAUCCUUGAAUAUGCCCACUUGCCCAUCUGUUAGCAUGGAUCCUAGUUUUAAGCUCUCUCCGAAUUUACUUCCAGCCUGCCAAUCAUAGCGAAUAUCAUUUUCACAACCCGGAUAUCUUAAUAUCCCAACCAAAUGGAACAGUUUCUGUAUUAAUUUCCUAUACACAGAAGGCUAGCAAAGAGAAAUCAUGUGGUGAUAUCAGAAAAACAAGAGGUAUGCUGUGUGCAAUCCAUGCUUACAGACCUGACACGCUCUUUUAUCUCAUUACUAUCCAGAAAAUUUACUUGUUAUAAUCAAACCUAAUAGUGUGAACUGAAAAUGUCUUGCGUUACAUGUUUUAACUAUGUGUCUUACUAUGCGUCCCCAAAACAUGAGAACCAGAAAUAUUCACAUUUCAAACAACAAAUGCAUCGCUAUUCCAACAUGAAACAGAAGUUUUCAGAAUGCAACUAUGGAAAUAGGAAAAACUUGUAACAAGAAAAUCUAAAGAGAUAGACAGCCUUGCCUGCAUCAAAGAAUUAAAGAUUGGCACUGCAGAAAAACUCGCGUUAUUGUCCAAAUCAAGCUUGCUAGAAAGCUCUCCAUUUGUAUAAGCCUUCCAGGGACUUCUUGAAGAAAUAUCGUCCGAAGAGGUUGGAAUGGAUGCCUUAGCUGUCCCUCUAGAAGACAAUGCUGGAGCACUGGAACACCAAGAUAAAGUCAAAGCUUAGAACCCAUUAUUGAGGAAGAUACCCAUUGGCAAUGAAUAUUUUUGGACAUAGUUAAAACUGGGAAACACUAAUAGAAACAGUCGUAUGUACCGAAUCAGCCUGUGCAACCCAAUUUAUACAGUUCAGUAUAUAGUAACACGCGUUGUGCAUACCAUAUAAUGUAGCAACUAACAAAGUAGAAAUUUCAAGAAACACUAACCUGAUUGGAAGGUAUUUGAAGCGAGGAACUGAAGAGCAUCUCAUGAUAUUGGAUUCCGAAUUAGUAGGAAGUUUUUGAACAGUAUCUGUGUACAUGCGAUUAAGUUGAACAAAGAAUCCAAAGAGGACAGCAUGGCGUUGGUAGGACUGCUUCUCAUUUUCCCAAAGAUACGGCUCAUACCUUAAAAUGAGAUAAUGUGAUAAAAUACACAAAGUCAAAAUGCCUAAAUAGUUAUACAAAAUGACUAAUAAUACAAUAAUUCAAAACCUAGUGCUACUAUAAGCACGACUUCUAUGCUAUAAUAGAAACUCACUAGAGUUGUGGUUCCACUAUAGAUGAUUCACCAGUUGAAUUAUGUUCCAUAGAAUACAUUGUCCUAAUUUCCCAUGCUUUUCUAUUUAUGAUCCAAAUCCUCAGUUUCCCUUGUGAUCAUAACGUCAUGACUAGCUACACAAGAGAUCAACUUCUCACUCCUGAAUAUUCAUUUCUCUAUGAAGACAACCACCAGAGAUAACCCUUUAAGCAAAACAAUAUGGGAGAAAGAUGCAUGAAUUGAGACACCAGUCUCAUGUCCACACUUCUGGAAGUUCAUUAUAUUUGUUUAGAUUUCUAACUUUUUAUUCACAAGAAUAAAUUAACUUACGUAAGCCAGUCUAUGGGAUCCAAUCUUUGCGAAAGACGAUUUAUCAACCCAUCAAAACGCUCUCUAAUGGCAGAUUUCACGUGGCUUUGGUCCUGCUUCCGUCUGAAAGGACUUUUUGUCUUUAGGUAUACAGAUGACUCCUCACUCGGAUUAGAAUCACCCCCAGAAAGGACAUCAACAACAAAUCUCAAAUCUAACAGAACUUGCAAAAUUCCUUUCUCGGACACUUGAGAUCCACCAGCCUCUAUUGUAGAAAGGAAGUCCCCAUAAAUACCAAUGACCUACAUUAAAGUAUUGCAAUCAAUAUUAAAGAAACAAAGAAAAAUAGUUGAGAGUAUAUAUCAAAACAAUACUGAAGAAACAAUGGGGUAAUGAACACACAAAACACACAUUUUCUGUGAAUGGCAGAGUAAACAUAAACUACUUCAUGAGGUAAUAAAGUUCAAUGCAACAAGUGACAAGAUGUAAUUUAUUAAAACUGAUACACAAGGGCACAAACAUACAAAUGCACUAGUUGAUAAAAACCAAAAUCAAUACUAAACAUCCCUGAGGUUGCAAGAUAAGAAGAUAAUCUUCAGGCUAAGCAAUAGUAAAAUCACGAAAAGGUAUACAGAAAACUGUAAUAGAAACAAAAAUCAUGUAUGAUGGCCGGCCAAUGACCUGUUGGUCUAGUAGCAUGUAAGCCCAUUCAAGCUUGAGAAACACGGAUGGAUUGGAUUUGGAAUUUGGUGUAGUCAUGCAUAUAUACUCAUUGGACAAAUGAACAAGACAUUGAUGAAUACAGAAAAUAAGAAGUCAGAUCUCAAGCUCAGCUACAUACCUUUUCCAACAAUCUUAAUGCAAACUUUUGCAGAAUUGUUUUGUCAAGAACAUGACCUCCAAUUCGAUGAACUUCUUCACAUAUACGAAAUAGAAAUGAGACUAUAUAGAGAGAAGGCAUGCAUGGGAGCCAUAUUCUCAUGUCUGAUUGGUUAUCAUCAGACUGCUCUUGCUUAACAACAGUCUCUUCCCAACCCUGCCCAAACAAUAAAAAAUAAGAAUAGGUAAUUCGUAUUCAGUCAACACUACUCAGCAGACCACAAACACCGCAGCGUAACAGAAAAUCCACUCAGUCUUAAAAAUAACAUAAGCACCAAAUAUCUUCAAAAGCAGAUGGAUGAACACCAAUUGCUCUUCAAGAAUGCUAAUAAAAUGUGCACUUAUAUGUUCAGCAGAGCCAUGGCUUUGAUUUAAAACCAAGUUUGAAUCAUACUACAUAAUUUACUUCUUCAGGACUGUUCAUUUAAACCACAACAUUCGUCCUACGUUGUAACUACUACAGACAAAAUUUUUGUGGCGAAUGUUUCUUUACCGUUCUAGACAUGCUAUAUCAAAAAGUUAUAUCUUGCAUUAGUUCUAUUUUGCAAUUAUCUCCAAUUAUAGCUACUUACGGGCUAACUGUCAUAUUAUAAUAAUCAAGAGAAGCUUACAGUAUCAAGAUUAGGUUGUUUAGACUCAAACGCUUAAACCUAUUUAGUUUCACUUAUUUCUCAGCAGGAAACAGAUGAAAUGAAGGAUCAUUUACACUUUUGUUGGCAUUCAACAACUAGUUGAUUACUAGUCACGUAAGAUUGCAGUUCGUUUCAUUUAUACUGAUUAAAAUGUAAAAACAGCGUAUAAAGAAAGAAAUAACGGAGAGCAAAGUGUGUUGAAUGCUCCUUACCCUCAGAGGUGUUGAUGAUGACAAAGCAUAAUCUUUUUGAAGAUCACGGGAAAGAAUAACUGAAAGCUCAUCGGACAACCACGACAUCCACAAACCAUGCGCUCGGAUGCGGAGAUCUUUCAUAGUUGAAUUAAGCUCUUCAAAUUUAGGGCUUGCACUUUGGCUGGCUCCAAGCAAUGCAGCAGUAGCAGAUGAAGUGUGCCUUUUAGAACCUGAGGGGCUAUCAAGAACCGGAGAAUCCGUGGGAGCUCUAGAUUGUCUUGACAUGGCUGGGAACUUAUCGAAAACUACAGAACCUGUUACGUUUACCCAAGACCUUGGAGGGCCAAGAAUGAUGGGGAUGUGUUUGGAGUGGCUCUGCAAUGCAAACAGGAGUCUCCCAAUGAAAAGUGCCCUGUCAACGGUUAUUGGCCCUUGCGUGUCUUUGCCAAUUUCCAAAUUAUCAAGCUCACUAUUCAGUUGCACCAAUAUAUUGGAUAUGGUCAGGCAACACUUAUCUUGUAGAUACGGUGCCAGAUCCUUUAACCUAAGAGCUGCCUUUGGCGAUUCUAAGAAACACAGCAAGUCAUCAAGAACAUCCUUACAGCUACUAUCCACGGCAUCCCGAAUUCCACUCACUUGAGGACCAAAAUAGAAAUUGAGACAAUUCUCUUCACAAGGCAAAGCACUAGUAGUACCUUUCUUAGCAUUAUUCGAUUUGGUUUCUACAAACCAAACUCCACCACCAGCACCAAGGAAAUCAAUGGGUUCACCAUCCUUAAUGUUCACCGCCUUCAUGAGAUCCUCGAACCUGUAUGCCACAAUCACCUUCAUCCUGGCAACAAAUGCAGGUUCGAAGAUACUGUCCCAGAGAUCUGAAUCAUCUCCGAGAACAAGUUCACUCAUUCUACUCCAUGGCAGGUCAAUGUUAGACCCGAAAACGUUCUUAAGCCACUCCAAGCUCCCUUCUAAUACCUCUUUGCUGUUCAUCGUCUCCCUAAUCAAUUUCUCAGCCGAGGCGAGCUCAUGGCCGCUGCCAAUUGCAUCGAUGAGGAACCGCCCGUUGAUCCUAUCUACCAUCUGGCCUCCGCAGUCGUUAAGCCAAGAGCAACAAGCAUUGGCAAUGUAAUUCUUGUCCAGCAUUCCCAUGGCGGACUCGAGCUUCUCCCGAAACGAAUUCCAAAGCUUGACCUCCUCAUCUGGAUUGGGAAUUCCACCGAACAGUUGGGAUGCAGGAGGGCAACCCAACACCACCUUGUAGAACAACGGCAUGUCGUUCAACACCCGCAAGAAGAGCUCCCCAACCUGCCCCACAGUCACCUGAAUCACCCUCAGAGCCUCGCACAGCACUGAAACGACGUCGGAGCACUGAGCAUCGGGACGACAAGCGUUGAGUAUCCCGGAAACCCACGACUUGCGACUGUCGAGGAAGAGGGAGAGGACGUGCUCGGGCCGGAGGUCGUCGAUCAAAGCGACGGCGGCCAAGGCGUCGGCGUAGGAGGAGAUGGGCAAUCGGAGCUCUCGAUCGAAGAGGCGGUCGCGGGCGCGCUGAGAGAUCUGGGACUUGAAGCUGUCGACGAUCUGCCACUGGUGCUGGAGGAGAGGGAAGUUGGAGAGGAAGCACACCUGACCGGGGAGGGCGAGGAUGGAGUGCACGUGGCUGGCGCGGACGUAGCGCGCGGCGGACUCGAGAAACAUGGACUCGUCGAGGCAGCCCCAGAUGUUCUCGGGAGUGUCAACGAGGUACUUGACUCGGCAGGCAAUGCCAUAGAUGCGGUGGCGGGUCGGGUCGUGGCGGGAGGGAUCGGGAGGGGAGGCGGAGGAGGCGGAGGAGAGGGAAUUGAUGGAGGUGUGGACGGAAGAGAGGUUUUGGGAGAUGGAGUGGGAGGAGCGCUUCAUGAGGACGAUGGAAUCGGCGGAGUCGAUGAGAUCGCGGUAGCGUGUGCCGACGAGUUGGCGGAGCUCCUCCUUCUUGGACUGGAUCUGGGUGCGGGUGGUGGACUCGACGGCGCGGAUCUCGGAAAUGGGUUUGGAGCGGAAGAGGGAUUCGGCAUCUCGGGAAGCGGCGGCUGCAGUGGCGAAGGAAGUGGUGGCGGCGCUGCUGAGGGCAUCGCCGGAAUUAACUCUCAUUGCUUUGGCGGUUGUGGAUGGCCAACUGAAAGUGUGGGGACGGGUUGCGAUUGUAACUGCAAUUUUUUCUUCUCCGCUUCUGGUUUUUGAGUUUUAGAGACUCGCGCGAGAGAACACCGAUCACUCUUCGAUAAGGAUCCGACUGAUUGAUCCAGAUCCGAUGAUUCGAAUAGCAUCCAAAUCCGUUGAUCCGAAUAACAUUCAAAUCCUUUAAUCUUAUUAUAAAUAAAAUCCGAUUCGAAUUCCACCCGUUUACCGGUAGUAGUAGUUGUAUUCUCUUGCAUUAUUUAAAUCUGAACCGUCCAAGAGAAAUCGUACCUGUAGUCUUACGAGUAUUUCAGAUUACGCGUAUGUUGGAUGCAUGAGGGCAAUUCCACCCCUAAAAAAAAAGGGUUAGCAAUAAACCCCAAUAAAGAGUAAUAGGCCAAAGCAUCUCCACCCAAAAAAAAUUUGGCACCCAGUCCAUUUAAAAUAUUAUUAAUUUUUUUAUAAAAUAAUAAAUAAAUAAAAAUUGUUUUAAUUUCGGAUAAGAUUUUUAAUCAAUCUCAUCACGUCACGUGUCAUUAGCCGAACAUACUAUUUUGUGAAUAGAUUUCCAUUAAGAUUUUCAACUAAUCCUGACACGCCACAUAUCACUUUCUGUUUACAAUAAUUUAGCCAAGAUUUCGAUAAGAUUUUUAACCAAUAUUGUGACGCCACGUGUCAUUAUCCGAACGUACUAUUUUGUGGAUAGAUUUCUGAUAAGAUUUUCAACCAAUCUCGCCGCGCCACGUGUCACUUCCUGUUUACAAUAAUUUAGCUAAAAUUUCGAUAAGAUUUUCAACUAAUCACGUAGUGACAUGUGACAUUAUCCAGAACCUUAUCCUUUUUUUUUUGUACAUAUAAACCCUACAUCCCUACAUCCAUCCUCACAUCAAACUCAAUCCUUUUUUUUAGCUCAUAAUCCUUCUUCACCGUUUUCAAAUCUUAAGUUCUUACAAUGUCUUCUUCAAGGAGAGUGUAUAAACAGUUGCAGGAGCAACAGAAAAGGUUGUUGGCACAACAGGAAGAAUUGGUCAAUCUCGAGGAAGGUGGAGGUGGAGAUGAGGCUUUCACAAUGGAGGAGGAUGAGGAUGAUCACCAUAGAAGGUAGAAGACCUCACAUUCCCGCUAUGUCAUGGAAGCGGUGGGUCAGAUAGCAAAACCUAGACGUGUCACAAACAUCGAUAGAAGAAGGGAAAUACGAGGUAAAUAUCUAUUGGAAGAUUAUUUUAUUCCCAACAACGUAUUCCUUGAUCAUGUUUUUAGAAUGCAACGAAGUUUGUUCGACAAGAUCAUGAGUGAUGUUUGCAACCAUGAUCCAUACUUUGUACAAAAAGAUGAUGCUUUUCAUGUUCUAUGUCUUUUUCCUGAGUAAAAAAUUACGGCUGCCUUGCGAAUUUUGCAUAUGGAGCAUCUGCAGAUCAAGUGGAUGAGAUCGCAAGGAUGGGAAAAACAACUGUUUUGGAGUCCCUGAUGCGGUUUUGCUCUGCAAUUGAAGCCCUAUACACCAAUGAGUACCUCUAGAAACCCACGCCAAGGGACAUGGGAAGGCUUAUGAGGAAGGGUGAGAUGCGAGGCUUCCUUUGCAUGAUUGGACUUGGAAAAUAUGUCCAAGUGCGUGACAAGGAGCUUAUGGCGACAGAAAAGUAACCAAAAACAUCAUUUUGGAAGCGGUGACUUCAUUUUAUACAUGAAUUUGGCAUGCUUUUUUUGGUGUUCCAGGAGAUAAGAAUGACAUAAAUGUCUUUGCCCAAUCUCCAGUGUUCGACGAACUGCUGUAAGGAAAAUAGCCAAGAUGCACAUAUUGGGUUAAUGGUAAUAAAUAUGAGGGACCAUACUACCUUACAAAUAGCAUUUACCCAAGGUGGUCAACAUUUGUCAAAACAGUGCCACAUCCACAUAGUGAAAAAGAAAAACACUUCACAAGAUGUCAAGUGGGGUGUAGGAAGGAUGUCGAGCAUUGUUUUAGUAUCCUGCAAGCUUGUUGGGCGAUUGUCAGGGCUGCAGCUAAAAUGUUUGAUGUUGAGGCUCUUCGAUCCACCAUGAUAACUUGUAUUAUUCUCCACAACAUGAUUGUUGAAGAUGAGUAUGAUUAUGAUGUCGUUGAUGAAUACGAGCCGGAUCUGAUGAACAACUCAAGAAAACAAAUCUAUUGUGCUCAUGACCGGACCGAAGAUCCGGUGCAACACGAGCUAUUGAAACGGGAUAGACGUUACAAUGAAUUGAUCGUUCAGUGGUAUACUUCAUUGCAAGAGUCAUACUGGCACGUAAACCACCAGAAUGACUUGAUUGAGCACUAGUGGGGAUUGCACGAAGGCGAAGAUAAUUAAAAUGAGGCUUGUGAUUGAAGAAUAAAGUGUAAUUUUUUAAAGUAACCUAAUUUAGUGUGUUUUUUUUAGUUUAUAUGGUGAGGUUAUGUAAUUUUAUUUGGUGUUUUUUUAAUAGUUUAUUUGGUGAGUUUAUGUAAUCUUAUUUGAUGUGUUUAAAUAAAGUACAAAAAAUAUAUUUGAAAUUGCAUAAACUUCUAAAAAUAAAUAAGAAAUUACAUAAAAAUUAAAUAACAUAUUAAAUAAAGUACUACAAAUAAAUACGAAAUUAUACAAAGUAUGUGGAGCUAUGAUAUGUGGUGCUACGAUUUUCGUUGCUAGGAUUUCUGUAGAUAGAACCCCCUCAACUUGUUUCGGCAUCUUUUGCAUGCCUCCUUCACACGACCUUUUUUUUUUUCCGAUGUCCAAAAAUAUUUUGAAUCUGGAGACAGUCCUAUUAGAUGCUUGUUCAUAGUGUCACGAUCUGCUUGAGCCAUCAUUUCUUCUUUAAGCAUCUCAUUUUCUCGAUGAAGUGCUUCUCUAAUCAUCUCGUUCUCUCGAUUAACUAUUUCUCUGUCUCUCAACUGUCGCAUCACGGGCCUCAGUAACUGCUAUUAUUGCUGCCAUAUCAUCAAUUUUUUCCUCAUCUCUAACAUUUUCCCGCGUCAUGUUUAGUUCACCUUGGCGAGCAAGUUCCUCCGUAUAUUUAGUGUAGUCAUUUUUGGAAGAACUACAUUUUUUCUUUGAUGCCUUUUUACCUUGAGGCCUGAGGGACUGAUGAGUCGGUUGGGUCUCCGGCACUUGUUCAGGCGUGCCUUCCGUGUCUUCAAAUGUGUUGGCUUCUUGUUUAGCAGUGUUUGCGUCUGGUGAACUGUGUAGACCCAUGUCGUGCAUGACAACUUAUGGACCUGUUGCCACAAUUUUGUAUAUGGUGCAAUCUUUGACAAUUUGCCAACAUUUCCAUUUGUUGAAUGAUUUGUGUCUGGUUCUUUGCAUUGUAGAAUGCUUGUGCUUGUAAUGUCUAUAAAAAUGUGGGAUAAGAUAGUAUUAAAAAAUGCGGGUGUAACACAAAUAAAUAAAUUAAAAUAUUGAAGCAGGUGGAAUGCAUAUAAAUUACAUAAAAAUUAAAUAAAUUAAAAUAUUGAUGCAUGUGAAAUGCAUAUAAAUAAAUAAAAAUAUUGUCAUCUAAUCCGCUAAACUUGUCCCACUAUGAAGAUUAACGAAAGCAUGAGAGAUGACGUUUUUCCAACAAGUAAAGGAUGCGUUGAGUUUUUUCCAACGACCUUGAAGACCUUGACUAGUUCUGGUGUCUUUUCCAUGUACAUCGCAAAACGCUUUCGUAAUUUUACUAUACAUUUCUCGUUUAUCCAUAUCAUUACCCGUAAUUGGGUCAUGAGUAGUGUGAACCCAUUCACACAACGUUACAUCUUCAGUGAGCUUCCACGAAGUCAUUUUUUUUCUCUCAAAGUGUACAAAAUAUUGAAAUGUAGAAAGUGUAGAAAGUGUAGAAAAUAUUGAAAUGUGGUGUAAGGUGGAAGAUGAGGGUUAUGUAUUUAUAGGAAAAACAAAUUAAAUUUUUUGUAUUUAAUUUUUUUUCUUCAUAAUUUAUGACCGUUGAUAUGUGAUUGGACGGUCCAGUUUAAAAGUGAAAUUCAAAUUGUUUUUACCGUUGGAAAUCCAACGGCAUAGAGUGGGCCACGUCGCCUAGCCCGGGUGCCAUUUGAGUGCGCCUGUCAACGGGCCCCGCCUCUGAUCUCUUGUCUCCUACUCGCGCACACGCGCGCGUUAAGGCCAAGCGCCAGCGCAAAAAUGCAAAUGGGCUGGUCCCUUGGUCAGUCGAUUUUAGGCUGGCCUGGAGACUGGAUUGGGCUAGAUGCCAGUCUAUUCCAAGGGCUGGAGUGGAUUGGCUGAGUCCCAGCCUGUUUUUUCCACUGGGUGCCGGCCUCUUUUGCUUCCGGUGGAAGUGCUCUGAGCUCUUGGACAAUUCGUCUUACACGCUCUUGGACAAUUUGUCACUCGUCGCACUCGAUAAAAUUGGGGCUGGGCAAAAAAUCCCUAUUGGUCCUUAGUUGCCACUCGUCGCACUCGAUGCCUAUCAAAUAUCUGAGAAUUGAAUUCUUCCGACUCUCACUUUUCUCACUCCGUCUCUCUCAGUCGCCGGCCGUCCACUCCUCCUCCUCUCCAAUCUCUCUCACGGUCUCACCUCCACCACAACCAUCGUGACUUCGUCUUCUCUCAUGGUAAGUCAAUUUCUUGAAUUUGUUUGCAUUUUAUAAAAUUAGGGUUUUAAUUUUUAGAUUCAAAUUGGGAUUGGAAUUGAGGGUUUCUCUGAAAUUGUAAGAUUAGGGUUUUAAUUUGUCGCUGGAUUUUGUAGUUUUGAUGUAGUUAACCUCAAUCUUUAACACUAAUGUAAUUGGGAUUGGAAUUGGGGGUUUCUCUGAAAUUGGGGUUUUCUCUGAAUUUGUUUGCAUUUGAACUUGGGGGUUUCUCUGAAAUUGGGGGUCUUUAACAUUGUAAUCCUUCCGUUGUUUUACCAUCGCCAUAUUGGAUGAUACUAUCGAUUGCUUUUAUUAAUGGGAUGAAAAUGAUCCCAAUCUGUCUAGCUUCAAUUGAAAAGAACUGGUUCAAUUUGGAUUCUGUACGGGUCAUCAAACUAAAUACUAUCGAUUCGAUUCUGUGUUCUGCAUUUGUGUUCUUACUUGUUCAUCAAACGUACGGGGUGGGUGUUGGACCCUUGCUGCGUCUCGAAGGGGUAAUUGCUUUUAUUUUAUAUGAAUUGAACUUAUUAGUUAUUAAGGCAUUUAGUUUGAUGUUUGCUAUUACAUUUGGAUUUUAUUAAUGCCAUAAGGCUUUGACUUGAACUUUGAUUUUUCAUUUUGGUUUGUACUAAUGCAUUUACUUGAACUUUGUUGUUGGAUUGAAUUUUGUAUGCUCAGAUUAGUCAUGUAGCAGGCUAGCAGCAGGGAGAACUCAAUUUUUGUUGCAUCUAUAUGCUCAGAUUAGUCAGAUUAGUCUGACUUUUGCUUUUGUUAAUUUUGAUCUCCUUAAUUUUGGGAUGGAUGUUUUCACUAUAUCCAUCAUCUCAGAAGCAGGGAGACUCUGUUGGUAUGGAUAAGCUGAACAAUUUAGUCAUGUGCACUGUGCACUUUGUUAAUUUUGGGCCAAAAACUGAUUUGGGCAUUUUUUUUCACAAAAACUGAAAAACACUAAAACAGGCCUUGUUCCUUAAAGGCCCAUAACCGAACCGAACCUAUACCUAGACCUAACCGAACCGAACCUAUUAGGUUCUGUACUAAGUCGGUACAACCAUUCAUACCGUACUGAACCGUACCAAAAUUUUACUAUGGGUUCGGUUUCGGUACCAUCUCGGUACCGAACCGUGCCCAGGCCUAGAUAAAAUCGAGAUAAGAUCCUUAUAUACUUGUACCAUCCCACACCACAAUUCAUAUGUGAAGCUCCCUCCCUCUCUCUCUCUCUCUCUCUCUCUCUCUCUCUCUCUCUCGUGAUGCAGCUUCGACGAUGGAGUAUCGUCAUCGUCGCCACAGUCUUUGCAACUGUCAUCCAAGCGUUUUCCACGGCAAACUCCCUCCAAGAAGCGGAUAAAUUCACAAGGUUGCCAGGUCAACCACAAGUCAACUUCCAGCAAUAUGCAGGAUAUGUAACUGUGGAUGAAAAGCAAGAGAGAUCUCUUUUUUACUACUUUGUUGAAGCACAAACUAAUCCUGCUUCCAAGCCUCUUGUUCUUUGGCUCAAUGGAGGUGAGCUUCCAUCGAAAUCCAGUAUCAAGUAAUAUAAUCCCUACCGGAAACAUUUUACGUGUUAUUUGUUUUUGUUAUUCAUACUGUUUCAGCCAACUUAGUGACGCUUGCGUCUGCAACAUUUUAUACAUUAUUGAAUGUGUGUUACAUAGUACAAACCAAAUAAUUGAGCUUUGUGACUUUUAAUUGAAGGUCCUGGUUGUUCAUCUGUUGGAGUUGGAGCUUUCAACGAGAACGGACCUUUUCAACCAAGCAGAGACAUUUUACUCAAGAACGAUUUUAGUUGGAAUAGAGGUGAUUAAUCCAUUAAAUUACUCUUUAAGUGAUCACAAUAGUGUCACUGUAAUUGUUAAUUAGCUUCUGAUCUGGAUUAUUCACGUAAUGUUGAUACUAAUUAUGAUGGAUUUUCUCGUGUUUAAUCUUUUCAGAAGCAAAUAUGCUGUACUUGGAGUCACCUGCAGGAGUUGGCUUUUCCUACUCAGCAAACAAAUCAUUUUAUGGCUACAUGAACGACGAUAUCACAGGUUUUCAUUUCACAUGACUUUCUCAAUCCUCAUUCAACCAACAAAAUAUAACCCGAAAAUAGUAAACUUGUACAUUCUGAUCAUGUUCUGAUUCUCUUCUUUGUAGCACGAGAUAAUAUCGAGUUCCUUCAGCGCUGGUUCGACAAAUUCCCCGAGUAUAAAAAUAGGGAUUUCUUUAUCACAGGAGAGAGCUAUGCAGGUAACAUCAUUUACUUGUAAACACCAUCAUUUUCUAUCAGUAAUGACCAAUUAGAAAACUCGAAAGGUACAAACUUACGACGUGCUUCUAAAAAAUUCCAUUCUGUCACUGCCAGGCCACUAUGUUCCGCAGCUUGCACAACUCAUUAUCCAAUCAAAACUGAAGUUCAAUCUGAAAGCAAUAGCAGUAAGCAAAUGAGAAUCGAAAAAGUGAAGUAACUUUGGAGUUGGUGUUUUCGAAGAAGAUGUCACGCUUGAGCUUUUUUUGCUUGCAGAUUGGCAAUCCUCUUUUAGAAUUCAAUUCUGAUAAAAACGCACAAGCAGAGUACUGGUGGUCUCAUGGAUUAAUAUUGGAUGCGACCUUCGAAUUUGACUUCAGUCUGUAACUUUUCUGAAAUUGUUAGACAGAUAGACAUUCGUGGUGGUCCACUUAGCCCUGCUUGUGAUGCAGUAGCGAACCAAUUUGAAAGUGAAGUCCCUGACCAUUUGAUCAACCAAUAUGACGUUACUCGCAAUGUCUGUUUAUCAUCGGUCGAGGCUCAAUCUUUCCAACUGGUAAGCCUUGGUAUUUUCUCCUUUCAUUUCUUUCAAUUUCUCUAUGUUAAUAUACAAACUUCCAACUCACUGAUCACAUCUGCAGCGAAAAACAGAGAAGAUAGAUGUCUGUAUCGGAGAUGAAACAGUUACAUACUUAAACCGACCAGAUGUACAGGAGGUGCUUCAUGCCCGAGUCACAAAUUGGACAACUUGCAGCAAGUAAUCAUCUCAUCUCAUUUGAAUCACUGAUGCACAUAAACAUAGUCGGUUCCGAAGAUGAAUCAAAACAUGAAAAGAGUUCCAAUUAUAUUCCAAACUAUUCAAAGAUUGAAGAAAUGUUCCCUGUGCAGCAAUUCUUUUUUGUUUACUGUGCUUCUAACUUUGAUUAUCCUCUUUUGCAGCAGAGUUGUCAUCCAGUAUGACAUGAAAAACCUGGAAACACCGAUGCUUCCAGUUUUAGGUGACCUUGUCAAGUCUGGAAUUCGGGUUUUAAUUUACAGGUGAUGAGUCUCACCGUUGUACAAAUCAAAACUCUUGCCAUCUCUGAUAAUCUUAGUCUUUUAGAAAGUGUACUUAAAAGUACAUCUUACAUGUUUUCCACAGUGGAGAUCAAGAUUCUGCUAUUCCACUAACGAGUACACGGACACUGGUGAACGGAUUGGCAAAGGACUUGGGGCUACAAACGAACGUGCCUUACAGUGUCUGGGUUCAAGAAAAACAGGUCGGUUCGUGAAUAUAAUAACAGUGGAAAAUUCGGACUAUCUACUUGUGGUCUUAGCAGUUUUUAUCCCUUAUAAAUUUCUAACUUUUCAGGUUGCUGGAUGGACACAAGUAUACAGUGACGCUUUAUCUUACGCUACCAUAAGAGGAGCAGGCCAUGAAGCUCCAAUUUCGCAGCCAGAGAGAUCACUACUUAUGUUUGCCUCAUUUCUGAGAGGAAAGCCACUGCCAAAAGCCAUCACUAAGUACUAACUGACCAAAUUGCAGAAAUCAAGAAGAAGCAUAUAUAUUCAUUUCUUACGCGUGAACAAAUUGUGAGAAAAUCGGACAUUUGGAGGAAUGACCGGCAACAUCCGAAUAAAACUUCUCCCAUAUGUUAAAAAGAGUUUAUUUGACACUCCAGCAGAAAUCGAAAAUGUUCGUCUGAGUUAUUAACAACUUUAAGGAUGAGUCCAGUACAUGGCACCCAACUCGUCAAAUCCACUGGACUUGUGAACAAAAUGAGCAUGGUUAAUAGCCAACUUAUACAAAGCGCGUUGUAUUUCAAACCAAUAACGUACAUUUACAUCAUCUCGCUCGUUCUUACUUCUAAUGAUACGUAUAAACAUAACAUGUUUAAAUUCUUAGAUUGUUCACGGCUAAAAACAGAACCCUUUGCAGGAAAAUUUGUACGUGGUACGUUGCAUUGAGGCACGCCAUAUACUCGGUGAGGCAAGAUAUUCAAUCACCAUUGGAGAUUAAGACUCAGGCCUUUGACAGUUUCCUAAUGAAGGUUAUGCAGAUUAUGUUUAAUAGGCAACUUAUACAAAGCGCCAUGUAUUUCAAACCAAUAACAUACAUCGAUGUCCUCUCGCUAGUUCUUACUUCUUAUGAUGAUGCAUAAUAACAUAACAUGUUUAAAUUCUUAGAUUGUUCGCUGCUAAAACAGAACCCCUUGCAGGAAAAUUUGUACGUGUCACUUUGCAUUGAGGCACACCAUAUACUCGGUGAGGCAAGAUAAUCGAUCACCAUUGGAGGAUACGAUUCAGGCCUUUGACAAUUUCCCAAUGACAGUUAUGCAGAUUAUGUUUGUUUUCCUCUUUUGAGAACCCUUUAGGUUUAUUUUCCUCUUUCAAGAGAACCCUUUAGAUUUAUUUUCCUCUUUCGAGAACCCUUUAGGUUUAUUUUCCUGUGUUUCUAGCAAGACUGUAAUUUGUAGUGAAAUAAGAGAGGGAGGUGUGCAAGAUAAAUUUAUCAAGAACGAAGUAGUAUUCAUCGGAUUCUUCGAUUCCAUGACUCAAGUAGUAGUACUAGUAGUAGUAGAAUUCACCUUUUUAAUUUUAGGCUGUCGGAUCGGAUGAAUUGAAGAAAAUCAACGGACAUAAAUUAUCAAGAUUUUGUGAGAAGUAAAAUGAAGUGUGUGGAUAGCACACCCCAUAAAUAAAUUCCGAUUCGAAUUCGACCCGUUUACCCGUACUAGUAGUUGUUGGUGACACUGGACCACUAUAUGUAUUCUCUUGCAUUAUUUGAAUCUGAACCGUCCAUGAGAAAUCAUACGGCGUAUGUACCCGUAGUCUUACGAGUAUUUCAGAUAACGCGUAUGUUGGAUACAUGAGCUCCUGGACAAUUCGUCUUACACGCUCUUGGACAAUUUGUCUUACACAACUUAGCUAGCUGGUACCAGAUAAAAUCGAGAAAAAAUCUUUAUAUUGUACCAUCCCACACCACAAUUCAUAUGUGAAGCUCGCUGCCUCUCUCUCUCUCUCUCUCUCUCUCUCUCAUGAUGCAGCCUCGACGAGGGAGUGUCGUCGUCGUCGCCGUAGUCUUUGCAACUGUCAUCCAAGCGUUUUCCACGACACACUCCCUCCAAGAAGCUGAUAAAAUCACAAGGUUGCCUGGUCAACCACAGGUCAACUUCCAGCAACAUGCAGGAUAUGUAACUGUGGAUGAAAAGCAAGAGAGAUCUCUUUUUUACUACUUUGUUGAAGCACAAACUGAUCCUGCUUCAAAGCCUCUUGUUCUUUGGCUCAAUGGAGGUGAGCUUCCAUCCAAAUCCAUUUUCAAAUAUAAUCCCUACGGGAAAAAUUUCAUGCGUUGUUUGUUUUUGUUCUUACCAUUGUUCUAAAAAUCUCCGGCCUAAUGCCGUUUAGGCGCUAGACGGCUAGUCACCGUCCCGAUUAAUGCCUAGGCAUUUCAAAAAUAAGAAAUGGUGCCUAAACCUGCUGAGGCACCCUCCUAGUCCGCCCAUACUUGUCUAGGCACCUACUUAGUGGCGACUCACUUAGACAGAAAAUAGAUAACUUUCAUUUUGUAUUUUAUUUUUUUCAAUAAAUUGUAAGAGACUUGCUGAAUAGUUAAAUACACAUUAUAUGCUUGUUCCCCAUGUUUUCGUUAUGUUCCAAUACUUCAUAAUAUAUAUGUCAAUCUAUUUUGUAGUUUAUGAUGAAAUUAUAUAUAUUUUAAGUAUAAACAAACACUUAUUUACACGAAAUAUAACAGAUUUACUUAAAUCCGUCUAGUCCACCUAAGCGCCCGCCUAGACCCCGUCUAGGCGCUAGGUCCCAACCCGCCGCCCGACUAACGCCUAGCGUCUUUUAGAACCUUGGCUCUUACUGCUUCAGCCAACUUAGUGACGCCUAUUUUUGUAACAUUUUAUACAUUGAUGAAUAUGUGUUGCGUAGUACAAUUACAAACCAAAUAACUGAGCUUUGUGAGUUUAAAGUGAAGGUCCUGGUUGUUCAUCUGUUGGAGUUGGAGCUUUCAACGAGAACGGACCUUUUCAACCAAGCGGAGACAUUUUACUCAAGAACGAUUUUAGUUGGAAUAGAGGUAAUUAAUCCAUUAAAUUAGUCUUUAAGUGAUCACAAUUGUGUCACAUUCGUUCUUAAUUAGAUUCUGCUCCCGAUUAUUCACGUAACAUUGAUAGUUUGAUACUAAUUACGAAUUUUCUCCUGUUCAUAUAAUCUUUGCAGAAGCAAAUAUGCUAUACUUGGAGUCACCUGCAGGAGUAGGCUUCUCCUACUCAGCAAACAAAUCAUUCUAUGGCUUCGUGAACGACGAUAUCACAGGUUUUCGCUUCACAUGACUUCCUCAAUCCUCAUUCAACCAACAAAAUAUAACCCGAAAGUAAUAAACAUGUACAUUCUGAUCAUGUUCCGAUUCUCUUCUUUUUAGCACAACAUAAUCUCGAGUUCCUUCAGCGCUGGUUCGACGAAUUCCCCGAGUAUAGAAAUAGGGAUUUCUUUAUCACAGGAGAGAGCUAUGCAGGUAAUAUAAUUUACUUGUAAACACCAUCAUUUUCUAUAACUAAUGACCAAUUAGAAAACUCGAAAGGUACAAACUUAUGACGUGCUUCUAAAAAAUUCCAUUCUGUCACUGCCAGGCCACUAUGUUCCACAGCUUGCACAACUCAUUAUCCAAUCAAAACCGAAGUUCAAUCUGAAAGCAGUGGCAGUAAGCAAACGAGAAUUGAAAAAGUGAAGUGACUUUGGAGUUGAUGUUUUUGACUAAGAUGUCACGCGUGAGCUUUUUUUUGCUUGCAGAUUGGCAAUCCUCUUUUCGAAUUCAAUACUGAUAUCAACUCACGAGCAGAGUACUGGUGGUCUCAUGGAUUAAUAUCAGAUGCGACCUUCGAAAAUUUGACUUCAGUCUGCAACUAUUCUGAAAUUUUUAGACAGGAGGUAAUUCGUGGUGGUCCACUUAUCCCUGCUUGUGAUGCAGUAGCGAACCAAUUUGAAAGAGAAGUCCCUGAACAUUUGAUCGACCAAUAUGACGUUACUCUCGAUGUCUGUUUAUCAUCCGUUGAAGCUCAAGCUUUCCAACUGGUAAGCCUUGGUAUUUUCUCCUUUCAUUUCUUUCAAAUUCUCUACGUUAAUAUACAAACUUCCAACUCGCUGAUCACAUCUGCAGCGAAAAACAGCGAAGAUAGAUGUCUGUAUCGAAGAUGAAACAGUUUCAUACUUAAACCGACCAGAUGUACAGGAGGCGCUUCAUGCACGAGUCACAAAUUGGAUAACUUGCAGCAAGUAAUCAUCUCAUCUCAUUUGAAUCACUGAUGCACAUAAACAUAGUAGGUUCCGAAGAUGAAUCAAAACAUGAAAUGAAUUCCAAUUAUAUUCCAAACUAUUCAUAGAUUGAAGAAAUGUUCCCUGUGCAGCAAUUCUUUUUUGUUUACUGUGCUUCUAACUUUGAUUAUCCUCUUUUACAGCCGAGUUGUCAUCCAGUAUGACAUGAAAAACAAGGAAACACCGAUGCUUCCAGUUUUAGGUGAACUUGUCAAGUCUGGAAUUCGGGUUUUGAUUUACAGGUGAUGAGUCUCACCAUUGUACAAGUCAAAACUCCUGCCAUCUUUGAUAAUCUUAGUCUUUUAGAAAUUGUCCUUAAAAGUUUAUCUUACAUGUUUUCCACAGUGGAGAUCAAGAUUCUAUUAUUCCACUAAUAAGUACACGGACACUGGUGAACGGAUUGGCAAAGGACUUGGGGCUACAAACGAAUGUGCCUUACAGAGUCUGGUUUGCAGAAAAACAGGUCGGUUCGUGAAUAUAAUAUCAGUGGAAAAUUCGGACUAUCUACUUGUGGUCUUAGUAGUUUUUAUCCUUUAUAAAUUUUUAGCUUUUCAGGUUGCUGGAUGGACACAAGUAUACAGUGACGCUUUAUCAUACGCUACCAUAAGAGGAGCAGGCCAUGAAGCUCCAAUUUCGCAGCCAGAGAGAUCAUUACUUCUAUUUACUUCAUUUCUGACAGGAAUGCCAUUGCCAAAAGCCUGAAGUACUAACUGACACAAACUGCAGAAAUCAAGAAGAAACAUAUCUAUUCAUUUCUUACAAUGAAUAAUUGAGUGAACAAAUUGUAAGAAAAUCGGUAUACUCAUGAGAACAAGAAUGUCAGUUUUAAUUAGCGCUUUUUCUCCGCAUCAAUAAAGACUUCGGAGGAAUGACAGGCAACAUCCGAAUAAAACUUCUUCCAUAUGUUAAAAAGAGUAUAAGUGACACUCCAACAGAAAUCGAAAUUGUACGUCUGAGUUGUUAUCAACUUUAAGGAUGAGUCCAGUACAUGGUACCCAACUCGUCAAAUCCGCUAGACUCGUGAACAAAAUGGGCAUGGUUAAUAGCCAACUUAUACAAAGCGCAUUGUAUUUCAAACCAAUAACAUACAUCGAUGUCCUCUCGCUAGUUCUCACUUCUUAUGAUGCAUAAUAACAUAACAUGUUUAAAUUCUUAGAUUGUUCGCUGCUAAAACAGAACCCUUUGCAGGAAAAUUUGUACGUGUCACUUUGCUUUGAGGCACACCAUAUACUCGGUGAGGCAAGAUAUUCGAUCACCAUUGGAGGAUAAGACUCAGGCCUUUGAUAAUUAAAUAUGGAGAUUAUGGUUACUUUCCUCUUUCGAGAACCCUUCAGGUUUAUUUUCCUCUUUCGAGAACCCUUUAGGUUUAUUUUCCUGUGUUUCUAGCAAGACUGUAAUUUGUAGUGAAAUAAGAGAGGGAGGAGUGCAAGAUAAAUUUAUCAAGAACGACAGCAGAACCAAAAUAACCGACUUCCAACAAUGAAUUAAUUAAAUUAUAAUUACAAAGCAAUUGACAAUCUCUAAACAAAACAAUAGCAAGGCGAAUAUUGUUCAUAGCCAAACGGUAAAUCAAGAGUUAAACCAAUCAAACCAAAAAUUACUAGAAGACUAGAAGUUCGAUAACCAAGGAUUCAAGAUGGUGUCCUUAGUUAAAUCUUCUUCUGUAAUUCUGAGUUCAAAAUCCACGCACUUGGCAGCAUUGGACAUUUCACAGGCAAUGGAGGCUUCAAUUCCAUGGCUGAAGUACUAGCAGUAGAAGUAGUAUUCAUCGGAUUCUUCGAUUCCAUGACUGAAGUAGUAGUACUAGUAGUAGUAGAAUUCACCGGAUUCUUAUUAAAACCACCCCAUUGGGCCAAUUCAUAAGUAACUUUUUGGCCUAAUGCAUCGUGAAUAAAUGGAUAUACAGGGUCCUGAGAGGGGGCAUCUGCACAUCAAAAUACGCAGGGUUCAAGCAUCGCGGUGUUUUGCUUGAGCUUGAGUGAGUUCGGGUUAAAUUUUGAUUUUGUUUCACAGUAUAAUAUCUUUCCAUGGAAUCAAUCCCCAGUGUCGAUGCUUGUAUCCUGGCUUCGAGUGAAGCAAUGAGUUUAAUCAAUUCAUCUUCUGAAAGUAGGUCAAUUCGAGCAUCCUCUGUUGGGUACUUAUUCUCGGAAAUGUGCUUAUUGCCCGGUUUUUGAAGAUUAGGAUCGACAUGAUCAUCAUCAUCACCAUCACCACAUCACUGUGAUCACCGUCAUCACCGUCUGCUUCUUUCUUCAUCUUGGCCUCAUAAAAAUCAGACAAACUGAAGCUUCUCUUUAGGAAAUCGGCGGCAGCAGCAUCCUUGGAAGCCUUGUACCUGCCGAGAAUGCGAUUGAAUUCAACUGGAUCUUGCGGCCAUGUCUUGGGCUGAAUUCGACCCGUUUACCGGUACUAGUAGUUGUUGGUGACAUUGGAACACUAUCAGUAUUCUCUUACAUUAUUUGAAUUUGAACCGUCCUUGAGAAAUCGUACGGCGUAUGUACCCGUAGUUUUACGGGUAUUUCAGAGAACACAUAUUUUAGAGAAUUUUAACGGAUACAUAAUUUGUCUUCUAGAUGACUAUUCAUUCAUCACACAAAACACAUUUCAGAAAACAUCUUAACGAACACAAAACUACGCGUCUCUCGCAUUGCCAUUCACUAAGUAAAGAAAAUAUGGGUUGGAAGCAUUCCAAUUUGGAUUGACCCAAGCCUUCCACAUUUGGUAGUUCUUAGCCUUUGUGCAAAUGAUCUCCACAGUGCCAUUUUUGAUGAACUCUGUAGUCUCACAAUUCUCCAAAUUUUGGACCUUGAAGACGAUACCAAGAUGUUUCCAAAAUUUGACAUCCAUGACCUUUUCAAGCGAAGGAGAUACCAGUACCGAAUCUACAUAGAGAAUGCAUUUUUGGGGACCAAAGCUAGAGAAGCGAAAUAUAACACAGUGCUUGGUUUGAUAACGAGCUUGGACCUUUCAAGCAACAUGAUAUUUGGAGAAAUCCCUGAAGAGCUGACCAGCCUCAUUUGCUUGCAAUCGUUGAACUUAUCCAAUAAUCUUCACACAGGAAGAAUCCCUUUCAAGAUCAAUGAUAUGGGAUCAUUAGAAUCACUUGAUUGCUAUGCGAACCAACUUUCUGGUGAAAUAUCUCCAAGCAUCUUGAAUUUGAUGUUUCUCCAUUAUCUGAAUUUGUCCUAUAACAAUUUGAUAGUGCAUAUGCCAAAAAGCACUCAACUUCAAAGCUUUGAUCUGUCCAGUUAUGCUGGCAAUAAACUUUGUUGAGAUCCAUUGGAAGAUCGUUGCAGUACAAAUGAGGCCAUGCCACCAAUAGGCUCUAACUUCUAUCUGAUGAGAAACACGAAGUAGGUCAUUUACUUGUAUAUGGUGGAUUCUAUCUAAGCUUGGGGCUUGGACUUGCAUUCGGGUUUUGGAUUGUUCUUGGUUUCAUUGCCUCUAAUGUGCCAUAUAGCAGUGCAUUUUCUCGGUUCCAAUCUUGACGAAAACACGUGUUGCUAAGGCCAUUCAUUCAUUCAUUGUUUCUGUUGCUAGAAAGGCCUCGUAGCCACCAUGACGUUCAACGCAAGCUAAUAUCUUUAGGUGGUUUUUGUUAAGGUGGUGUAUUUGACGAGUAAGGUAAAUGACAUUGAAUCCAACAAGAGGAAAAAGAGAAGCAAAUAAUCAAGGGCAUAGCCAAGGCGAUAAAUUUUAUGUGUGCAGUGCUCCCAGGUUUUAUUAAGACAGAAAUAGUGUGCGCAGCGCACAAAAUUUUUUAAGAGGAAAUUUGUUAACACGCCCCGACCCUGAUAUUCCCCGAAUACCAGGAUAGACACGUGCUGGUCGACACCCGAGGGUGACGAAAGCCAUUAAUUGAUACAAAAACUAAGAAUAAGAAAUAAAUAAGGGUUAGAAAUUUGAAAUACAAUGAACUAACAAUUUAGGAACGUGUUCAGAGCAUACAACUAAACCUAAUUAGUAAAAAGAAUUAAGAUAAAAUUUAAUGAAUAAAGGAAUGGGUCAUACAUCGAGAGGAUCCGAAGAUGCUGCUGCGGAAGUGCCUUGACGCCGGGAUUAGGUGCCUUGAUUCUAAGUCCUGAAUGGGGACGCAAAACAAAGGUGAGUGGACCAAGUUUAUAUAUAUAAUAAUAAUAAAACAGUUAUCAACAUACUAACCCCCAAAGUUUAUAUAAUGAAAACUACUAGCAUAAUAAAUGAUGGAUUUAAUAAAAAUCCUAGCAUGCCAAAAAUAUCUCAAAAGCCAUAUCGCGGAAUAACAUCGCGGAAAUCAAAACAGUAAAUGUCUAUAAAUCGUCUCGUAAGCGCGGUGUACUGCUAGUAAGAUCACCGAAUAAAUAUAACUCCCGGCCCAAUGCCUGCUCCGUGGUCUCUGCGCUCGUAGCCAGAGAUUACCAACUCCCGGCCCAAUACCUGCUCCAUGUCCCUCAGCCCGUAGCUAGGGAUUAUUUCUCCCGGCCUAAAUGCCAACACCAGUUCCUCGCCCCAGGUGGCAUAGUGUCUACUAGAUACGCACAAAUAUUUACGUCUAUCAUAAAUAACCACUUCAUAGCAUAGGUUACCGAUCAUCGUCUACACUAUAAAGAGGGGUUCAAAAACAUGUUCUAGCAUCCUAUCGUUAUCUAUCAGAUAGUCUACUAGUUCAUGGUUUUAAUAGAAAAUACGAUAUAUUAAAAUAUAGCUCAAUAUAGGCUAACAAAUAAUUCCUCACCAAAACACGAGACGAUAAUCAAUAUAUUAAAUCAUCAGGCUUCACAUAAAUCAAAUCAUAAAUUCGUAGGCAUGCUAAUCAUUUAUGCAAUUACUAUAAAAUCAUGUAAUUUUAGAAAGGGUCCACUCACAAUACUUAGUUGCCAAAAGCUGCGCCACUAGCGAAGACGGAAACGUCAUAAUAAUUGCCCCUAAGCACAUAAAGAGUCCAAUAAAUAAAACUAUAUAAUAGCAAUUGAAUUUGGGAAAAGGGACAUUGAAAAUGGAUUCAGAACGUCGAAUUACCCUAAGAAGGGUCCCGGACGAAAACCCGAAAAACAACCCUAAAGUCAACGUUGACCUUCGGUCAACGGUCAAAUUAGGUCUAACAGUUUUUAGGCUUGAAAUCUGGAUUAAGGUUUAGGCUUAGGUUAAAUAGGAUUAGGAUCUAUUGGGUUUUGGGUUUUCUAAGGUUUUUGGGUUUAAAAAGGGUUUAGGGUGAAAAAUUGGUGGUUUGGGCUUAAGCCCAAACACACACACACACACACACACACGGGCUGCAAGCACACAACCCACACCCACCAAAACCGGCCCUAAGGCCUCACAAAAUAAAAGGCUGGGCUUGAGCUUUUUAACAAAAACCGGCCCAAGGCCUUUUGGGUCUUUAAAAUAAAUAACUAAAAUAAAAAGAAACGGGCUGGGAUCUAACGGGCUUAAGGCCCAAGGGGAAGGGAAAGGCCGGAUGGCCUGGGUUUGUCGAAGGAGAAGGCCGGAAAUUCGGCCGGAAAACCACCCAACUUUAAACAGCCAUAACUUUGUCACUACUUAACUAAAUCAAGCGAAAAAAACGAAAGUUGUAGCCCUCGAAGAGACGAAGAGAAUGGUACCUUACAUGACGUCUAAAUUGCCGUGGUUUGGCCGGAAAAUGCCUCGAAAGCCGUCGGACUCGCCGGAAACUGGGUAAGAUUCAAAUGAGUAUAACUUCUUCAAUACUCAACUAAAUUGAGUGAAACAAAAAGGAAAGUUGUAGUACUCGACGAGACGAAGAGAUUGAUACCUUACACGCCGACCAACUCGCCAUGGUUUGGCCGAAAAUAGCCUCGAAAGGGGCGGUGCUCGCCGGAGGUUCCUUUUCUCUGCUUUCACCAAUCUCGCUACGAUGGAAGAGAGACUAGAGCAAUGCUUGAUGAUGAUGAUGUUCUCGAGUAGAGUAGCUGCAGGUGGUUAUGGUGGUGGGCAGAGGCGAAGCCACAGUGGGGUCAAUGGGGUCGCACGACCCCUUGGAAGCCAUAGAAAUAACCUUAGAAGUCCAUUGGAGCUGCUGGUGCGACCCCUUAAAGCUGCUGGUGCGACCUCUUGGAGCUGCUGCAUUUUUCUGGGUUUCUUCUGGUUUUCGUUCGGUUUGGCGGAAGAGGAAGACGAAGACGAAGACGUUCUCUCUCUUCCUUUCACACCACGUGACCACACACUCUUCUUAUUUAAUUUUUUUUCUUAGUUUCUCUCCAAUCAAAUUUGUAUAGCUAGCAUCAAAUUGCUUGCUUUGUGUAAAAAGCCAUAGGCUGUCAGUUCGGUUCGUGUGUCAAGUUGAAGAUGUCACCAUUAAGUCUUGGUGCAGAUUGCAAAGUUCCCAUGCGUCCACAUCCACAUAUUUGACAUAAAUUAAUGGUAAUGAUGUGUGUGCCCUUUCCACAUCCACAUAUUUAACAACUUUAUUUCUCUUUAUAUUCAACAUAAAUUAAUAUGAUCUCUAAAAAAUAUUAUUAUGAACCACCAUAUUGACAUCAGAAUUUUAUGUUUAUUAUGAACCAUCCAACCCAAUUUUAUGUUUAUUUUUGGUUGUCAGGGAAAGUGAAGGCACCUUUUAGUAUGGUAACUAUCGGCGAGAGGCUGAUCACACUAUCCUACUAAGAUCCGAUGAAAUGACGAUAUGCAUGCCGUUUCUGUUAAAAAAAAAUUUCGCGCUGCGCGCGCUAUCCUUGUUGACCCCCCAAACAUUAUUUCCUGGAUCCGCCACUGGUGGUGAGUGUUCACGGUGAUAGAGAGGGAGAGAGAGAUGAGAGAGGUAUACGGGAAAGGGAAGAAGAAAAGGAAGAAAGAGAACUGAGAGAAGAGAGAGGGAGACUAGAAAACAUAAAAAUUAAACAAGGUGGGCCCCACGGGCUCACCAAUUAAGGCUUUUAAAAAAUUUUUAAUUAACAAAUGGGGUUGGGGUGUUUCAUUUGUUAAACACUUAGGGAGUUUGUCUUAUAUGUGUUCAAGUCGACAAAUGCCAAGUAAUAUGUUAUAUUUUUAUAAAACAUUUCGUCAAAUACUUAUGAGCACAGAAAGAUCCUGAUCGGACAUUUGAAGGGUCCUGGAAGGCCUUCACAUGAGUUUUUUUUUUUCAUUUUUUUUUUCAGUAUUUGGGUUCCAGGACCAACCGAGACUCUACAUGGGUCAGCCAAUGAGCAUGUUAUACUUCUAACGUAUAUUUCUAUGUCUUUGUCCACUUAACCUUGUUUUCGAGUACUUCGGAAAAUAUAUCCGCAAAGACAAAUGAAUUUGCCGUCAUUGCCACACGAGAAAACAAAACAUGGAAUUGCGUGAUGAAAAGCAAAGUUGAGGAAAAGAAUCAUCUUUGUAUAUGGUUUGAAUUGAUUACAAGAUAUGUUGCUAUCUAUGAAGAAGAAAGAAACGGCUGACCUAAAGCUCAAAACAUAAAGAGUAAAACAAUAGUAUUUAUAUACAUGACCACUGUUGAUGCACAAAAUCAGUGAAGACUUUGGAACAACGUCAAGUGUCAAGUUUGUGAGCUUCGCUUGGUUGCUCUUGUUACAUCCCGACCUGGGCUCCACCACAUCUCGGGCUCGACUACGCCGUAGCACGAUAUUGUCUGCUUUGAGCCCCGACCACACCCUCACGGUUUUGUUUCUGGGAACUCACAUGAGAACUUCCCAGUGGGUCACCCAUCGUGGGAUUGCUUUUGUGCGAACUUGCUUAACUUUAGAGUUCUGAUGGAACCGGAAACCAGUGAGCUCCCAAAAGGCCUCGUGCUAUAUGAAGGAGAUUAUUUACAUAUAAGGCAUAGAGGAUCCUCACCCCUAGGUGAUGUGGGAUCUCACAAUCCACCCCUCUUAGGGGCCCGACAUCCUCGUCGGCACACUUUUGGCCAGAGAGUGGCUCUGAUACAAAAUCGUUACAUCCUGACCCGGGCUCCACUCCGUCGUAGCAUGAUAUUGUCUGCUUUGGGCCCUGACCACGCCAUCACAGUUUUGUUUCUGGGAACUCACACGAGAACUUCCCAGUGGGUCACUUAUCAUGGGAUUGCUCUCGUGCGAACUUGCUUAACUUCGGAGUUCUGAUGGAACCUAAAACCAGUGAGCUCCCAAAAGGCCUCGUGCUAUAUGAAGGAGAUUAUUUACAUAUAAGGCAUAGAGGUUCCUCACUCCUGGGCACUUUGGGCCCCGGCCACGCCCUCACGGUUUUGUUUCUAGGAACUUACACGAGAACUUCCCAGUGGGUCACCCAUCCUGGAUUGCUCUCGCCCGAACUCGCUUAACUUCGAAGUUCCGAUGAAAUCCAAAGCCAGUGAGCUCCCAAAAGGCCUCGUGCUAUAUGAAGGGGAUUAUUUACAUAUAAGGCAUAGAUGAUCCUCACCCCUUGGCGAUGUGGGAUCUCACAGCUCCAGUCACCUAGUGAGGAUAAUAUGUAAGGUGAUAGAGAUAGGGAAGCAAAUAGAAGAUGUACAUGGUUCACCCUAAGUCUGGCUACGUCCAGGGAGUAGAUGAGUUCUCAUUAAUAGUUUACACAUACAUAAGUUUAAGCAUAGUUAUCAUCAAUGGGUUCUAAUGACUAGUUUAAGUACAAUAAUGACAUUAUGGAUUAAUUGUAGGAGAAUGGUCUUCUUUUAUAGUUGAGGAGAGUCUCCUGCUUUUGUUCGCGGUCAAGAUAGGACUCUGUGAGCUUUAUUCUGACGUUGACAUGUGUCAUGCUAUAAUCGGCAAGGGUGCCUCAACAUGAACAGUGGGUCCUUGAAGGUAUGACGUUAACCGGUGCUUGGUAGUUUCGAGAUUGGUCAAGUAUGGUACAAACAAUGCUCCCCUAAGUUCAUGAGUGAGGAAAGCUUCUCGGUUGAGGGCUUGAAAAAUCCAAGUCCUUGAGUAAUCACGAAACUUCUGAGUACCGAAAUGUAGUAGGAUAUAGUAGGGGUCCCCCAAAUUUCUAGUCGAAGAGAGUUACCGAAGAAGGUUCUUUACUUGUUGCCAAUUUGUCAAAAUAGUGACACCUUGUUUUUAUAUCACACACCUUCAUAUAUGCCUUAUCCCAAAAAUAUUUCAAGCUAGUUUGAGCUUCACAAGGGCCCAAAAUUUUUGUGCAGCCCAAAACUGCUCAUUUAUUUUGCAAGCCCAAGAAAGGGGGAGGCACAAUGCCUUUUUUUCUUUAUUAUUUAUGUUUCUGAUUAGUAGCUCCUUGUCGUUCGUCUCCCCUCCUUCGUAUUUCUCUAUUUUCUGGCAACUCCGUAUUCUCUUCUUCCCCAGCGCUCCUUCACCUUUUUGAAAAUCCCAAGACCUAACUUCCUCGUGCCCUCAUCCUCAUCUCCCCGCAUUUUCAGAAAACAAACUCAGGCCUGAGGCUAGUGCUAUAGCCUUGCUGCCGGGUUUUGAGAAGAUUUGGGUGUAGCGUUGAGUUCUGCAGCAGGUCGUGAAGCCUGAGACUCUGUGGCUGCUGAAAAUUGCAGCUUUCAUGGGUUGUAGAAGCUGUGGGUUACAGAAGCUUGAGGAGUGGGUGAAGGUUCAGAGUGAUGAAAUUGAGGUUCCACCAUAAAACCAAUUGGCAAUAUGGGGAGUAGCCCAAGACCAUAUAAGCACAUAGCAAACUUUGUCCCUCACCAAUGUGGGACAACUCUCAACACGCUCCCGCACGUGUGGCGGAUUUUCAGGCCUACACGUGGACAAAAACUAGGUGACGUGGAGCGCGUGUGGCAUUUUUAGCUUCACACGAGGACAACCCGCUCUGAUACCAUGAUGAAAUUGAGGUUCCACCAUAAAACCAAUUUGCAAUAUGUGGAGUAGCCCAAGACCAUAUAAGCACAUAGCAAACUUUGUCCCUCACCAAUGUGGGACAACUCUCAACACAGAGAAAUGGGUUGCUGCAGGAAGCUAUCUUCAUUAUAGCUAACCCCAACCUGUCAUCUUCCCAGUGCUCGAAACCCGUCAUUUUCUCUAGCCUUGAUGGUGGUGGUCCCUAAUUUGAAUUUUUCUUUUUUCUUUUUGGCUUUGAUUUGAGUUUCAAGGUAUGUCUGAGUUCUGGUCCCAAUUAGUGAGCAAGGCUUAAGGAUUCUUGCUUGUGGCCCGUGAACACGCAUUUCGAGACCAUGUCGUGUUAGCACCACCCUAAUUUUGAAUCAGCAUGUCAAAUCCUCACAGGUUUUGUAAUACCUUGAAAAAUUAAAAUAUAUAAAUUAGUUAUUUAUGUUUAUGAUUAUGUGGAGUGUAACAUCACAUCGCCCAGGGGAGUGGAUCUUGUAAGCCUUAUAUGUAUAUUCCUAUCCCUACCUAGCAUGAGGCCUUUUAGGAGCUCACUGGUUUCGGGUUCUAUCAGAACUCCGAAGUUAAGCGAGUAGCGCACGAGAGCACUCCUAUGAUGGGUGACCCAUUGGGAAGUUCUCGUGUGAGUUCCCAGAAACAAAACCGUGAGGGCGUAGUCGGGGCCCAAAGCGGACAAUAUCGUGCUACGGUGGUAGAGUGGGCCUGAGAUGUGACAUGGAGGGAAUCGAAAAUAAAUCGAAUUAGGGUUAUGAAAUUCGAAUGGGAAAAAUUGUGAAAUAUGUUUUUGAAUCAUAAUUUAUGUCGUAUAACUUUACGAUAAGUUGAAAAGAAGAAAAUGCCCUUAGUUGACCAAACAAAAUUAUACAGGCAUGUAUUUUAAUCCUUAUAUGUUUCAUUGUAUUUCUUGACAUAAUUGGAUAGAGGACUAUCCCACGAGUGUAUAGGCGAAAGCUGUUUGCCAAAUGAAGUUUUAACAAAAGAGAUAUAAGUGAUUAAAAGCAAUGGCAAAAUGGUCAUUUGACCACAAAUAUGGAAUGCUCCAAAUUUGUUGGAGAAAUAAUCAUGGCUGCCACAUGUGCGGUUAAGAUAGGAAGAAGAGAAGAGAAAUGAGGGGGAUAAGGGCUAAUGAGGGAAGAGGAAGGAGGGAAGAAACCAAUGGGAGGAGAGGAAAAUGAGAGAAUGGGAUAACACUCGAUCCUCUUGACCCGAGUGACCCGACCCGGUUCCUGGUCGGAAUUCCGAUGGUUCCACACUAAUUUUUCCCACCAAUUUCAUCGGGUCUUCACCCAGAAAUGUAUCCUCGACCUUCAUUCGUCCAAUUAUACAAAAAACUCAAGUCAAAUUGGCUCCAAUUCGUGGAAAACAAACCCGGGAGUCUGAUGGGUACGCGACGGUAAUCCGCCCAUUUCAGAAGGAUUUUCUAUCAACCAUCACCUCCCAUAGAUGUCUUUGGAGUCCAGGAACAAAGCCCAAUCAACAUUGGAGGUGGUGGAGUUGGAUUUGACUUCGAAUUAAACUACACCCAUUUUAGGGUUUUCUGGCAGAUCAAAGGAAUUUCAGAGGGUUUUUCGGCCGAAUUGGCCUUCGGCGCAGGUAUGAAAAUUACUCCCCUUCCUGAGAUCUACCUGCCUAUAAAAUUUGGUAAUUUUUGGAGUUUGAUGGAAAAAAUUAGAUUUCAGUUCGCCGGAAGCCGCCACUUGUGGCGGCGUGUGGCUAGGGGGCCGAUGCUAUCUUUUAAGCUAAUUUUGAUAUUUUGAAUCCAUAUUUGAUAUGCAUUUGGUGUGAUUCAUUUGUUUGAACCUAGUUUUGUGAUUGUUAGUUGCUUGAAUGAUUUAGAAAAUGAAUUAGAAAUGGAUUGCGAACUACGAUUGGCUUGAUCCUUCCGAAGGGUACGUAGGUAGUCUAACGAGAAGUUAGAUGCAGCCAUCAAACAAACGAGAUUAAUUAUUAGUGAGAGAUCAUCAAAGAAAGAAAUGUUAGUAAGGUUAUUACAUAAAGGGCAACUAUGACAUUUUUGGCCUACCACUAAAUGUCAAUUUUUGAAAUAAAUUGGCAGGGCGUUACAAAUGGUCUCAGAGCAAAUGAUCAUACCUUACAAUGUGAUAUAUUAUUGAUGGUUGUGGAUGUGAAUUGUGAAUUGCAUUGAUAUUGCACUAUUUCAUAAGUUCUUAGACUAAUGAAGAAUUUAUGUGAAAUGCCUAUGUUGUGAAUCACUAUGAAGUGAAUUGAAUUGAGUAGGAGCAGAAAAUUUUAAAAUAUCAUAUUUUAUGUAUAGCUUUAAGAAUGAGCGUUUGAUUUAAGUUUCGGAUUAAUCUUGAAUUGGGUUGAUAUUAUGAUGUGCAUUAUGAAAAUUUGAACUUUAAGAUGAUUGUGAAAUCGUGACAAGUAGAUGGAAAAGUCAUAUUAUACUUGUGCAAUUGAGGAAUGUUGAAUUGGGUGAAAAGGCCCAUGGAUGUUGAAUUGGGUGAAAAGGCUCAAGGAUACUGAGUUGGGCGAAAAAGGCCCAUGGAUGUUGUUUUGGACGAAAAUGCACGUGGAUGUCGAUUUAGGUGUGAUGACCCGUUGAAUGGGAGGAAUGUUUGAUUGGGAAAAAUGGGCCGUGGAUGUUUGAUUGGGCAAAGUGGCCCGUGAACAUUGAUUUAGGCGUAAUGACCUGUGAAAUGUGGAGGAAUGUUGAAAUGGGUAUAAUGACCAGGUAUAUUAUGACCCUUUCUCGACUGCUAGUCACCUGUUGGGAUAAAAAGAAAAUCGUGGUAAAACCUUUGUUUGGCCAAUCAUGAUUAUGCUUAGAAAUUCUUUAUAUUUGUAUAGCCAAUGAUAAUUAUGGAUGAAAAUUCUAAUAUUUAUGAAAGUCAUGAUGAUUUAUCGAACGGGAAUGAAAUCAUAAAUUGAGGUUAUGAUUUUAUUCACUAUAAAUGGAAUGGUGGGAUGAGUUCUAAAUUCCUUUCUGUUAUUUGAUGGUUGAAAUCUCGAGGACGAGAUUUAUUUUAAUGGGGUUCGAAUGUAAUACCCUGAAAAAUUAAAAUAUAUAAAUUAGUUAUUUAUGUUUAUGAUUAUGUGGAGGAUAGAAAAUAAAUCGAAUUAGGGUUAUGAAAUUUGAAUGGGGAAAAUUGUGAAAUCUGUUUCCAAAACUUAUCAUAAUUUAUGUCGUAUAACUUUACGAUAAGUUGAAAAGAUGAAAAUGCCCUUAGUUGACCAAAUGAAAUUAUACAAAGAUGUAUUUUAAUCCUUAUAUGUUUCGUUGUAUUUCUUGACAUAAUUGGAUGGAGGACUAUCCCACGAGUGUAUAGGCGAAAUCUGUUCGCCAAACGGAGUUUUAACGAAAGAGAUAUAAGUGAUUAAAAGCAAUGGCAAAAUGGUCAUUUAACCACAAAUCUGGAAUGCUCCAGAUUUGUUGGAGAAAUAAUAUGGUUGCCACAUGUGCGGUUGAGAUGGGAAGAAAAGAAGAGAAAGGAGGGGGAGAGGGGCCAAUGAGGGAAGAGGAAGGAGGGAGGAAACCAAUGGGAUGAAAGGAAAAUGAGAGAAGGGAGAGAAUGAGAGAAUACCAGAUCCUCUCGACCCGAGUGACCCGACCCGGUUCCUAGUCGGAAUUCCGAUGGUUCCACACUGAUUUUUCCCACCAAUUUCUUCAGAUCUUCACCUAGAAAUGUAUCCUCAACCUUCAUUCCUCCAAUUAUACAAAAACCCGAGUCAAAUUGGCUCCAAUUCGUGGAAAACGAACCCGGGAGUCUGAUGGGUGCACAACCGCGAUCCGCCCAUUUCAGAAGGAUUUUCUGUGAACCAUCACCACCCACAUGUGUCUUUGGAGUCCAGGAACAAAGCCCAAUCAAGAUUGGAGGCGGUGGAGUUGGAUUUGACGUCGAAUUGAACUACAUCCAUUUUAGGGUUUUCCGGUGGAUCGAAGGAAUUUCAGAGGGUUUUUCGGCCGAAUUGGCAUUCGGCCUAGGUAUGAAAAUUACUCCCUUCCCUGAGAUCUACUUGCCUAUGAAAUUUGGUAAUUUUUGGAGUUUGUCUGAAAAACUGGAUUUCCAUUCGCUGGAAACCGCCACUUGCGGCGGCGUAUGGUCAGAGGGCCGAUGAUGUCUUUUAAGCUAAUUUUGAUAUUCUGAAUCCAUAUUUGAUAUGAAUUUGGUGUGAUUCAUUUGUUUGAACCUAGUUUUGUGAUUGUUAGUCGCUUGAAUGAUUUAGAAAAUGAAUUAGAAAUGGAUUGUGAACUAUGAUUGGCUUGAUCCCUCCAAAGGGUACGUAGGCAGUUUAAUGAGAAGUUAGAUGCAGCCAUAAAACAAACGAGAUUAAUUAUUAGUGAGAGAUCGUCAAGGAAAGAAAUGUUAGUAUGGCUAUUAACAUAAAUGGCAAUUAUGACAUUUUUGGCCUACCAUUAAAUGUAAAUUUCUGAAAUAAAUUGGUGGGGCGUUACAGGUUUGGUUAAGAAUGGCUUCUGCAAUCUGAAGUUGUGGAAUGUGAGGUUCGAUUUAUGGGCUUCAAGGUCUGGGUUUCGGUUCAUGGUUUCAGAAGCUCGAUUUUGUGAAGGUCCGAAGGUGUAGAACCUUGUGGAGGCGUGAAAGGCAGUAGGAGGGGCAGGCUGCAGGGUUGUAGAAACUAGGUUGUGUUGGUGAUUUACAUUAAAAUGAGUGUUUAAAGUUUGAAUUUUGAAUUUUGAAGCAGCAAUUAAACCCUCACGAAUUUGGUUGAGAAAGUUUUCUGCAACUGAAAUCGUGGAAGCAAGUUUGUGAGUUGGGAUUUUGGGGCUACCAAAACUCGGAUAUGCAGGAAGCAUUAUGAGUCUGAAUUUAUGUAGGUUACAAGCUGUGGUCUUCGUAAAAUGAAGUUGUGGGAGUAGCAAAAUUAAGACGGGAAAAUUAAGGUAGGUUGAUGGUGAAUUUGAGGUUCCCUUGUUUCGAAUCCAUCGCUUCAGAGGACAGAGAUUUUUCUUGGACCCAUGUGACUGAAGGCUCUUGAUUGGUAGCUAAAUGGGUGAAAGGUUGAGGCUAUGUUCCUUGAAUUUUGCUUAAUUGCUGCCUAUGUCUAAUGUUGUACGCAUAUGUUUGUAUUCUAUUUUUUGCUGUAUAGUUUAUAUUCUGUUGAAUAUUUGUGUAUUUGAAUUUGUAUGGUCUUGAGAUUAGGGCAGUGAAGCAUGUUUUGUUGCAGGAGUUGGGACAGCUUGAAAAAUAAUUUAAUUGGACAAGAUUUACAGUUUAAAGUGUUUGGGUGAAGGUUUUUUGGUUGUAGGGUUCUUGUUGAAACUUUUUUCUUUGACACAUAGCUUGAAUAGUUGAAGCUAUUCUUAGGACACCAUAAAUUGAUCUUGCUUCACACUGUCUUGAUCAAGAGUGUGUGAAGCUCUCUACAUGUUGUAGUGUUAAAGCUUUUUGGUUAAAGCUUUUUAGUUGAAGCUUCUUGGUUGAAGCUUUUAAGUUAAAGCUUUUUGCUUAGGCAUAUAGCUUGGGUGGUUGAAAUUAGUCGUAGGACACCAUAAAUUGAUUUUGCUUCACACUGUCUUGAUCAAAAGUGUGUGAAGUUUUCUACAUGUUGUGGUGUUGAAGCUUUUUGGUUAAAGCUUUUUAGUUGUAACUUUGUAGGUGAAGUUUUUUGUUUGAAGCUUUGUAGGUGAAGCUUUUAGGUUGAAGCUUUUAUGUUGAAGCUUUUCGGUUGAAGGUUUGUAGGUGAAGCUUUUUGGUUGAAACUUUGUAGGUGAAGCUUUUAGGUUGAAGCUUGUAUGUUGAAGCUUUGUAGGUGAAACUUUUAAGUUGAAGCUGUAGGUGAAGCUUUUAGGUUGAAGCUUGUAUGUUGAAGCUUUGUAGGUGAAGUUUUUAAGUUGAAGCUUUGUAGGUGAAGCUUUUAGGUUGAAGCUUUGUAGGUGAAGCUUUUUGGUUGAAGCUUUGUAGGUAAAGCUUUGUAGGUGAAGCUUUUAGGCUGAAGUUUUUUGGUUAGGCACAUAGCUUGAAUAGUUGAAGCUAAUUGUUGGGCACCAUAAAUUGAUUUUGCUUCACACUAUCUUUAUCAAGAGUGUGUGAAGCUUUUUACAUUUGUAGUUGCCUCCUAUGUGUUGAAGCUUUGUUGGCCUUCUCCACAUGUCAUAAUUAAUUAAUUUUGGAUUUUUUUUGGGCAAAUUUUUUAUUUUUAUUUUUUUAAACUAGGGACAAGAAGAUGUAGGAGAGAUAACAUAUAUAGAUUUUGCUUCCACACUCUUGAGCAAGAAUGUGCAAGGCAAGCCACACAUUAUAGUAGUUAAAGGUUCGGAGGAACCAUAUAAAUUGAUUUUGCUUCACACAAUUUUGAUCAAGGGUGUGCGAAGUUUUCUACAAGUUGUAGUGUUUGCAUUGUUACAGAGGGGAAAUGUCUGGAGCAGAUGCAAGAGGGCUGAAGAGCUUGAUCUUUGUAUACUAUGCAUUGAAGCCUUUGUUAGCUUGUAAUAAGACUUUAUUGGUGACUAUAACCCUUGUUGGUCAUAAGUGCUUCCCCCAGUUGGGUUGAGUUAAGCUUGCUUAUCCCCUUUUUGAGCUGUAAGGCUUGAGGGUUUUUUAUUAUUUAUGAAUGCUAAGAGUUCACAUGUAUAAGUUGUACCACUCCUCACCUAGUUGGUGGGAAGAAUGGGGAGUUGUUGAGGCAAAAAUGUUUAUUAAUAGUAUUAGAUGUACUCUUCAUUGCUUGGUUAGUGAUACGAAGGUGAGUUCCUUCAUCACCUAGUUGGUGGGAAAAAUGGUGAGUUGCUGAUGCAAAACUGUUUAUUAAUAGUACUAGUUGUACUCUUCAUCGCCUGGUUGGUGAUAUGAAGGUGAGUUCCUUAUCACCUAGUUGGUGAUAAGAGUGGAAAGUUGUUGAAUGAUAUUAGAGUACGGGUUGCACCUUUUAUCACCUGGUUGGUGAUACAAAUGUGAGUUCCUUCAUCACCUGGUUGGUGAGAAUAAGAGCAAGGUGCCUAGGCACAUUGUAGCAAGUGCCGAAUGACAAAAAAUAUGUUGACACCCUUUCGAAGCUCAAUUGGCUUAUGUAUGAAUUUGUUGAAAUGUAUGAUGUUUAUGUUGAUUAACAUGAGUGAUGCUUGUGAAUGUUUUGCUAUACAUGAAGGAAUCCAUGAUUUCGAUAUGUAAAACAUGUUGGUUGUAAUAUUUAGUUUCACUUACUUUGUGUCAAAGUACGCAUGUUGAAGCUCUGAGUUAGAGUAUAGAGGUAGGUCAGCGUAGACCAAGUUUUCCAAUGUUAGGAAUGUAAACAACUCAAGCGAAGUUGUCUGACUUCCCUUUUUUUAAAUAUUUGCCGAAUGACUUGUGUUACAAAAGAUCUCAAACGGUUGAGGGUCAAAACAUUUGUAAAGUGUAUGCCUUCUUAUAAUAGCAUUUCCCUCAGCACCUAGUCCUCCCAUUUUGAAAGAGCGAGCCUUGACCCCAAGGUACGUUCACUCAUGGUUGUCAUGAUACGAACCUUUAUCCCUCUUGUUGUAAUGAGCUUGCUGAGAGUAAAAAUCUUCCCUUUUACCAAGAGAUGAAUACGUUUGGUGACUUAGUGAGUAGCUAAGUGAGGCAGAAAAGGGUGCAAUGGGUGUCUGAAUGGCCAAAACCUCCUCACUUGGUAGAACUUGACUUCCACUCCCCACUUGUUAAUAUGAGUUAACCAUAAGAGUGUUCCCUUGGUAUGUCAUUGCCUCGGCAAAGGCAUGAUUGUAAGCUUGCAUCAUCAUCUCAUAGUAAGUUUUCCAAGUGUUAGCAUUGAUCAUGUACUUGAAGAAACAUUCACGCAUGCCUACCAUGAAGGCCGUGAGUGAUGUUUUGUCAUCUGCCUCAGCGCAACGAAAGUACUCAUAAUUGAAGUGACUGGCAUAUUCAUGCAAUGACUCGUUUGAUUUCUGACGAAUGGUGUAUAGCUCAUCAUCGAAGUGUAAUCGAUCAGCUUGAAAGAUGUGUUGAGCCACGAAGAGUCUCUUUAGUUCAGCGAAUGAAUCCAUAAUAUUAGGUUAAAGACGACAAUACCAAUUGAGAGCUCCACCAGAGAAAGUUGAUGGGAAUAUGAGACAUCGUUCCUCAUCAUUGUGUCUUCGAUAUGCCAUGGUAGAUUCAAAGAGGUGGAUAUGCUCAAUCGGAUCUUCCCUCCCAGUAUAAGAUUGUAAGCCAAGCUUCUGUUUCGUUUCUCCUUGUAGAAGGGUGCCAAAGAUUCUCAUUGUCAGAGGGUCGGGCCUUGGUUGAUCCCAACCAGAGAUUUGGGCAUGACAUUCGACCUUUAGCUUGUUCACUUCUUCGAGGAAAUGCAUGAUAAAAAGGGUCACAAAUGGAGUCAGGCACCAUUAGAACUCUCAUUCACAAGUUUCCCUCAUUCCUUGGAAAUAUGGGAGUUUGGUCAAAGACAUGUGGCUUUUCCUUAGAUUCACCGUACUGGCUUCCAGGACGUGCCAUUUGGAAGUCCCCCGAGCCUCUUACACCUUCAUGUCCCUCUAAGGCAUAUUGUUCCUUUCUUGGAUUGAGUGUUGGCCUACGUUGUGGUAGAGGACCGAGCCCUUCAAUGACUCUUGGGUCUUUGAUCCUUGAGCCUAUGUGGGUAGAAUUUUCUCAACACUAUCUCAGGAAGUCUCGAUAGUCACGAUAAACAGCUAUUGAUCCUUACAUUCCCUCUGCAAGGAGGUGCCUCCUUCCACUUCUCAUGCUUUGGGUUGAAGCAGCUAGGUUGAGAGAAGUCUCACGUUGAUCAACACAUUGAUGAGUAGCUUGCUCCUCAUCAAGAAUAUCCAUGUUGAAGACCGGUGACCCCCCCCAGGUGUUGAGAGGCACCCAUGUGAUGGUUGACGUCUACAGAGGUAAUGGGCUCGUGUGAUUGAGUAUGCCUAGCCUAUUGGAGUGUCUCGAAAACCUUCCCAUACUACUUUUGGAGGAUCUCAUUAUUCAUUGCUAUCUUGUUGUUCUGAGCCUCCAGCUAUUCGAAUUUAGCUUGAAGAACAAACUUCUUUAGUUCAUUUCUUCGCUGCCUCAUACUAGGCACAAAGGGAGUGUCGUUCUCUAUGAUGUUGCUUCCUUCGUUCCCUAUGUUGGAGAGGGAUGCUUGAUCGAAUGAGAGCGUACGAACGAUGGAAACCAGCUUGAUAAAGCUGAAGAGAGUAGGAAUAAGUGUCUUCUUCCCACAGACAACGCCAAAUGUUGAUGCACAAAAUUAGUGAAGACUUUGGAGCAAUGUAGAGUGUCAAGUUUGUGACAUUUGCUCGGUUGCUCCGGUUACCUAGUGAGGAUAAUAUGUAAGAAGAUAGAGAUAGGGAAGCAAACAAAAGAUGUACGUGGUUCACCCUAAGUCUGGUUACAUCCACGGAGUAGAUGAGUUCUCAUUAAUAGUGAAGGGUUUACACAUACAUAAGUUUAAGCAUAGUUAUCAUCAAUGAGUUCUAAUGACUAGUUUAAGUACAAUAAUGACAUUAGGGAUUAAUUGUAGGAGAAUUGUCUUCUUUUAUUGUUGAGGAGAGUCUCUAGCUUUUGUCCGAGGUCUAUGUGGGACUCAGUGAGCUUUAUUUUGACGUUGACAUAUGUCGUGCUGUGAUUGGCCUCCUUGUUGGUGGGAAACUUUUGUGCUUCUGUAGGGGUGCCUCAACAUGAGCCCUUCAGUGGGUCCUUGAAGGUAUGACGUUGACCAGUGUUUGGUAGUUUCGGGAUUGGUCAAGUAUGGUACAAACAACUACAUUUGAAAACCUUAUAAGAAUAUUCUUCUUGCUCAUCCUUAUAUAUGCACAGCUGUUCAAGCCUUUUUGUCAAUGAACCGUUGAGGUGAUGCUAAAUGAGUGAUAGGUGUUUUGAUGAAUUGAACAUGUGUCUUGGCAAGGUAUAGCACCAUGGGCUUUGUUCACUAGACUAUGGUUAAUAUUCCCCCUCAAGCUAAGCUGCGGAGAUUAAGCAGUUAGCUUGGAACUAAGCAGCUUGAAACGAGCUUUGGGCAAGCUUUUCAGAAUUUUAAACUACAAGUUGAGGAAAAGAAUCAUCUUUGUAUAUGGUUUGAAUUGAUUACAAGAUAUGUUACUAUCUUUGAAGAAGAAAGAAACGGAAGACCUAAAGCUCAAAAACAUAAAGAGUAAAACAAUAGUAUUUAUAUACAUGACUACAUUUGAAACCCUAUAAGAAUAUUCUUCUUGCUCAUCCUUAUCUCUACACAGUUGUCUAAGCCUUGCUGUCAAUGUACCAUUGAGGUGAUGCUAGAUGAGUGAUGGGUGUUUUGAUCAAUUGAACAGGUAGCACCAUGGGCUUUGUUCACUAGACCAUGGUUAAUAUUGUGGACAACACAACACCAAGUCAAUCUAUUUUGUAAAACAUGUGUAUCACAUUUUUCUAGUCAUUUUCUUUGACAUUGUAAAUUUUAAAUAAAAAAACAGAGUGGGAGAAACAAGGACCCAAAUUCUUAUUUAUUUAUUGAUUCAUGAAAUGACACACAAUAUUUACUUCCACAGUACGUCAAAAAAUGUGAGUGUAAUACUAAUAUAUUGAACCAUACAAAAAUCACACUCCUUCGUUAGGGCGAAAAGUUGAAAUAUAAUACCAAUAUAUGGCAUUCAUAACUUCAAUAUACAAACUCGUGAGUGGGGUACCAACAUACUAAACUCACACUAGUGUAGUAGUCGGAGUCUUGGGAUCCCUUUUUUUUUUUCAAAAAAUGGAGAUUGGUUGUAUGGCCCACACCACAUUGAGCUUCAAUGGUCCGAACUAUCUAUUUUUCAAGUUGUACCUUACAGAUUAUCCUUACAAAAUAUUAACCAAAUUAGAAAUAUUUGAGGCAUCUAAUUGAGUUCAAAGAAAUUGACAAACACUGUGUUAUAAAAAACAUUGAAACUUUAUCAUGAUAAAUUGACAAUUAAAUAGGCAAAUGGUGUAGCAGUAUUGUUAUAUGCAUCAAACAUUGUGUUCUAAGAAAAAUUGAAAUUUCAGCAUGACAAUUAAACGGACAAACUGUCUCGGAUUGAAUUGUUUCAAGGAUGAUUUAUGAAUCAAGACUUACAAAAUAAUCAGUUUGGAUCGUUGAAGUUCGAAGCGGAGUGGGUUCCAUAGGGCCACAACUAAUCCCCAUUUUCUGAAGAAAAAAAAAAUGGAAAUCCCUUCCCUGCCCAGUGUAGCAGUAUUUUGAUAUGUAUCAAACUCAAGACAUCCGAUCCCUAUAUAUAUGCAUAACACUCGCUUAGAAUCUCAAAGUAGAGUACCUUUCUUGCAGGAGCAAGUUGAACUCAUGAACAUUUAUGAACUGGUAUCGUAACAGGUUGUCCCGCCUAACCCACGUUAGAACAAUACAAUAUAUUUAAUACGUGAGCUCUUGGACAGUUUGUCUUACACAACUUAGCCAGCUUGGUACCCGACAAAAUCGAGAUAAGAUCUUUAUAUACUUGUACCAUCCCACACCACAAUUCAUAUUUGAAGCUCUCUCUCUCUCUCUCUCUCUCUCUCUCUCUCUCAUGAUGCAGCCUCAACGAGGGAGUAUCGUCGUCGUCGCCGCAGUCUUUGCAACUGUCAUCCAAGCGUUUUCCACGGAAAACUCCCUCCAAGAAGCUGAUAAAAUCAAAAGGUUGCCAGGUCAACCACAAGUCAACUUCCAGCAAUAUGCAGGAUAUGUAACUGUGGAUGAAAAGCAAGGGAGAUCACUUUUUUACUACUUUGUUGAAGCACAAACUGAUCCUGCUUCAAAGCCUCUUGUUCUUUGGCUCAAUGGAGGUGAGCUUCCAUCCAAAUCCAAUUUCAAAUAUAAUCCCUACCGGAAAAAUUUCUUGGGUUAUUUGUUUUUGCUCUUACUGCUUCAACCAACUUAGCGACGCCUAUGUUUGUAACAUUUUAUACAUUAAUGAAUGCGUGUUGCGUAGUACAAUUACGAACCAAAUAACUGAGCUUUGUGAGUUUAAAGUGAAGGUCCUGGUUGUUCAUCUGUUGGAGGAGCUUUCAUCGCGCACGGACCUUUUCAACCAAGCAGAGACAUUUUACUCAAGAACGAUUUUAGUUGGAAUACAGGUAAUUAAUCCCUUAAAUUAUAGUUUUAAGUGAUCACAAUUGUGUCACAUUUGUUCUUAAUUAGAUUCUGCUCCCGAUUAUUCACGUAACAUUGAUACUAAUUACGAUGGAUUUUCUCCUGUUAUAUAAUAUUUGCAGAAGCAAAUAUGCUAUACUUGGAGUCACCUGCAGGGGUAGGCUUCUCCUACUCAGCAAACAAAUCAUUCUAUGGCUUCGUGAACGACGAUAUCACAGGUUUUCGCUUCAUAUGACUUUCUCAAUCCUCAUUCAACCAACAAAAUAUAACCCGAAAAUAGUAAACACUAGCAAUGGUGCCUGCACGAUGCUGCGGGUUUUAAAACUGUAUAAAACAUGUGAAAAGUUCUAAAUACAUACAAUAUGCAAUAGUAUUUAGAUAUAUGUUGAAAUCUGUUUACAAUCAUAUGGAUGGGCGGUUCUAUUGCCAUUGUUCUAAUAUUCACAUCUUUUACAAAUUUGAAGUCCUAAGAGCCCUUAACUGGAAGAAAAGAUAAAAGUUUCUUUCUCACCGAAAUCUAUCAAUUUGAAUCAAAUCUACUGAAGAAGUAUAGAUUGUAGCAUACCUUGUAAUUUCUGCAGGCUGUCCACCUACAAUAUCAAUAGUGACAUAAUUUCUUCCUAAGCCAUUGGAAAAACCAAAAUUGAACAGAACUUCCUCCCCCCUCCUCUGACCAAAUAAAAGAAGUAACGUUUCUCUUUUGGAAUCUCUAAUCACAUGACACUCCAAUCACAUGACACAGAACCACACAUAACAGAAAUUAAAAAAGAAAAAGAACUAAACACAUUAACUCUUGACAAAAACUUAUUACCCAUGAAUGGAAAGUCACUGAAAACACAAAUCACCAAUGAAGAAAUGAGGAAACAAAUCAACAACCUAACUUAUAUAGCAUUAGGAUGAACCAUGCUAAUUUGUUCAUAACUGAUCUGUCUCCCUACAUUUUUCAAAUUUGCAACCACAUAUAGUAUUAUAACAUAAUGAUCAAACAAAAUAGAUUAAUUCUUAAGCAUGCAUUUACUCUCGAGCAUGGAAAGGCUUUGGUUUCUUGCAGAAUAAUAGAAAAUAAAAUAAGAAACCCGUUGGAAAAGUUGGCAAUAGAUUGGUUAAAAAACAAUUUAAAAUACUUUUUUGUACCACUUGGUGAUUCUAAACACUAUUUGUUUCCAGAUGAAAUUAAACAUUGUAAAGAAAUAUGCCCCAAAUCAACUGAAGAACUCAUAAUAGAAUUUCUACCUUGCAAUUUAUCAUAACCUUUUCCAUCACAAAACAUUCAAAAUUUUCAACAAAACAUGGAUUCUAUAAUGUUGGCUAAAAUUAUCUACACUACACAUUAAUCAAUAAAAUAUAAUCAGUCGCAUAAUUAUUAAUCUUCAAAACAAUAAGAAAUUAAUAUAAAUCAAAAGAUGACAAACCUAUUACUUUGCAUUCUCAGUAUUGCAGAUAGAUGAAAAUUCCCAUCAAACCUGCAAGAAAGUACAAAGAAAUUAACUAAACUAUCACUGAAGAAGAAGUUAGACAGAAGUGUGGAGAAUGAAAAAACAGAUAUCUAUUUCUAGUCUAUCAAGAUGUUAAUUUUAGAGUUGCAUCAACUUCAAUGUCUAAAUGAAGAGUAGAAAUAAAUUCAUCCACGAAAUAAGAUGUUAUUUAUAAUUAUCGUAACAUAAAUGUAACGUGUGUACAAUCAUCUACCCACACCCAAGGGUAAACUACCCAUCCUGGCAUAACUCCAAAAUCGAAAGAAGCAUGUUAAUAAAAUAUUAAGUCCCUUUACAUCAUAUUUGCUACUAUCAUUUUCAGGAGUCAUGUGGUUUUCCACGAAUUGUAAAGCAUGUAUAUACAAAGUGAGGUUUACCAAUACCUCUAGCUAUUUCCAAGUGUGCGCUGGUGUGGUUUUUCCUUUGCAACAUGCAGUUUUUUUACCUGUAUUAUUCCCACCAUCAACCAAAAGGUCAUACCCAGUGCACAAGGCUCCCGCUUUACGCAGGGUCUGUGAGAGAUGAAUGUCGGCUAGCCUUACCCCCAUUUAUGGAGAGGCUGCUCCCAACCGAAAAGGAAGGAAAAUUUGAAAAAAGAAGUUUCUUAAUACCUUUUAGGAAAAUUGUGAACCAUAAAAUAAGCACUGCAUUUCAAGUAUCAUUUGCAUUUAGAACUUAUGAAAAGAAGAAUAACCCAAAAUACAUUCACGAUUUUUACCUUGCCCACCUAAAGCUUUCUGCCUUGUCAAUUCCUUUUCUCUUGCCCGCUUAAAUAUGAAAAAAAAAUUAAAUCAAUUUCUUUCAAAAAUUCAAUCAUUCACAUAAUCAUGUAAAGGAGAAUCUGAUUAUUUCGAAAGCAGUUGAGGCGGGUUCUAUACCAAGGAAUAACUUGAAGCAUAUCAAAGUUAAAAAGUUUUAAGUGGGGUGAAAAAUACUUAGCAAAGAAAGAAGGUAUUGAAUGAUCAAUAAUAAGAAUUUGGUCAACUUAUUGAUCAAUGCCAAUGAUCCUGAAGUGUUAAGUGCAUACAGAACAAAGCUUGAGAAGCACACAUUUGUGAAUGAUAAGAAUAAUGCUGGAAUUUUUUUUUUCUACUCAAUGGAAUAGCGAUAAUUUGAUUUAGUAAUUAAAAAUAUUUAACACAUUGCAGUAAAAAAAUUUAAGAGCGUAGACAAAGCGUUUAAAAUUUAUUGAAAUACAAUGUGAAUUUGGAGUACUUACAAAAAAUGUAAUGAUUGACAAAAGUAUAAACAUAAUUAGCAUUUUGGAAAGGAAAUUAUCAAACAGUAAUUUUUUUUAAAGCUUUUGGAUUAGUUUUUGAGUCACAUUUGACAAUGGAUAAAAGUGACAGCCUACAAAACUCAAAAAUAACUAUUUUUUAAGAUACAGGGUUAAUGAAAACUCAAAAAUAAACAACAGAGAAUGUUAAGUCAUCCAAUAUUAAGAUAGCUUCUUUCUGUAUUGUAUGUACGUUGUAGUAUUAGAUGACUUAACUUUUGCUAUGUGACGUCCUUGAACGACCAAGAAAUAAAACUAAUCCUGAAUGCUAAAAAUCUCAAAGAAUAUCAAAUAUUCAAGAUCAUAGUCACAUGCACAACAAAAAGUAAAAUGAUGUACACUAUCUCUAAAGUAUAGACCAGUAAACAGUUAGAAAUGCAGGUCACAGUGUGUAAAGUAAUUUUCAGAACACGGGAUUUACAAAUGUCGCUCAAGCCAGAGUCAAUUUGACUUCAAUUGUAAAAGCCAAAUUCAAAGAACACAUGUUUCCAUUUAAGAAACAUGCGGCUUCAUCAAUUUGAACAGAAUUCAAGAUAUGUGGCCGAAGCAUUAUGAUUAUUCAGCUAGUAUUGAAUAAUGGAUUCACCGUAUUUAUAACUGACGAAAUGCAAUCAACCAUCAAAAUUGUAUUCAUUAAAUAGUUAACCCUAUAUCUUUUGCUAAUGAAUAUUCAAAGUAUUUGGCGAUAAAAUAAUAAUAAUGGAAUAGAUUAAUCAUCAAUUAAUUAUCAACAAAAAAUAAUAUUCAUUAAGAAUGGGGUUUCUGCAACUCUAGAUUUUGCAAAUAGUGAUAAGUGCCGAAAGAUGAGUGGCUGGGAUAUAAACAGAGGUUAAUGGUCCAGCUCAGCAGAUCAGUUUAGAGAUUGUUAGUGUUUGUUAGUCUGUUAAGUAUGUGCCAUGAGAGCUAAGCAAGGUGAUUAGUUGUUGUAUAAAUUGUUAACUCUCUCUCUGUUGAAUAGUUAAUUCAUUAAGACAAUUAUAGAGCAAUUAUUAUAUAACUCUCUAAAAUUCCUUUUCUCUUUUGUUUACUCUGCAAUUCUCAAAUAUUUCAACAUAGUUUGGGAAGCUCAAGUGUAUCGGUUGAUACUCCACAGCCGAGAAGGGAUGCCAAGUUUGGGAAGUCUAGAUUCUCACCAUCUCUGGGUUUGGUACUUCGCAUCAAUUAUCAUGAGAGAGAGGGAGAAAGCGGGUAUUUGAUGAGAGCGUUUGAGUACUGUAUAUUGGUACAAAACCAAUUAGAUACUUGAAAUUAGAUAAACAUCUUACAAUCGUGCAAACUGGAACUUGGACAAAUCCAAAAUAAAAUGAAAAUAACUACAGAACAUAUGAAUACCAUAGUUUCUCAAAUGGCAUAGUCCACCUGCAUAUAAACAUUUCCAAGUAAAUUCAUACCUCAAUAAAAAGAGAAUAGAAUAAGCCAUACUUCAUAUAAUAUCAUGAAUUAACUCAGAAAAAUUUCUUUAACCCAGAUUUUUAAAAUUAAAAUCACAAAAAUUUGAACAACGAAAAGAGAACCCAAGAACUAAACCCUAACCAAAAAUUUCAGAGAACUCACCAGGAAACCCAAGCUUUAUGGGUUUAAAAUUUCUUCAAUAAAACCCAAAAUUUCCCUUAAUGGAAUUCCAAAAAGCAUUCUCCAUCAGCAUUAGGCAUAACCCCACUUACAUGCGUCCCUUGCGAAAACUUACCAUUUGAAGCUGUUUCCAAUCGAUUGUCCACCGUAAAAUGUUUUAAAUCAUCACUGGCAUGCUACAAACAGAACGAGAUUGAACUUGGAUUUUCCCAAAAAUUCACCAAAUCAAACCACAAAAAAUUAAUCGAAGUAAACAAAGUGCACAAUUUGUCGAAAGCAAUAGAUCCAACAUUCAUACAAAUGAAAUUCGAUCAUGAAUUGAAUAAAAAAAAGUGAGAGAGAGAGGAACCUCAAGCACUUGGAACCCUACACAUAAAAGCGGCAAGAAACGAUGACCAUUGCUUCCUCAAAAUAAAAUAAAAAACCAAAUCAUAUACCCACACUAAAAAUCCAAACAUAAAAACAAAACCCCAAAAAUUAAUUAUCAUUAUUAUUAUUAUAACAUAGAUUUGCAAACGAAGUAAGACCCAAAAAAAUUUAAACUUUUGUUCAAGAAAAGAUUUAAGAGGAAAAACAUAAAUUAUAUACCUUAAUCAGAAAGGGCUUGCAAGCUUCUGCACAAAACCUUAAAAUUCGAUUAGCAACGUUUCCUGAAAUAAAAAACAAACAACCACAACACUAAAAAAAGGAAAGCAAAAUACUCAAUGCAAAAGGCCAAGGUCUGUGUGGUUGUUUUUCUGUGUUCAAACCUUCAUCAGAACGCAUAACACAGGCCAAUAAAAUAUUUCGCCAAAUCUAAAACCCAGAACACAAACUAAUUUAAAAUUUCUGCAACUAAACAUUUGAAUAAAAAAAAAUCAUCAAAUUAAAACUCCCAAACCCAAUUCAAUCCUUGAUCAGAACACGUAACAAAGGUUAAUAAAAUAUCUCAAAAUAAACAAUCAAUUUUUAACAUCUAAAAUUGAAGAUAAUAAAACCCAUCGAUUUGGAAAGGAAAAAAAAACCCUCCCACAUGCAAGUUUUGAAUAACUCACCGGAAAGCUUUAAGGUGAUAGAAGAGCAAGAUAGAACAUGAGAGAACAAAGAUCAACAGCGACAGAAACCAACAAAGGUAACACAAAGAGAGAGAGAGAGAGCAAAGGAAACGAAAACCACAAAAACCCAAAACUAUCGAACAAAAAUUGGAGGAGAAAGAGUGAAAAGCAAGGGAAGAUGCCAGAAGACGCAGCGAUGGUCGACAGGUGGAGCGGAAGGGCAUUUUCGUCAUUUCACUGUUCAUUAACAGUGCAAAACAGUACCUGAGAACUGGGUUUGGGGGGGGGUGUAUUCAAUUGAGAUUUUAAGGGAUUUUAAUUCUUUUAAUGAAUCUAGGGGUAUUCAAUCAAGAUUUUAAGUGAUUCUCUAAACUUCAAGCUGUAUUCAAUUAGAAUUCUAAAUGGUUUAUUAAAAUUCUUAGAAAUCCAGAUGUAUUCAAUUAAGAUUUUAAAGAAGUUUUUAACAUUCUAGGUGUAUUCAAUUAGAAAUUGAUUUUAAAGAAUUUGAGAAAGUUGAGGAAUUAGAGGGAAUUGGAGAGUUUUCGUAGUGCAUUUUAAGCUUUCACAAUUCUCACAUCUUCUCAUGAGAUUUCGAGAGAAUUAAAUCAAAAUUUUAUAUGAAAUCUCUAAAAAUUAAUUGAAUUCCAUAAAAAUUCAUGGAUUUAUAAAUCCAUUAAAGUCCCUCUUAGUAUAUAGAUAAUGUACAUUCUGAUCAUGUUCCUAUUCUCUUCUUUUUAGCACGAGAUAAUCUCAAGUUCCUUCGGCGCUGGUUCCACAAAUUCCCUGAGUAUAAAAAUAGGGAUUUGUUUAUCACAGGACAGAGCUAUGCAGGUAACAUUAUUUACUUGUAAAACCAUCAUUUCUAUCACUAAUGACCAAUUAGAAAACUCGAAAGGUACAAACUUACGACGCACUUCUAAAAAAUUCCAUUUUUUCACUGCCAGGCCACUAUGUUCCACAACUUGCACAACUCAUUAUCCAAUCAAAACUGAAGUUCAAUCUGAAGGCGGUAGCAGUAAGCAAACGAGAAUCGAAAAAGUGAAGUGACUUUGGAGUUGAUGUUUUCGACUAAGAUGUCAUGCUUGAGCUGUUUUUGCUUGCAGAUUGGCAAUCCUCUUUUGGAAUUCAAUACUGAUGCCAACUCACCAGCAGAGUACUGGUGGUCUCAUGGAUUAAUAUCAGAUGCGACCUUCGAAAAUUUGACUUCAGUCUGCAACUCUUCUGAAAUUUUUAGACAGGAGGUAAUUCGUGGUGGUCCACUUAGCCCUGCUUGUGAUGCAGUAGCGAACCAAUUUGAAAGAGAAGUCCCUGGACAUUUGAUCAACCAAUAUGACGUUACUCUCGAUGUCUGUUUAUCAUCCGUCGAAGCUCAAUCUUUCCAACUGGUAAGCCUUGGUAUUUUCUCCUUUCAUUUAUUUCGAAUUCUCCACGUUAAUAUACAAACUUCCAACUCACCGAUCACAUCUGCAGCGAAAAACAGUGAAGAUAGAUGUCUGUAUCGGAGAUGAAACUGUUACAUACUUCAACCGACCAGAUGUACAGGAGGCACUUCAUGCCCGAGUCACAAAUUGGACAAUUUGCAGCAAGUAAUCAUCUCAUCUCAUUUGAAUCACUGGUGCACAUAAACGUAGUAGGUUCCGAAGAUGAAUCAAAACAUGAAAAGAAUUCCACUUAUAUUCCAAACUAUUCAAAGAUCGAAGAAAUGUUCCUUCUUUUUUGUUUACUGUGCUUCUAAAUUGAUUAUCGUCUUUUACAGCGGAGGUGUCCUUGAGUAUGACAUGAAAAACCAUGAAAUACCGAUGCUUCCAGUUUUAGGUGACCUUGUCAAGUCUGGAAUUCGGGUUUUGAUUUACAGGUGAUGAGUCUCACCAUUGUACAAAUCAAAACUCUUGCCAUCUUCGAUAAUCUUAGUCUUUUAGAAAUUGUUCUUAAAAGUUCAUCUUACAUGUUUUCCACAGUGGUGAUCAAGAUUCUAUUAUUCCACUAACGAGUACACGGACACUGGUGAACGGAUUGGCAAGGGACUUGGGGCUACAAACGAACGUGCCUUACAGAGUCUGGGUUCAAGAAAAACAGGUCGGUUCGUGAAUAUAAUAACAGUGGAAAAUUCGGACUAUCUACCUGUGGUCUUAGCAGUUUCAUCCUUUAUAAAUAUUUAACUUUUCAGGUUGCUGGAUGGACACAAGUAUACAGUGACGCUUUAUCUUACGCUACCAUAAGAGGAGCAGGCCAUGAAGCUCCAAUUUCGCAGCCAAAGAGAUCACUACUUCUGUUUACCUCAUUUCUGAGAGGAAAGCCACUGCCAAAAGCCUUAAGUACUAACUGAUCAAAUUGCAGAAAUCAAGAAGAAACAUAUAUAUUCAUUUCUUACGCAGAAUUAUUGAGUGAACAAAUUGCAAGGUUUUAAAAGACGCUAAACGCUAGUCGAGCGGCGGACUAGGCGGAUUUUAGUAAAUCUACUAUAUUUCAUGUAAAUAAGUGUGUUUAUACCAAUGUAUUAAAAGAGUGAGGCAUAGGCGAGGCGUCCGAGGGAUAGCCCGACCUAGGAGACCUAAAUUUUUAAAUAUAUAUACUGAGCAUACACAUAUAUUAUAUUAAAAAAAGAAGAUUAUUAAUCAAUAAUCACCCUAAGCACACACAUAUAUUAUAAAUAUAUAUACACACAUAUAUAUACAAAUAUUAUAUAUAUAUAAUAGAGGAUGAAAAGCACAAUGAGCACACAUAUAACAAUGCAUGCAGACAACACACACAUCCAUUAUAUAAAAAAUUAAAAAUCAGAAAAAAAAAGGCAGAGAGACGAUAAUGUAAGGAAGAGGUAUAAGGCAAUUAAAACCCUACCCAAAAUUUGGGUUUGGGAGUUUGAAAAAAAAAAACCCUUGAGGCGUGUAACAACCCGUCCCGGGAUUUGCGGAACAAAAAGGGUAUUUUUGUAUUUUCACUAAGUUUGGGGAUAUUUUCCUUUUAAAAAUGGUUUUUGGGUCUUAAAUGGUGUGCCCAAGGGGCCCACCCCUGAUUUAUCCCCCGGUUCCCUCCCUCUUUCCUUUCUUUUGUUUCUGAUUUUUAUAACCCUUUCUUUCCUUCAGCUUUCUCCCCUCGUCUCUCCCUCUCGAGCUCAUCUCUCUCUCAGACUUUUUCCCGAUCGACACUCACACACACACCCAGUCACCCCCACACCCAAGGAGACUUCGACGACGGCACCACCCUCUGAUCCCACUCCCUCUCUCCUUCUCACCACGGUGCAAAUAUUCCCCGACGAGUUAUCGUCGUUUUCGACGAAGGUAGGUCAAAACACCCGUCACUUUCGAGGCAAUUUCCGGCCAAACCACAGAGAGUUGGUUGCCAUGCAAGGUAUCAAUUUCUUCGUCUCGCUAAGUACUACAACUUUCCUUUUUAUUUCACCCAAUUUCGUUGAGUAUUGAAGAAGUUAUACUCAUUUGAAUCUUACCCAGUUUCCGGCAACCUCCGAAGCUUUCAAGGUGUUUUUCGGCCAAACCACGGCGGGUUAGACAUUGGGUGAGGUACCAUUCUCUUUGUCUCGUCGAGAGCUAUGAUUUCCUUUUUUUAAUCUCUCAAUUUCGUUGAGUAUUGACAAAGUUGUUAACGUUUAAAGUUUGUUCAGUUUUCCGGCCGAAUUACGGCCUUCUCCAUCCUUUGGGUCCAGCGACCCAUGUUUUCAACUCAGGCCGGGCUUUCAAGCCCAAAGCCUCUUCGAACCAGGCGCUUUGGGGUUGUGUAAAACAUGGGCCUUUGGCCCGUUGCCACUAAAGCCCAAACCAUUUUCCUUUUAUUUGGUUUAAACCCCAAAACCUUUGUACAUAAGCCUUUGGGCCAUUCAACCUAACCCAAAAACCCUUUAUAACCCAUCCCUUAGGGCAGCCCGACUCGUGUCCCUUUAACCUUUUAUCCCAGGCCCUUGGGCCGGCCUACCAAGCCCAGCAGCAAGCCCAACCUAAUCUGGUGGAAUAUUCUAAGGAAUAUUCUUUGGAAUAUUCUUGAAAUAUUCUUUUGUUGACUUUUCAGAAUUAAUCGGGACCCUUCUUAGGGUAAUUCGACGUCCUGAAUCCGUUUCUAACGUCUGUUUUUCCAAAUUCAAUUGUUAUUAUAUAGUUUUAUUAAUUGGACCCUUUAUGUGCUUAGGGGCAAUUAUUUGUGGCGUUUCCGUCUUUGCUAGUUGCCUGGCUCUUCAGCGGCUAAGUACUGUAAGUGGACCCCUUCUAAAAAUGCAUGUUUUGAUAGUAGAAAUGCAUACAUAAAAAGCAUUAUUUAAUGAUUAUGUUCUAUGAAACGUUUUGCUAGAUAACAUGCUUACUGAGGCUAGUUUGAAUUAUUACUAUUUUUCCUAUAACCCGUGUUCUUAUAGAAUAUCUGAUGGAUGACGAUAUGAUAUUUAGAACAUGUUUAGAACACCUCUUUAUAGUAUAGAUGAUGGAUGACUUUAUACUAUGAUGUCGCUUUUCAAUAUAUAUAUGUUCAAUGGUUUUGUACUUACCUAGUGGUCAUUUCCGAUACAGGACGUAGGGAUAGAUUCUGGUCCAUCCCGGGCGACGGUUUGGUGUUGGCAUAGGGCCUGGAGUGUGUUUCCUCUGGCUAUUUAGCACAGGGACGGGGAGCCGGCAUGGGGCCUGGGGGUUAUUGGACAUUCACUAGUGAUUAUUAUAUAUACAAGUUAUGAUUUGAGACAUUGCAUGACAUGCUAGGUUUUAGAAAACCUAUGUUUAUCAUGAUAUAUAUGUGUUUUCAUAAAACAUGGGGGUUUAGUACGUUGAUAACUGUUUUAGUAUAUAUAUAUAUAUAUAUAUAUAUAUAUAUAUAUAUAUAUAUAUAUAUCAACUUGGUCUACUCAUGUUUGUUUUGCGCCCCCUUCAGGACUUAGAAUCGAGGCAUACAAUCCCGGCGUCUAGGCACUUCCGCAUCGGCAUCUUCGAGUCCUCUUGGUGUAGGACCCAUUCCUUUGUUCAUUCAAUUUUUAUAUAAAUUCUUUUAGUAUUCUAGAUUAGAUGUAUGCUCUGAACAUGUUCCUGAAAUGCAUAUUCAUUAUCUUUAUAUUUAUAAGUUUUAUUUAUUCCUUGGUUCUCAGCAUUUGCAUUCAAUAAAUGACUUUCGUCACCCUCGGUGUCGGCCAGCACGUGCCUAUCCUGGUGUUCGGGGAAUAUCGGGAUCAGGGUGUGUUAGCGCGCCUAGACGGCUCCGACAACGCCUUCCGCCCACUCCCUCAAAAUAGAGGCGGCAACCCUCACACCCAGCCUCAGAUGACACCUAGGCGCGCCCUGAGGCGAGCCUUUUAAAACACUGGUUUAUACUUAAAAUAUAUGUAAUUUCAUCAAAAACUACAUAAUAGAAUGACAUAUAUAUUAUGAAGUAUUGGAACAUAAUGAAAACAUAGGGAACAAGCAUGUAAUGUGUGUUUAUUUAAGCAUUCAACAAGUCUCUUACAAUUUAUUGAAAAGAGUAAAAUGUAAAAUGAAUGUUAUCUAUUUUCUUCUUAGUGAGUCGCAACCUAGACGGGUGCCUAGGCAGGUCUGCGCGAGCUAGGUAGGUGCCUAGGCUGUUUAGGCAGGUGCUUCAGCAGGUCUAGGCACCCUUUCUUAAUUUUCAAAUGCUUGGGCAUUAAUCGGGCAGUGACCAGCCACCUAACGUCUAGGUGGCGCAAGGCGAGGAUUUUUAGAACAGUGACAAAUUGUGAGAAAAUAGGUAAACUCAUGAGAACAAGAAUGUCAGUUUUAAUAGGUGAACUUGUCAAGUCUGGAAUUCGGGUUUUGAUUUACAGGUGAUGAGUCUCACCAUUGUACAAAUCAAAACUCUUGCCAUCUUCGAUAAUCCUAGUCUUUUAGAAAUUGUCCUUAAAAGUUUAUCUUACAUGUUUUCCACAGUGGAGAUCAAGAUUCUAUUAUUCCACUAACGAGUACACGGACACUGGUGAACGGAUUGGCAGAGGACUUGGGGCUACAAACGAAUGUGCCUUACAGAGUCUGGUUUGAAGAAAAACAGGUCGGUUCGUGAAUAUAAUAUCAGUGGAAAAUUCGGACUAUCUACUUGUGGUCUUAGCGGUUUUUAUCCUUUAUAAAUUUUUAUCUUUUCAGGUUGUUGGACGGACACAAGUAUACAGUGAUGCUUUAUCUUACGCUACCAUAAGAGGAGCAGGCCAUAAAGCUCCAAUUUCGCAGCCAGAUAGAUCAUUGCUUCUAUUUACUUCAUUUCUGACAGGAAUGCCAUUGCCAAAAGCCUGAAGUACUGACACAAACUGCAGAAAUCAAGAAGAAACAUAUCUAUUCAUUUCUUACAAUGAAUAAUUGAGUGAACAAAUUGUAAGAAAAUCGGUAACUCAUGAGAACAAGAAUGUCAGUUUUAAUUAGCGCUUUUUCUCGGCAUCAAUAAAGACAUUCGGAGGAAUGACAGGCAACAUCCAAAUAAAACUUCUUCCAUAUGUUAAAAAGAGCAUAAGUGACACUCCAACAGAAAUCGAAAUUGUACGUCUGAGUUGUUAUCAACUUUAAGGAUGAGUCCAGUACGUGGUACCCCAACUCGUCAAAUCCGCUAGACUCGUAAACAAAAUGAGCAUGGUUAAUAGCCAACUUAUACAAAGCGCGUUGUAUUUCAAACCAAUAACAUACAUCGAUGUCCUCUCGCUAGUUCUUACUUCUUAUGAUGCAUAAUAAAAUAACAUGUUUAAAUUCUUAGAUUGUUCGCUGCUAAAACAGAACCCUUUGCAGGAAAAUUUGUACGUGUCACUUUGCAUUGAGGCACACCAUAUACUCGGUGAGGCAAGAUAUUCGAUCACCAUUGGAGGAUAAAACUCAGGCUUUGACAAUCUCCUAAUGAAAGUUAUGCAGAUUAUGGUUACUUUCCUCUUUCGAGAACCCCUUAGGUUUAUUUUCCUAUGUUUCUAAUGUUGUACUUUUAUGUGCAAACGGAAAUGAAUUCUAACAAAGUACCAAUAUCAACGUCGUAGGUGAAAGCUAAAACAAACAAUCUCAAACUAACACAAGAGAUUUACGUGGUUCGGCGUGAAGCCUACGUCCACGAGCGAAGCACGGCGAUGAAUUUCACUAAACAAACGGAGAUUACAAAAGAGUGUUUAAACUCUCACAACCCAAAUCCCACAAAUUACAAACCAUAAACCAAACGAGUAGAGAACCCAAACAAACGGAGAAGAUUCUCCCAAAUUGCUCUCUAACUCACAAACUCACAAAUUGACUCUCACCAAAUUUGCCAAACGAAUGAGCCAUGAAUUUGCCACACAUUCAUGACUCCAAACAGUGACCUCCACCCAAAACCAAACUAGAGAAAAGCUCUCUAAACCAUGAUGAGGCACACUAAAUACACUAACCCUAAGGUUCUAUUUAUAGUGCAUAGGACUUAGGUUACAAUAAGAAUCCUAAUAGGAAAUAAAUCCAAAUCCUAAUCAAAUAGGUAAUUAACAAAAUCUCUCCACCUAGGAAACCAACUAGGAAGUCAAAUCCAAACCCAAAUAGGACACCAAAACCAAAUAGGUAACACAAACCUAAUUUAUUGCAUCAUCCUAAUUUUGAGCCAAAAACCCAACAUCUAGCAAGACUGUAAUUUGUAGUGAAAUAAGAGAGGGAGGAGUGCAAGAUAAAUUUAUCAAGAACGAAAGCAUAACCAAAGUAACCGACUUCCAACAAUGAAUUAAUUAAAUUAAAAUUACAAAGCAAUUGCUAAUCUCUAAACAAAACAAUAGCAAGGCGAAUAUUGUUCAUAGCCAAACGGUAAAUCAAGAGUUAAACCAAUCAAACCAAAAAUUAGUAGAAGACUAGAAGUUCGAUAACCAAGGAUUCAAGAUGGUGUCCUUGGUUAAAUCUUCUUCUGUAAUUCUGAGUUCAAAAUCCACGCACUUGGCAGCAUUGGACAUUUCACAGGCAAUGGAGGCUUCAAUUCCAUGGCUGAAGUACUAGCAGUAGAAGUAGUAUUCAUCGGAUUCUUCGAUUCCAUGACUAAAGUAGUAGUACUAGUAGUAGUAGAGUUCACCGGAUUCUUAUUAAAACCACCCCAUUGGGCCAAUUCAUGACCUAAUGCGUCGUGAAUAAAUGGAUUUACAGGGUCUUGAGAGGGGGGCAUCUGCACAUCAAAAUACGCAGGGUUCAAGCAUCGCAGUGUUUUGCUUGAGCUUGAGUGAGUUCGGGAUAAAUUUUGAUUUUGUUUCACAGCAUAAUAUCUUUCCAUGGAAUCAAUCUCCAGUGUUGAUGCCUGUAUCUUGGCUUCGAGUGAAGCAAUGGGUUUAAUCAAUUCAUCUUUUGAAAAUAGGUCAAUUCGAGCAUCCCAUGUUGGGUACUUAGAAAUGUGCUUAUUGCCCGGUUUUUGAAACUUGGGAUCGACAUGAUAAUCAUCAUCAUCACCAUCAUCAUCACCAUCACCAUCAUCACCACCAUCACCACCAUCACUGUGAUCACCGUCAGCAUCGUCAGCAUCUUUCUUCAUCUUGGCCUCAUCAAAAUCAAACAAACUAUAGCUUCUCUUUAGGAAAUCAGGGGCAGCAGCAUCCUUGGAAGCCUUGUACCUGCCAAGAAUGCGAUUGAAUUCAACUAGAUCUUGCGGCUACGUCUCCAGCUGAAUUUGACCCGUUUACCGGUACUAGUAGUUGUUGGUGACACUGGACCACUAUCUGUAUUCUCUUGCAUGAUUUGAAUCUGAACCGUCCAAGAGAAAUUGUAUGGCGUAUGUACCCAUAGUCUUAUGAGUAUUUCAGAGAAUCUUAACGGAUACAUAAUUUGUCUUCUAGAUGACUAUUCAUUCAUCAUACAAAACGCAUAUUUCAGAAAACCUUAUCGGAGUAGUUUUAUUUCUCUGAUUACUACACGUCUCUCGAAUUGCCAUUGACUAAGUAAAGAAAAUCUAGGUUGGAAGCAUUCCAGAAGUGUCCAAAAUUUGACAUCCAUGGCCACUACCUUUUCAAGCGAAGGAGAUACCAGUACUGAAUCUACAUGGAGAAUGCAUUUUUGGGGACCAAAGCUAGAGAAGUGAAAUAUAACACAGUGCUUGGUUUGAUAAUCAACUUGGACCUUUCAAGCAACAUGAUAUUUGAAGAAAUCCCUACAGAGCUGCCCAACCUCAUUUGCUUGCAAUCGUUGAACUUAUCCAAUAAUCUUCACACGGGAAGAAUCCCUUCCAAGAUCAAAGAUAUGGGAUCAUUAGAAUCACUUGAUUACCACGCCAACCAACUUUCUGGUGAAAUAUCUCCAAGCAUCCUGAAUUUGACGUUUCACAGCGUAAUAUCUUUCCAUGGAAUCAAAAUACACAGGGUUCAAGCAUCGCAGUGUUUUGCUUGAGCUUGAGUGAGUUUGGGAUAAAUUUUGAUUUUGUUUCACAGCAUAAUAUCUUUCCAUGGAAUCAAUCUCCAGUGUCGAUGCCUGUAUCUUGGCUUCGAGUGAAGCAAUGAAUUUAAUCAAUUCAUCUUUUGAAAAUAGGUCAAUUCGAGCAUCCCAUGUUGGGUACUUAUUCUCGGAAAUGUGCUUAUUGCUCGAUUUUUGAAGCUUGGGAUCGACAUGAUCAUCAUCAUUGUUGAAUAAUUGGCCAACAUUCUUCCUUGUUUUGGGGAGGAAAACACCUUUCCUUGUUUUGGGGAGGAAUAUAGGGAAAGUGUUUUGUUCUCUUAACACCCGUGGGUGUUGGUUCAAGGGCUGAGUGAGUUGUCUUUAAAGAAAGAAAAAAAAGGAGACCUCAUGUUUUCUGCCGAGAGGAAAAAGGGAGAGAGUGAGAGCUGGAAAAACAGAGGGCAGAGAAGAAGAAGAAAUCUGGAGCAGCAACCCCAUUUCGAAGAGAAGAAGGUGCUCUUCACUUUGGUUAGUAAUCAUCCAUCAAAAUAAUUGUAAUAGCUUUGAGCUUUGUAUAGAGAAGAAAUUAAUCACUAUAUUUUUUCUUCUCUAUUUGUUUCUUUGGUGUGUGAGAGCUUUUGGGUGUAUUGGGGUUAAGGGUUGUGAGAUUGCCAACACUUUGUAAACUCCCAUUUGGUUGAUAGUGGAUUAUUGGGUGAGCUCCUACUGCUCCGAGGACGUACUCCAGUUACACUGACUGUUGAGGAACCUCGUUAAAAUCUUGGUGUCUUUUAUAUUUUGUUCUUGCAUUUUCAUUUGAUAUAUUUCCUGUGGGUUAUCAAGAGUUGGUUCUAAAAGGUUUGGUGCUACCUAGCACAACAAUUGGUAUCAGAGCACUAGUUGCUCUUGGGUACUGUUUAGUUGCCAAAGAUGUCAGACGGGCAAGAUGAAAAUCCUUUUGGAAGCAGCUCCGGGUUUGCAAGAACUACGGUGCAAAAUGCAAAGUUCGAAGUGGAAAGUUUGAUGGCACAAACAACUUCGGGAUGUGGCAAUGUGAGGUCAAAGAUGUGUUGGCUCAACAAGAUCUACUUGCCGCUUUGGGAGAGAAGCCGGAAGCCAUGUCGAAGUCAGAAUGGGAGAAAUUAAAUUUGUGGGCUUGCUCUUCAAUUCGGUUAUGCCUUGCAAAAACUCAGAAGUAUUUUGUGAUGCGGGAGACAGUAGCAAGUGUUUUGUGGCAAAAAUUGGAAGACAAGUAUAUGACGAAGAGUGCAGAGAACCGGCUACACUUGAAGAAAAAGCUCUACCGCUUCCAAUACAAAGAAGGUACAAAAAUGAUUAGACACCUUGAUGCUUUUAAUAAGUUGAUUGCCGACUUGUUAAAUUUAGAUGAGGAUAUUAAGGAUGAAGAUAAAGCCUUAAUAUUGUUGAAUUCAUUGCCGGACUCUUAUGAGCAUUUUGUUACCACUAUUAUGCAUGGUAAAGAAACUGUGAAAUUUGAAGAUGUGUCAAAUGCCUUGAUGAAUUAUGAAAUGAGGCAUAGAGAUAAAAAUCAUGAUAGUACCUCUGAAGCUUUAUUUGUUAGAGGUAGAUCAUCGGAGAGGAGGUCAUCUUCUAGCAGGAAAAAAUCACAGUCUCGACCUAGAGGAAACUCUAAAGGUAGAAAACCUUUGGAAAAGGAUGAAUGUGCCUUUUGUCAUAAUAAGGGCCAUUGGAAGAAAGAUUGUCCUAAAUUGAAGACCAAAGGCAAAGAAAGUUCUGAAGCUAAUGUUGCUGAGGUUGAAACAGAUUUUUCUGAUUUUGCUUUAACCACUUCCUCAUCAUUUGAUUGUGCUACUAAAUGGGUGUUGGAUACGGGUUGUACUCAUCAUAUAUGACUCCUCACAAGGAUUGGUUUUCAAGCUUGAAAGAGUUUGAUGGUGGCGUUGUGUUCAUGGGAGAUGACAAUCCUUGCACAACAAAAGGGAUUGGUACAGUUCGUUUGAAGUUGCAUGAUGGCAUGGUUAAAGAGUUGACAGGUGUUCGGUAUGUACCGAAUUUGAAGAAAAAUCUUAUUUCUUUGGGUACUUUGGAAUCCAAGGGUUUCAGGUUUCAUUCAGAUGGACAGACAUUGAAAGUUACUUAUGGUGCACUUGUUGUGAUGAAAGCUCCUAGAUGUGGCCAUUUGUAUUUAUUGCAGGGAAGCACUGUGACAGGUGAAGCAUAUGUAGUCUCUGAAAAUAUGGGCACAUCUGAUUCAGAUACUACUAGAUUGUGGCAUAUGAGAUUAGGCCAUGCCGGUGAGAAAGCUCUACAAGGGCUUGUGAAACAAGGUCUUCUAAAAGGUGCCAUGACUUGUAAGCUUGAUUUCUGUGAGCAUUGUGUCUUGGGGAAGCAAACUAGAGUGAAGUUUGGUACUGCUGUACAUCAGACGAAGGGCAUUCUUGAUUAUGUGCAUUCGGAUGUUUGGGGUCCUACAAAGACUCCCUCUUUGAGUGGUAGACAUUGGUUCGUGACCUUUGUUGAUGAUUAUUCAAGAAGGUCUUGGGUCUACACUAUGAAGCACAAGAGUGAGGUGUUAAGCAUUUUCUUGGGUUGGAAGAAAAUGGUUGAGAACCAGACUGGGAGAAAGAUUAAGAUUUUGAGAUCUGAUAAUGGUGGUGAAUACACAUCCGAUCCUUUCUUUAAAGUUUGCAAAGAUGAAGGAAUUGUGAGACAUUUCAGUGUUCGGGGAACUCCACAACAAAAUGGAGUUGCAGAAAGAUUGAAUCGAACCUUGCUUGAGAAGGUUAGAUGUAUGUUGUCUCAGUCGAGUUUAAGCAAGUCAUUUUGGGCAGAAGCAGUUAAUUAUGCAUGUCACAUCAUCAACCGGUUACCCUCAACUGCUAUUCAGGGUAAAACACCAAUGGAGGUAUGGACUGGAAAACCUUCUUCUGAUUAUGACUAUAUCCGUAUUUUUGGUUCACCUGCUUAUUUUCAUGUGACUGAAAAUAAACUUGAUCCUAGAGCCAAAAAGGCUAUCUUUCUUGGUUUUAGUAGUGGUGUCAAAGGUUACAGGUUGUGGUGCCCAGAGAUGAAAAAACUUGUAAUCAGCAGAGAUGUGACAUUUGAUGAAGAAAGUAUGUACAAAGUCUCUGAGAAGAAUGUGAAAGAUGUCCAACAGGUGGAGCUUGAGAAAGUUGCCUCUGGUACUUCAAAUCCUAUUUCCGCUGAUGUCAAAGCCACUACAAGUGAGGAAGUUGGAGACCAUGAGGAUGUUGAAGAAGUUGAACUUGAAGAUUCUAUUCAAGUUGAAGAGCAAGUUUCACCUCAAGAGUCUAUUGCCAAAAACAGAGGAAAGAGACAAAUUACCAAGCCAGCUCGGUAUAGUGACUAUGUUUCUUUUGCUCUUCCUAUUAUCACUGAUGAUAUUCCAUCUAAUUUCGAGGAAGCCAUUGAGAGUGAGGAGAAGAAGAGGUGGUGCAAUGCCAUGGGUGAUGAGAUGAGUUCUCUCUUGAAGAAUAAGACUUGGGAGUUAGCUAAAUUGCCUAAGGGCAAGAAAGCUAUCGGUUGCAAAUGGGUGUGCCAAGAAGGAAGAUGCUGAUGAGAAAAACAAUGUGAGAUUUAAAGCAAGAUUAGUUGCUAAAGGGUACGCACAAAAGGAGGGCAUUGACUACAAUGAAAUAUUUUCUCCGGUUGUGAAGCACUCAUCAAUUCGUAUUAUGUUAGCUCUUGUUGCACAAUAUGAUCUUGAGCUUGUGCAACUUGAUGUGAAGACGGCUUUCCUACAUGGUGAUUUGAAUGAAGAGAUUUAUAUGUGUCAACCGGAUGGGUAUAUAGUGAAAGGGAAGGAAAAUUUGUUUUGCAAAUUGAAGAAAUCACUUUAUGGCUUGAAGCAAUCUCCAAGGCAAUGGUAUUUGAGGUUUGAUAAAUUUAUGAGAGGCCAAAAUUAUUCUAGAAGUCAAUAUGAUCAUUGUGUGUACUUCAAGAAGUUGCAAGAUGGGUCUUUCAUUUAUUUAUUGAUAUAUGUUGAUGAUAUGUUGAUUGCCUCAAAGAAUGUCGAAGAGAUUGAGAAAUUGAAGAAGCAAAUGAAGAAUGAGUUUGAGAUGAAGGAUCUUGGUGAAGCGAAGAAGAUCCUUGGCAUGGAGAUCACUAGAGAUAGAGCAAAGGGUUUCGUCAGUUUGAAUCAAAGACAAUACCUUGAGAAGUUGAUUCGGAAGUUUGGAGUUCAUGAUUCAACCAAACCGGUUAGUACCCCUUUGGCUCCUCAUUUUAAAUUGAGUUCUCUACAAUGUCCUAAAAAUGAUAAAGAGAAGCUGCAAAUGAAAAAUGUACCAUAUGCAAAUUUGGUUGGUAGUUUGAUGUAUGCAAUGGUAUGCUCUAGACCGGAUAUUGCUCAUGCAGUUGGCAUGGUGAGUCGAUAUAUGCAUAAUCCAGGUAAAGAGCAUUGGCAAGCAGCUAAGUGGAUAUUGAGAUAUCUCCAUGGUACUCGAGAUGUUGGCUUAUGCUUUGAGAGGGAUGACUCUGGUAUUGGUCAUUUUGCAGUUGGUUAUGUUGAUUCAGAUUAUGCAGGUGAUCUGGAUGGAAGGAAAUCUACUACAGGUUAUGUGUUUACUAUGGCUAAAGGACCAGUUUGUUGGAGGUCCAUUUUGCAGUCGUCUGUUGCCUUGUCUACUACAGAGGCUGAAUAUAUGGCAGUUGCUGAAGCUAUAAAGGAGGCCAUUUGGAUACAUGGGCUGAUUAGAGAUUUGGGGGUUGAUCAGAAGCAGGUGGAGGUACAUUGUGAUAGUCAGAGUGCCAUUUAUUUGGCUAAGUAUCAGGUUCAUCAUGCGAGGACCAAGCACAUAGAUGUGCGUUAUCACUUUGUUCGUGAAGUAGUUGGUGAAGGGGAGAUCAUUCUCCAGAAGAUUCCAACUAAAGACAACCCCGCUGAUAUGUUGACUAAGGUUGUUGGUGUAGCCAAGUUUGUUCACUGUUUGAACUUGGCUCACAUUAUGCCUAUAUAAAGAAGGCGUUGAGCAGUAGGAGUUUUGGAGUAUUUGGCUCGGCAUGAGUUGUUCUCUUGCUAGUGUUUGGGAGUGAUGUUGUGUGUUAAUUGUGUUGGUUGGCUUAUCAUGGCGUUUUUCGGAACUUGGCCAAGGUGGAGAUUGUUGAAUAAUUGGCCAACAUUCUUCCUUGUUUUGGGGAGGAAAACACCUUUCCUUGUUUUGGGGAGGAAUAUAGGGAAAGUGUUUUGUUCUCUUAACACCCGUGGGUGUUGGUUCAAGGGCUGAGUGAGUUGUCUUUAAAGAAAGAAAAAAAAGGAGACCUCAUGUUUUCUGCCGAGAGGAAAAAGGGAGAGAGUGAGAGCUGGAAAAACAGAGGGCAGAGAAGAAGAAGAAAUCUGGAGCAGCAACCCCAUUUCGAAGAGAAGAAGGUGCUCUUCACUUUGGUUAGUAAUCAUCCAUCAAAAUAAUUGUAAUAGCUUUGAGCUUUGUAUAGAGAAGAAAUUAAUCACUAUAUUUUUUCUUCUCUAUUUGUUUCUUUGGUGUGUGAGAGCUUUUGGGUGUAUUGGGGUUAAGGGUUGUGAGAUUGCCAACACUUUGUAAACUCCCAUUUGGUUGAUAGUGGAUUAUUUGGUGAGCUCCUACUGCUCCGAGGACGUACUCCAGUUACACUGACUGUUGAGGAACCUCAUUAAAAUCUUGGUGUCUUUUAUAUUUUGUUCUUGCAUUUUCAUUUGAUAUAUUUCCUGUGGGUUAUCAAGAGUUGGUUCUAAAAGGUUUGGUGCUACCUAGCACAACAAUCAUCACCAUCACCAUCAUCACUACCAUCACCAUCAUCAUUGUCAGCAUCUUUCUUCAUCUUGGCCUCAUAAAAAUCAGACAAACGAAAGCUUCUCUUUAGGAAACUGGGGGCAGCAGCAUCCUUGGAAGCCUUGUACCUGCCGAGAAUGUGAUUGAAUUCAACUGGAUCUUGCGGCCACGUCUCCGACUGAAUUCGACCUGUUUACCGGUACUAGUAGUUGUUGGUGACACUGGACCAUUAUUAGUAUUCUCUUGCAUUAUUUGAAUCUGAACCGUCCAUGAGAAAUCGUAUGGCGUAUAUACCCGUAGUCUUACGAGUAUUUCAGAGAACACGUAUUUCAAAGAAUCUUAACAGAUACAUAAUUUGUCUUCUGGAUGACUAUUCAUUCAUCACACAAAACACAUAUUUCAGAUAACCUUAUCGGAGUAGUUUUAUUUCUCCGAUUACUACGCGUCUCUCGCAUUGCCAUUCACUAAGUAAAGAAAAUCUAGGUUGGAAGCAUUCCAAUUUGGAUUGGCCCAAGCCUUCCACAUUUGGUAGUUCUUAGCCUUUGUGCAAAUGAGCUUCAUAGUGCCAUUUCUGAGGAACUCUGUAGUCUCACAAUUCUCCAAAUUUUGGACCUUGAAGACGAUACCAAGAUGUUUCCAAAAUAUGACAUCCAUGGCCACUACCUUUUCAAGCGAAGGAGAUACCAGUAUCGAAUCUACAUAGAGAAUGCAUUUUUGGGAACCAAAGCUAGAGAAGUGAAAUAUAACAUAGUGCUUGGUUUGAUAAUGAGCUUGGACAUUUCAAGCAACAUGAUAUUUGAAGAAAUUCCUAAAGAGCUGACCAGCCUCAUUUGUUUGCAAUCGAUGAACUUAUCCAAUAAUCUUCACACGGGAAGAAUCCCUUCCAAGAUCAAUGAUAUGGGAUCAUUAGAAUCACUUGAUUACUACGAGAACCAACUUUCUGGUGAAAUAUCUCCAAGCAUCUCGAAUUUGACAUUUCUCCAUUAUUUGAAUUUGUCCUAUAACAAUAUGAUAGCGCAGAUGCCAAAAAGCAUUAAACUUCAAAGCUUUGAUCUGUCCAGUUAUGCUGGCAAUAAACUUUGUGAAGCUCCAUUGGAAGAUCGUUGUAGUACAAAUGAGGCCAUGCCAUCAAUAGGUUCUAACUUCUAUCUAAUGAGAAACACAAAGCAGGUCAUUUACUUGAUGAUGGUGGAUUCUAUCUAAGCUUGGGGCUUGGACUUGCAUUCGGGUUUUCGAUUAUUCUUAGUUUCACUGACUUUAAUGUGCCAUAUAGCAAUGUAUUUUCUCGGUUCCAAUCUUGACGAAAACACGUGUUGCUAAGGCCAUUCAUUCAUUCAUUGUUUCUGUUGCUAGAAAGGCCUCGUAGCCACCAUGACGUUCAACGCAAAGCUAAUAUCUUUAGGUGGUUUUUGUUAAGGCGGUGUUUCGACGAGUAAGUUAAAUGACAUUGAAUCCGACAAGAGGAAAAAGAGAAGCAAAUAAACAAAGGCCUAGCCAAGGCGAUAAAUUAUAUGUGUGCAAUGUUCCCAAGUUUUAUUCAGACAAAAAUUGUGUGCACAAAGCGCAAAAUUUUUUAUGAGAAUAUUUGAGUUUAUCGUCAUUCAUGUCGACAAAUGUCAAGUAAUAUGCUGAGUGAUGUCAAGACCCCAUGCUAAGUGAUGUCAACACGACUCGUCAAAUGUUGUCAAGAUAUUUUUAUAAAACAUUUCGUCAAAUACUUUAGGGUUAAUCUCAGUUUACUACUCUGAAGUUUUGUGGUGUUUCAUACAUCCGUUAAGUUUUCCGUUAGAACUGAGCGUCACGUGUCAAUAUAGACCCACUUCAAUAUUAAAAAAUAAAAAAAGUGCAAAAAUAAAAUAAAAUCCCAACCCGUCUUCUACCUCCCCCAAGCUCACUCCAACCACCAAAACCAGUCUCCCCCAACCCGCACCCUCCCUUCCUUCUUCCCUCAGAUCCAAAACGAAACGUAAACAAUUUGAGACCAUUCUAUUACUUGCUUCCAUUGCACCUUAAAGCAACGCUCCCAAUCAAACGAAAACCAGCAAAAAAGUCUAACUUCCAAAAUAAAAUGCAACCAAGUUCGGAACUUGCGAAAACCACACCAAAAACCCAAUCACGAAAGCUAAAAAACUCCCAUUUUCCAAUCCCACUAUGUAAUUUUUCAGAUCAUCCAAACAAAAACCCAGAAGCAAAAAAUAGAGAAUUGAAGAAAGUAAACUUUUUUCUCUUUACCGAAGUGAGAGUAGGAGUCGAAUUAAUAGUCAGCGCUGGUCUUGCCAUCGGCUUCGACGAAGGAGACCUCUGGCUCGCCAUGGAGUCAUCGACGGCCUUGUUGAGCUCGGGGUCGCACAUGGACUCGUCGGGGUUAGAGCUCUAGGGGACGUCUUUUACGGAGGGAAGAAGGAAGGUUAGAGCUCUCCGGGUCGCACAUGGACUCGUCGGGGUUGGAUCUGAGGGAAGAAGGAAGGGAGGGUGCGGGUUGAGGGAGACUGGUUUUGGUGGUGAAAGAAGGUCAGGGGAGAGGGUGCAGGUUGUAGAGGGAAGAAGGAAGGUUGGGGGAGACUAGUUUUGGUGGUUGGAGUGAGCUUGGGGAGACUGGUUUUGGGGGAGAGGGUGCGGGUUGCAGAGGGAAGAAGGAAGGGAGGGGAUUGGGGGAGGUAGAAUACGGGUGGGGAUUUUAUUUUAUUUUUAAUUUUUUAAUAUUGAAAUGUGCCUAUAUUGACACGUGACGUUCAGUUAUUGUCAUUUAGGUGUCACUUAAUCGGUUAACAGAAGUUCUAACGGAAAACUUAACGGAAGUAUGAAACUGUCCCAAAAUAAGACUUGAGGUAUGAAUCUGGAAUGAAAAAAACUUCAUAUACUAAAUGUUGAAAACCACAAAAUUUCAUGGUAGUAAAUUGAUAUUAACCCAAUACUUUAUGAGCAUAGAAAGAUCCCGACCAGACAUUUGAAGGGCUCCGGACGACCUUCACAUUUGUUUUUCUUUUCAGCAUUUGGAGGGUUCCAGGACCAACCAAGUCUCUACAUGGGUCUGCCAAUGAACAUGUCACACUUCUAACGUAUAUUUCUAUGUCCUUGUCCACUUAACCUUGUCUUCGAGUACUUCGAAAAAUUUAUCCGCAAAGACAAAUGAAUCUGCCGUCAUUGCCACACGAGAAAACAGCAAAACAUGAAAUUGCGGACAACACAACACCAAGUCAAUCUACUUUCUAUCAUAUUUUUUUGGUCAUUUUCUUUGACAUUGUAAAUUUCAAAUAAAAAACAGAGUGGGAGAAACAAGGACCCAAAUUCUUAUUUAUUUAUUUAUUCAUGAAACGACACACAAUAUUUACUUUCAUAUUAUGUCAAAAAAUAUGAAUGUGAUACUAAGCGUUAACUGUCGGUUUACCCCCUGAACUUUUACCUCACUUUCGAUUUCCCUCCUGAACUUUUAUAUUGGAAAAUUAAGGACUCAAACUAUUUUUUUUAGCCAAUUUGCCCCCUACCAUUAGUUUUUCAUAUAUUCCAUCCAUAUUUCCGUUAAGUGAAACCAUGUGCACAACAUGUGAGGGUAGUUAAGUCAUUUCACUCUUAAAAAUGAUUAAAAAACUGAAAAUUAAAAAAAACAAAACUUUCCCUCUAUUUUUUCCCGCUAAUUCCUAUCCUCGAUUUUAUUUUUCCCUCUCAUUCCUAUGCAUGAGAAAUGACAUAUGGUGUUAUUGUCUACCAUUUUUAUUUUCUCUAACAAAUUAAUAAUUUGACAAAUGCUAAUGAUGUUAUUGUCUCCAAAGCAGUGCAUUAAUACAAGAAACCCUAGUCUUUUUUAUGGACAUGUUUCUUAUAUUAAUGUACUGCUUUGGAGACAAUAACACCAUGAGCAUUUGUCAAAUUAUUAAUUUGUUAGAGAAAAUAAAAAUGGUAGUACAUGCUUCAAGAAAAAGAUUAACUUAUCUACUUAUGAAGACAAUAACACCAUAUGUCAUUUCUCAUGCAUAUGAAUGAGAGGGAAAAAUAAAAUUGAGGAUAGGAAUUAGCGGGAAAAAAUAGAGGGAAGUUUUUUAUUAUUAUUUAUUUUCAGUUUUUAAUCAUUUUUAAGAGUGAAAUGACUUAAUUAUCCUCACAUGUUGUGCACAUGGUCUCACUUAACGGAAAUAUGGAUGGAAUAUAUGAAAAACUAACGGUAGGGGGCAAAUUGGCUAAAAAAAUUAGUUUGAGUCUUUAAUUUUCCAAUAGAAAAGUUUAGGGGGGAAAUCGAAAGUGAGGUGAAAGUUCAGGGGGUAAACCGAUAGUUUACCCGUGAUACUAAUAUAUUGAACUAUACAAAAAUCACACUCCUUCGUUAGUGCGAAAAGUUGAAACGCAUUCAUAAGUACAAACUCGUGAGUGGGGUACCAACAUAUUAAACUCACACUAGUAUAGUAUUCAGGGUUUUGGGAUCCCCUUUUUUUUCAAAAAAUGGAGAUUGUUUGUAUGGCCCACACCACAUUGAACUUCAAUGAUUCAAACUGUCUAUUUUUCAAGUUGCACCUCAUAGAUCAUCGUUGCAAAAUAUUAGCCAAAUUAGAAAUAUUUGGGAAUCUAAUUGAGUUCAAAGAAAUUGACGAACACUGUGUUUUAAAAAACAUUGAAACUUCAUCGUGACAAAUUGACAAUUAAAUAGGCAAAUGGUGUAGCAGUUUUGUUACAUGCAUCAAACAUUGUGUUCUAAGAAACAUUAAAAUUAUGCAUCAAACUCAAGACAUCCGAUCUCUAUAUAUAUGCAUAACACUCGCUCAGAAUCUCAAAGUAGAGUACCUUUCUUGCAAGAGCAAGUUGUACUCAUGAACAUUUAUGAACUGGUAUCAUAACAAGUUGUUCCGUAAAUAGACAAUUAGUCAAUAUAUACUUUUGAACUUAAUAACCCACGUCAGAACAAUACAAUAUGUUGAAUACAUGAGCUCCUGGACAAUUUGUCUUACACAACUUAGCUAGCUGGUACCAGAUAAAAUCGAGAAAAGAUGUUUAUAUACUUGUACCAUCCCACACCACAAUUCAUAUUGAACUCCCCCCCCCCCCCCCCCGGCUCUCUCUCAUGAUGCAGCCUCCACGAGGGAGUAUCGUCGUCGCCGCCGCAGUCUUUGCAACUGUCAUCCAAGUGUUUUCCACGGCAAACUCCCUCCAAGAAGCUGAUAAAAUCACAAGGUUGCCAGGUCAACCACAAGUCAGCUUCCAGCAAUAUGCAGGAUAUGUAACUGUGGAUGAAAAGCAAGAGAGAUCUCUUUUUUACUACUUUGUUGAAGCACAAAUUGAUCCUGCUUCCAAGCCUCUUGUUCUUUGGCUCAAUGGAGGUGAGCUUCCAUCGAAAUCCAGUAACGAGUAAUAUAAUCCCUACCGGAAAUAUUUUACGCAUUAGUUUUUGUUAGUCAUACUGUUUCAGCCAACUUAGUGACGCUUGCGUUUGCAACACUUUAUACAUUAUUGAAUGCAUGUUACGUAUUACAAUUAUGAACCAAAUAAUUGAGCUUUGUGACUUUUAAUUGAAGGUCCGGGUUGUUCAUCUAUUGGAGUUAGAGCUUUCAACGAGAACGGACCUUUUCAACCAAGCGGAGACAUUUUACUCAAGAACGAUUUUAGUUGGAAUAGAGGUAGGUAAACCAUUAAAUUAGUCUUUAAGUGAUCACAAUUGUGUCACAUUCGUUGUUAAUUAGAUUCUGCUCCCAAUUAUUCACGUAACAUUGAUACUAAUUAUGAUGGAUUUUCUCUCGUUUAUAUAAUUUUUGCAGAAGCAAAUAUGCUAUACUUGGAGUCACCAGCAGGAGUAGGCAUCUCCUACUCAGCAAACAAUCAUUCUAUGGCUUUGUGAACGACGAUAUCACAGGUUUUCGCUUCAUAUGACUUUCUCAAGCCUCAUUCAACCAACAAAAUAUAACCCGAAAAUAGUAAACACGUACAUUCUGAUCAUGUUCCGAUUCUCUUCUUUUUAGCACGAGAUAAUCUCAAGUUCCUUCAGCGCUGGUUCGACGAAUUCCCCGAGUAUAAAAAUAGGGAUUUGUUUAUCACAGGACAGAGCUAUGCAGGUAACAUCAUUUACUUGUAAAACCAUCAUUUCUAUCACUAACGACCAAUUAGAAAACUCGAAAGGUACAAACUUACGACGCGCUUCUAAAAAAUUCCAUUUUGUCACUGCCAGGCCACUAUGUUCCACAGCUUGCACAACUCAUUAUCCAAUCAAAACUGAAGUUCAAUCUGAAAGCAAUAGCAGUAAACAAACGAGAAUCUAAAAAGUGAAGUAACUUUGGAGUUGAUGUUUUCGACUAAGAUGUCACGCUUGAGCUUUUUUUGCUUGCAGAUUGGCAAUCCUCUUUUCGAAUUCAAUUCUGAUAUCAACGCACCAGCAGAAUACUGGUGGUCACAUGGAUUAAUAUCGGAUGCGACCUUCAAAAAUUUGACUUCAGUCUGCAACUAUUCUGAAAUUAUUAGACAGGCGGUAAUUCGUGGUGGUCCACUUAUCCCUGCUUGUGAUGCAGUAGCGAACCAAGUUGAAAGAGAAGUCCCUAGACAUUUGAUCAACCAAUAUGACGUUACUCUCGAUGUCUGUUUAUCAUCCGUUGAAGCUCAAUCUUUCCAACUGGUAAGCCUUGGUAUUUUCUCCUUUCAUUUCUUUCAAAUUCUCUACGUUAAUAUACAAACUUCCAACUCACUGAUCACAUCUGCAGCGAAAAACAGUGAAGAUAGAUGUCUGUAUCGGAGAUGAAACAGUUACAUACUUAAACCGACCAGAUGUACAGGAGGCGCUUCAUGCCCGAGUCACAAAUUGGACAACUUGCAGCAAGUAAUCAUCUCAUCUCAUUUGAAUCACUGAUGCACGUAAACGUAGUAGGUUCCAAAGAUGAAUCAAAACAUGAAAGAAUUCCGAUUAUAUUCCAAACUAUUCAAAGAUCGAAGAAAUAUUCCUUGUGCAGCAAGUCUUUUCUGUUUACUGUGCUUCUAAAUUUGAUUAUCCUCUUUUACAGCGGAGGUGUAUGACAUGAAAAACCUGGAAAUACCGAUGCUUCCAGUUUUAGGUGACCUUGUCGAGUCUGGAAUUCGGGUUUUAAUUUACAGGUGAUGAGUCUCACCGUUGUACAAAUCAAAACUCUUGCCAUCUCUGAUAAUCUUAGUCUUUUAGAAAUUGUACUUGAAAGUACAUCUUUCAUGUUUCCCACAGUGGAGAUCAAGAUUCUGUUAUUCCACUAACGAGUACACGGACACUGGUGAACGGAUUGGCAAAGGACUUGGGGCUACAAACGAAUGUGCCUUACAGAGUCUGGUUUGAAGAAAAACAUGUCGGUUCGUGAAUAUAUUAACAGUGGAAAAUUCGGACUAUCUACUUGUGGUCUUAGCAGUUUUUAUCCUUUAUAAAUUUGUAACUUUUCAGGUUGCUGGAUGGACACAAGUAUACAGUGACGCUUUAUCUUACGCUACCAUAAGAGGAGCAGGCCAUGAAGCUCCAAUUUCACAGCCAGAGAGAUCAUUACAUCUAUUUACUUCAUUUCUGACAGGAAUGCCAUUGCCAAAAGCCUUAAGUACUAACUGACACAAAUUGCAGAAAUCAAGAAGAAACAAAUCUAUUCAUUUCUUACACGGAAUAAUUGAGUGAACAAAUUGUAAGAAAAUCGGUAUACUCAUGAGAACAAGAAUGUCAGUUUUAAGUAGCACUUUUUCUCUGCAUCAAUAAAGACAUUCGGAGGAAUGACAGGCAACAUCCAAACAAAACGUCUUCCAUAUGUUAAAAAGAGUUUAAUUGACACUCCAACAGAAAUCGAAAUUGUAACUUUAAGGAUGACUCCAGUACAUGGUACCCAACUUUAAUAGCCAACUUAUACAAAGCGCGUUGUAUUUCAAACCAAUAAGAUACAUCGACGUCCUCUCUCUAGACUCUAGUUCUUACUUCUUAUGAUGCAUAAUAACAUAACAUGUUUAAAUUCUUAGAUUGUUCGCUGCUAAAACAGAACCCUUUGCUGGAAAAUUUGUACGUGUCACUUUGCACUGAAGCACACCAUAUAAUUGGUGAGGCAAGAUAUUCGAUCACCAUUGGAGGAUAAGACUCAGGCCUUCGACAAUUUCCUAAUGAAAGUUAUGCAGAUUAUGUUUAUUUUCCCCUUUCGAGAACCCUUUAGGUUUAUUUUCCUGUGUUCCUAGCAAGACUUUAAUUUGUAGUGAAAUAAGAGGGGGAGGAGUGCAAGAUAAAUUUAUCAAGAACGAAAGCAUAGCCAAAGUAACCGACUUCCAACAAUGAAUUAAUUAAAUUAAAAUUACAAAGCAAUUUGCUAAUCUCUAAACAAAACAAUAGCAAGGCGAAUAUUGUUCAUAGCCAAACGGUAUAUCAAGAGUUAAACCAAUCAAACCAAAAAUUAGUAGAAGACUAGAAGUUCGAUAACCAAGGAUUCGAGAUGGUGUCCUUGGUUAAAUCUUCUUCUGUAAUUCUGAGUUCAAAAUCCACGCACUUGGCAGCAUUGGACAUUUCACAGGCAAUGGAGGCUUCAAUUCCAUGACUGAAGUAGUAGUAAUAAUUGGAUUCUUCGAUUCCAUGACUGAAGUUGUAGUACUAGUAGUAGUAGAAUUCACCGGAUUCUUAUUAAAACCACCCCAUUGGGCCGAUUCAUGAGUAACUUUUUGGCCUAAUGCGUCGUGAAUAAAUGGAUUUACAAGGUCCUGAGAGGGGGGCAACUGCACAUCAAAAUAUGCAGGGCUCAAGCAUCGCGGUGUUUUGCUUGAGCUUGAGUGAGUUCGGGAUAAAUUUUGAUUUUGUUUCACAGCAUAAUAUCUUUCCAUGGAAUCAAUCUCCAGUGUUGAUGCCUGUAUCUUGGCUUCGAGUGAAGCAAUGAGUUUAAUCAAUUCAUCUUCUGAAAAUAGGUCAAUUCGAGCAUCCCAUGUUGGGUACUUAUUCUCGGAAAUGUGCUUAUUGCCCGGUUUUUGAAGCUUGGGAUCGACAUGAUCAUCAUCAUCACCAUCACCAUCACCAUCACCACCAUCACCACCAUCACCACCAUCACCACCAUCACCGUCAUCACCGUCAUCACCUUUCUUCAUCUUGGCCUCAUAAAAAUCAGACAAACUGAAGCUUCUCUUUAGGAAACCGGGGGCAGCAGCAUCCUUGGAAGUCUUGUACCUGCCGAGAAUGCGAUUGAAUUCAACUGGAUCUUGCGGCCACGUCUCCGGCUGAACUGGCCUAAUCCCCUUCCUUUGGUCAGCUUCGUAGACAAUCAAGGCCACAUCAAUGUCACAAAGUUUGGAGAGCUCGUCCGCCUUCUUGUAAACGCUCUUCUUUCGCUUCCGAAAUGCCAUCUUUCGAGCAGUCUCGUUGGGAAUGAGUUCCAAGCUUCUUCUCGUAGGAGCCACCAUCUUCUUCUUCUGUGAAAUUAAUCUCAUGAAUUCUCAAUUCUGAGAGUCGUAAAUUGUAAUAAGAAGUAGGGUUUUGGAUGAGUUUUAUAGGGAGGGAGGGAAGUAGGGCGGCAGAGUUGUAUAUGGAAGCCAAAUUCGAAUAGGAAACAGAAAAAGUAGUUUUCAAAUGUAUCAGGAGACCACGAUUUCUCUAAUUAUUACUUGCUUUACACGUCACAUUCUAAUUAAUUAGGGUUUCCGUCUUAUAUCGUAUUUAGGGUUUCUGUCCUAUAUCGUCUUUGGGUUUCCUUCCUAUAUCGUAUUUAGGGUUUCCUUCCUAUAUCGUAACCCUAACCUAAUCGCCGGCCUAGUAAUAAUAGUUUCCCUUUUACACAAGGAAUAUGAUAACGGCAGUGUUUUUUUUUUUUUUCCAUUUUUUAAUCUUGGUGCGUUUUGGGAGAUUAAUGUACAUGAAACGGUCGCCGCUACGUGGCAUUCUAAAUUUAUAAUAUAAUGUCAUGUUAAAAACUUAAACAAAUAUUUUAUUAUUAGAUCAAAACAUCACGAUGAUAGUAAUAAAUCCAUUUGAGGUAAUUUUUUUUUUUUCUAGGUUUCGAAGACAUCUAUUUGUGUACUUAAUUAUCUUUUAAGUAGGAUAUCUUUUCUUUCUUUAUAAAUUAGGGAUAUAAUAAAAUAACUAUUAAAAAUUAGGGAAAUUUGAAUUUUUUGAUUGGAAAAAAAAAGAAGUUAAAGUUUAAAAAUUUUGAAAUCUCAAAACUCAUUCCAGUUUCACAUCUUUUAAGUUAUUUAAGUUUGGAACGAAAAUUUUUAAUGGUUGAGUUACUACAAUCUAGUGGUAGGUUUGAUUCUCACUAAAGGAAAAUUUGAAGCACAUUAUUGCUAAUCUAUUGUGAGGCUUAGUUCAACUUCACCCCUUAGUGUAGAUUUCAAAACAAAAAAAAAAAAAAAAACAACUUUUAUCUUGACUCUCAUUUUAUCUCUUAUAGUUAUCGUUAAAUCAAUCAAAAUUUCCAUUAAAUACGAUGAUGUGGCAGUUGAUAACCCUUCCUUAUAUAAAGAUUAACCUUUCCUCUUCUUUUUCUUUGAAAUAUUUUUGUUCACCACCCUAUUGAUCACAAAUUUCAAAAUUUAAACUCAUUCAAUGGUAAUAAGUAGUCCCACUUGAGGAGUUAAAAUCUUCCGGCCCAUUUUAUUAUGUGUGACCUUUAUCAUAGAUUGACAAGUAUUAAGUUCAUGAGUAACAUAAUUAAAAAGAGUUAAGUUUAUCGACACAUGUCAACCAGUCACAAGGCCACAUAAAAGCCACAAACAAAAUAGGUGCAUAAGAUUUGAACUCCCAUUUUAGGAUGGUGAGCAAAAAUGCACCAUUUUUUAUUUGAAUUACUAUUGAACUCGUCAUUUAUGAGAUUCAAAUCUAGAUUCUCUCAUUUAGAAUUGAAGAAGAAUACUAAUAAACUGUAAUACUUAUAAGCAAUUUUUUUCCUAUUUCAUUUGGUAAAAAGUUCAAAGAAUCCAUGAGUCUAAAAAUCGCGAACUGUUGUAGUCAUAUUUAGAAUAAGAAUGUAAUUGUGUAAAUCCUAAGAGAUAUGGGAAAAUAUCUUAUAUUUCUAUUAGGAUUAGAUUACCUAUUAAAUGCUGUAAUCCUAAAGCGAAAGUUUUUUUAUCUAUCAUAAUACUAUAAAUAAAGGUACAAUGCGGUGAAUCAAACACACCUCACAAUUAAAUCAAUAUAUCUUCUCUCUAAUUGUGGCCGGCCCCCUCUCUCUCUCUAAACCCUAGAUUGCUCAAUCAAAUAGGCCUACAACAUGAACAACGUACAUGAAACGAAUACAAGAACAACUUAUAUAGAAUGAGUUUAACAUCAUUGGCAUCUCUUGUUUAAUAAUACAUUUUAUUGUGUUAUUAUUUACACCGCUCUAGCCGACUGAAAAUCCCACAUUCCUUAGAGCACUCCAACCCCGAAAAAUCCCUUAGGGAAUGGUCCCCCCUCCAAAAAAAAAAAAAAAAAGCCUCAGGCCCCAAGGCCGACGUCAGCUACAAUUAAAAAAUUAAUGAAAAUAAUAAAAGUUAAUUAAAAAUACAAAAAAAUAAUAAAAAUUUAAUUAAAAAUACAAAAGGUUAUAAUUUUUUUUAUGAAUACCUAAUCAUGUUCUUCUACCUUACAUCACAUUUCAAUAUUUUCAAAUACAUUCAACCAGUUUUUCGUUAUUAUUCGAAAUUAAAAAAAGAUUAUCUUUGAUUAUUUUAUAAAAUAAUAAUAAUAUUUUAAUACUAAUUUAAGUUUACAUUUGGAGUUUUCUACCAAAGGCAAGGAAAGUGUUGGUGAAAAGUGAACUCCCUUUUUACGUAUCUAGGUACUUGACAUUCUAAGAAAGUUGUUUUGUGCAUUAACUAGAUCUCUCAUGUCACUUAAUACUAGACUUUAGUGAUAUAUUUUUUUCAAUUGUAAAAUUUCGAUUCAAUUAUUGCUUAAGAUAAAUUUGAAUUAUUUUUAUUAAUUUAUUGUGAGGCGAAACUAAACUUCAUGAAAUUUAGAAUAUCGUCUCGUGUAGGUUAGCGGGGUUUGUAGGGGUGGAACUUAAAAGAAAGAAGCACGCGGAUGCGGAGGAUGAGGAAGAGAGAGAUCCAUGGCAUACUAAAUAGUCACACACAACUGGAAGAGAGAGAGGGAGAGAAUCCUAGAGAGAGAGAGGGACCAUAGGAAAAAUGGGGAAGGGUCCCUUCUCUUUCAAGCGCAGCAGCAGCAGCGUACGACGCCGCCCCAAGAAGCUCAUUGGCACUCCACCUUCCCCUUUUCCCUCUCCGCCGCAGCCGAUUCGGUCUCCCCCGCCCUCCAACAGUGUCAAUGUUAACAGUACCAAUACGAAUAAUACUAGUCUCAGCGCGGUUGUUGCUGGCGGCGCCGGCGGUGGAGUGAAGGGGAAGAAGAAGGCUGGAGGAGCCAGGCUUUGGAUGCGGUUUGACCGCUUCGGCGUAUCAGAGCUCGUUGAGUGUGAUAAGAACGCUAUCAUUCGACGCGCUGCCAUUCCCGCCCGGGACUUGAGGAUUCUCGGCCCUGUCUUCUCCCAAUCCUCCAGCAUCCUUGGUACUCCUUCUCCUCCCCUUUUCUUAUUUUAUUUUGUCAAUUGUCUUACUUUAUAUGUUAAUUCUCUUCUGGGUUUUGCAAAUUUUACUAGGUUAUGCGCCUACAUUAGGGUUAGGGUUAGUUUUAUCAUGUCGAUUUGUUCUAGGAAAAAGUUAGUUCAAGGAGAUUGGGAUUCUGGGCUUGGAAUUGCAAUUUGUAAUAAUUGUUUUUGUUUUGUCUUUGCCCUGUUUUUGUUUGCCUCUUGAAUCAGUGCCAUUGCCUUGGGGGUGGAGUUUCAGAUUAGGGUGUAGCUAGGAAAGUUUUGCAAAGGUAACAAUCGCCAACCUGCGCAUUACAAGAUUAAGGCUUGCAUUUGAUUCCUUUGGGGGAGUUUGUAAAAAAAAUUUACUUUAGUUGGAACUUGGAAAUUACUUUUCAAAUUUUGGGGUGUGUGAAAUUUUUGUAUAAAUUUCAACUCAAGUGAGUAAAUAUGCAACUUAACCUUGCAUUUGAAAUUUUGAAGUGACGGCUUAGAACCUUUGGAUUCUUGACCUGCACACCAUGAUCUUGGCCAAAAACUUGGCUCUCAGCACAUGUUGCUUCAGUAUAUAUUUUUACGUUGUUGCUCUAGACUUGGUUGUUGGUGAUUUAUUGGUAUAGAAUAUUUUGUAGUAUUAUUGGUUUUAAUACGAGUUGAAACUUAUAUCAGUAUAAGAAAACUCCCUGAAAUAUCCCCUUUGCUCACCUCUAAGUUUUUGGACUUGACCAGAGGUGGAAAAUUGGGGGGCGGGUUAGGGCAGGUUAUAUGGUGGGCAAUAAAUGCAGCACAAGAAACUUUCCGGUCUCAAUUGUUUAGUUCACUCGUUCUCCUUGGAACAAUGCCUUUAUGAGUUAUACUACUAUGAAUACAACUUUUAGUUGCUAGUGUUUUAAUUGUAACCUGUGUAGCCAUAGUAGACCAUGAUAAAUAUGUUUUCCUCAUUUCAAUUGCAGCCAGGGAGAAGGCCAUGGUGGUUAAUUUAGAGUUUAUAAAGGCUAUAGUUACAGCCGAAGAGGUUUUGUUGCUUGAUCCUCUUCGGCAGGAGGUUCUUCCAUUUGCAGAUCAGCUAAGGCAACAACUUCCUCAGAAAAGCCAAUCCAGGAUACAAGAAGCAAGUCCACUUGAUGAACAAGAUAAUGGAAUGGAUGCUUCAACUAUAAGGCAAUGGUUACCUGUUCCCGAGGCUGUUGAAGGAUUGCAGUGUGAUCUCCCAUUUGAGUUUCAGGUUCUGGAGGUUGCAUUAGAAGUUGUCUGUAUAUACUUGGAUUCUAGUGUGGCAGAACUUGAGAGAGAAGCCUACCCUGUGUUAGAUGAACUGGCUAGAAAUGUUAGCACCAAAAACCUUGAACUUGUGAGGAGUUUGAAAAGCAAUCUUACCCGUUUGCUUGCACGUGUCCAGAAGGUAUGUUUGCUUAAUCCUACCUCAUGACUCAUGAGUCAUUGUUCUCUAUAUUUGUUCAGAUGAGUUGCUAUGCUGUUCGUUCAGAUGAUUUGCUAUGCUGUAUCUAAUUUCAAUCCUUUCCGGCAUCAAUAACCUGACCCUGCUUGGAGUUAAAGUGUUUCUCGAGUCAUAAUUUUUGUGAGUUUUCAGUUUGUUUUGAAGAAAUAGGUUUCUGGAGCACUGGAACCUUAAAUAAUAUAAAACUAUCAAAUAUUAAUAUAAAGCAGCAAAUCCCAGGUUGACAUAAAUAAACCCUAAUUAAGUGUCACCACACAAUCUGCUUCAAGAAUGUUUCAUGAAUUAGGAAUUGAUACAUACAUGGUGAUGCGCUUGUAAUAUGCCAUUCAAUUGUCACCAUUAGCUGAUAGAUGUACAUUUCUCAUUGCAGCUUGAUAGAAUCCUUUUAUUCUUAGAUAUUGGAGAGGAAUUGAAUUUGUGUCAAACAUGUGAUUGAGGGUUUGACUGUUUCCAGAUUAUGCAGGACUACAAAGAGAAGUGGAUACUCUUUACUAUUUGACAAGUUGAUAUGAAACGUUUUUGUAAAACGGGUUUGGACUUAGGAUACCUUUUUAUUUGUAUGCUAUUUUCUUUUUGAGUAACAAGCGUGUGUCUGUCUGAUUUCAGGUGAGGGAUGAAAUUGAACAUUUGUUGGAUGACAAUGAAGAUAUGGCACAAUUAUAUUUAACAAGGAAAUGGAUGCAGAAUCAACAGCCUGAGGCUUUGUUGGGGCGUUCUGCAUCAAAUAGAAUCUCUGCACCCCAUCUUCGUCGGCUUGGUUCUAACAGAAGUGGGAGUUUGGUAACCAGUAACAAUAUGGACUACGAUGAUGUAGAAGAUCUAGAGAUGCUGCUUGAGGCAUAUUUUAUGCAGCUGGAUGGAACCCGUAACAAGAUAUUAUCUGUAAGUGCCAAUUGUUGUGACCUACUAUAACUUUAUACCCAACAACUUGACUUCUAAGUUCAAUUUACGUACAUGCUUUAAAGUAUCUCUUCCUGGAGAAUUCAACCUUUUACAAAACAAUCUUUAAAUAUCAGUUGUCACCAUUAGCUUGUGUUUUAAUGCAGUUGCAUCAACUUUGAUGGAGUUCCAGAUAACUAAUUUUAGGUUAGAUUUCUUAAAUGUUGCAUAUUUUCUACUGAGUUCUGUGGUUGCACUUGCUCCUGAGCUCUUGUGGAUUCCCAGUUGUAACUAAUUUCACUAUCAUCGGUAUAUGAGGAUUGUCAUUUAGAAACCAGUUAGCCGUGCAUGUUAAGCAUAAUUGGUUAUUGUGUUAAUCUGUCCUUGAAUAUUGCUCAUGUUCUUGUCGUGUUCAUUGGAUGUAGGUGCGGGAGUAUAUUGAUGACACGGAGGAUUAUGUCAACAUACAACUUGACAACCAACGAAACGAACUCAUUCAGCUCCAGUUGACAUUGACCAUUGCAUCAUUUGCGGUAGCGGUGGAGACCUUGAUAUCUGGGAUAUUUGGUAUGAACAUCCCCUGUAUCUUAUACGACAAGGAUGGGAUAUUUGAGGCCUUUGUUGGGGGUAUUACAGCAUUUUCCGUGUUACUCUUCUUUCUCGUCUUCGGGUAUGCGAGGUGGAAAAAGCUGCUUGGUACAUGAGUCGAGCCUGUCAUCCGUCGUAGAUAGUACUGGAUUCACAAACUUAUUUACGAACCCUAAAGCAACGUCUUUGUAAAUAAGCUUGUGGUUUCAUGUUGUAUGAGCACAAGGAGUUUGUUAGGGAUUUCAUGGCUUGGUAUGCUGCCAGAUUCGUUUCGAAUUACAUGGCAUGUAGUUUAGUAUAGUGUUGCAUAUGAUAAACUGAUGAAUGAAUUUUCUUGGGUCAAAAUUAACAAGCGUUUUUGUUAAUUUGAAGAAAAUACAUGGAAUACUUAGAGCUAAUGGAAAACUUGACUCAAAAUCGAGCUCAUUGGCAUUUUAGGAUGUAUACGGCAGACUCUACUUAAUAAGUUCAAGCUCUUUGUUGUUGUAUAAUUAACUAGUAUUUUUGUUAACGGUUUGAAUAAAUUGUUGGUAAGAUUUAAGAACAAAAAGCUUGUAGCUCUUUGUUCUUGGUAAAGAGCAUUUUCACUUCCGGCCAAUGUUCCGAGUUCAAUCUUUCCUUGCUCAAUGUCGUUUGUAUGUGUGAUCAUAUGGGGACUCAUAAAUAAGGGACACCCUGUGGGCCCAAAAUAUUAUGAAUUUUGAUGAUUUGACUGUUUAGGGCUAGUUUGGAAAUGGUUUUAAAACAUUUGAAAUGUUUUUUUAAGAAAAAUGUUUUUUUAGAGGCCAAUCCUUAAUUAAAAUGCAAGUAAAUUUAGAAAAAUCAUUUAAAGUGUCACAUCCCGACCCGGGCUCCACCACAUCCCGGGCUCAACUCCACCGUAACACGAUAUUGUUCGCUUUGGGCCCCAACCACGUCGUCAUGGUUUUGUUUCUGGGAACUCAGACGAGAACUUCCCAGUAGGUCACUCAUCAUAGGAUUGUUCUUGCACAAAUUCGCUUAACUUCGGAAUUUGGAGCUCCCAAAAGCCCUCGUGCUAGGUAGAAAUGAGAAUAUAUAUAUAUAAGGCUUACAAGAUCCACUCACCUAGGCGAUGUGGGAUAUUACAAUCCACCCCCCUUAGGGGCCCAAUUUCCUUUUCGGCACACUUCCGACCAGGGAUUGACUCUGAUACCAAAUUGUCACAUCCCGGCCCGGGCCCCCACCACAUCCCGACUCGACUCCGCCGUAGCACGAUAUUGUCUACUUUGGGCCGCGACCACGCCCUUACGGUUUUGUUUCUGGGAACUCAGACGAGAACUUCCUAGUGAGUCACCCAUCAUGGGAUUGCUCUCGUGCAAACCCGCUUAACUUCAGAGUUCCGAUGAAACCCGAAGUCAAUGAGCUCCCAAAAGGCCUCGUGCUAGGUAGAGAUGAUAAUAUACAUAUAAAGCUUACAUGAUCCACUCUCCUGAGCGAUAUAGGAUGUUACAUAAAGUGUUGCCCGCAAAGAGCACGUAAUUGGUGCUUCUUGUAUGAAGCAUUUCAAGUGUUUUUGAAACCCAAAAUAUUUUUCUCAAAAACAGUUUCAAUUAUUUUAAAAACACUUCUACAUAUGGGUUUAGUAUUUGGUUAAGCUGCAGCGGCCAAAAUUGGUUGAAUUAUGCGGACAUGUUUGAUAUAUAUUGUAAUUGUACUGAAUUUGUUGUCUUGUUGUAGAUAUUGAUGAGGAAUUGGCCAUCCCCCCUCAUGCUCCUUUUAUGUGCCAACUCCUCCUCUCACUCUUUCUAUUUGUCGAUAUCUAUUAAUUAAUAAAUGUCGUUGUAAUAAGAAAUUAAAACCAAAGGAAAUGCUUGUAUGCAAUAAAGUUGCAAAACUCCACAAAGAAAAGUAAGGGCUCGUGAUUAUAAAAUGAUUGAAAUUUUUUUUGGUGAAAUUUUUUUUAGAAUUAAUUUUUAAUAAAAUUAUAAGUGGAUUCUAAAAGAGUAGUUGAAGUGCUUCUUGCAGUGCAAGAAUCAUUUCAAGUGUUUUUAAAACCCAAAAUUAUUUUAUUUAAAAGAGCAUUCAAACAUUUGAGAAGCACCUUUGAACAAGCCCUUAAAAUAGCCCUACUAUUAACAUUCUAAUGGGGUAGGAUUAUUGUUGGUUUGGGAAUUAGGGUUUAUAAUAAUCUAUUGAUUGAAAAGAAUAUUAUCAUUUCAAUUCUUUUCACAAAAGAAAAAAAAAAGUCAAACUCGUGAUGAAUUUGAGUUCUCUUAUUAUUUUGACAUGCUCAAACUUGUAAUCCAAAUGGUCUAAUUAUAAAUUUAAUUGGCGAUUUGGUAACUAUUUCGUUUUUAUUUUUAUUUUUUAUUUUUUAUUUUUUAUUUUUUAUUUUUUAUUUUUUAUUUUUUAAAAACUAAAAUGAUUAUUAAAAUGCUCUAAGAGCUCCCCAUUUUGUUCAAAAUUUUAGCGAAAUACGGUGUAAACUCUAAAUUUCUAAUGAAGUAAAUAUUGCUUUACCAGUAAAUUAUAAACCAACAUGAAUAAAAAUAUAUGAAUAUUUCAUAUAUUUUUACAUUCAUUAUGUGAUUUAUAAUUUUGACCGUUUACAAAUGCAUUGGACUUCUUUGCUAAAGUUGGUUUUUGGUAGCAAAUGGAAAGAUGUUUAUUUGAUUGGUUUUUGAAUAAUUUAGAUACGAGUGUGUUAAACCCACAACAGAGCGCAUGCAUUUUUGCUAGUUACCUCGAAACAGCACAAAAAAUUCAUAAUUUUUACAUGAAAAUUUAGUCCUAAUCAAUGAUACUGAGCAAUUAGAAGGAGUUUUAGUCUUACUUACGCCUCGAACGACGAGGAACCCGUCCAAAUGUCACGAUCGCCGUCGGAGGUCUCGGUCCGAAGCUUGGCUUUCCGUUUCCACAAACACUGGGGUGAUUGGACUUGCUGGGCUGUGGAAGUGGGGACGGUGGUCUUUGCUGCUCUCGCCGAUGGGAUUGCCACCCAUUAUUCUCGGCUUACCGAGAACGAAAGGGAGAGAGUUGCCUCUCCCGAAAGUUCUUGAAUGUGUUCUCCUCCCAAAAUGAGAGGGAGAGCCCGGGGAAGAAGAAGGGAGGGUGGGUCCCAUGGACCCCAAAACAAUUUAAAAUAAAACAUUGUCCAGCAAACGGACGAAAUUACUAAAAAUACCAUUGCCUUUAAAGUUUCAUAAAACUCAUUUUAAGUCUAAAUUGUUGUAGAAAUGGAUGUCCACUCAAAUAAUGGGCAAGUUGCCCUUCCACUAUUUAGCAUGUGAUUUACUUGUAUAAAAACAAGCCUUAUGAAACACAACAAAGGGAUAGAUAGAUGUGAAGGGUUCACGGGAAAGAAAGAGAGGAAGGAAGGAAGAGGAAGAGAGAGAAAGAAGAGGAAGAGAGAGAAUAGAGGAAGAUGAGAGGAGAUAAUAGAGAGAGUUAUCUUUGUACUCCUAUUAUUCUAAAUUAUAAUGAAAGCACCACUGCUGCCCCGAGGACGUACUCCAGUCACACUGACUGUAGAGGAACCUCGUAAAUUUUGUGUCUUGUUUCAUUUAUUCCACUGCACCCACAGUCGAUUUUACAACACGUUAUCAGCACGAGAAGCUCUCAUGUCGGUGGAAAGCACUACUUACCUCUCACAUCUAUCGGCUGGAAUCUCACAGAUAAGAAAAUCUUUUCAUUUCAUUCUCAUAUCUCUAAAUGACUAAUUUUCUUAAAGUAAAUAUACAUGUGGUUAUAUAAGUAUUGUCAUUAUUAUUGGCAGAAAAUCCGACGAUCAUAUGAGAUUUGAAACUUCAACUUCCAGUGCUCAUACAGAAACCAUUCCUUCAUAAAAGUUGUUCCUUAUCCUCUCUCCCAUAACAUACCAAAAUUCCAGAACCAUCCAACGGUUAAAUCAUUCCAUAUCUUAGAAAUAAUACUACAGACUCAAAAUCCGCAGAAAAUUUGGCAGCCAUGUAAAUAGCCACUGAACUCCAACUUCCUGACAUCCGAUUGAAAUACUUUCUUCUUGAAAGUUGUUUGUCCGCCUAGUACCUAGAACAUAUCCAAAUUUCAGAAAUUGUCAACGGUGCGAUCGUCGUAGAUGACUGAAACUUCAACUCAGCUUCCAUUUCCGCAGAAAACUGGACAGCCAUCUUAUGAGUACCAAACCUUCAUUUUCAGAAGCUCAGCUUGAAACUGUUUCUUCACGAAAGUUGUUUGGUAUCUUCUUAUCCAUAUCAUACUAAAUUUUGAGUUAAAUCUAACGGUUUGAUCUUCUUAUAAGUGGCAGACAAAGAAAAGUGUGAUUAUUUUGGGUAGUUGGAAAGAAAGAAAAAUAUACAUAUAUAAAUUGAAAAAGGGAGCAAAUGGAUGGUGUGUCGGUUGGACUAUUUAAAGAAAACAAAAAGGUUUUGGAAGUGAGUUGCACCAUUCUGAAAAAUAAAUAAAUAAAUAAAUAAAUUGGAAAGGUGGAUUUUUGGUGCAUGAUGUUGUCACAAAAGGAGAAAAGAACAAAUAUUAUUGGAUGGUACACGGCACCAUGUGAAUGAAUAAGAAACGAAAAUAUAUAUUUAUUUAUGUGAAUGGUGUUGGCUUAAAACACUUUCACAAGCUCUAUUUAUUUAAAGCAAUUUAUUUUCAGUGGGUAGCAUUAUUACCCUUUGCUUUAAAGCUUUGAUAUUUAUGUGCAUGGUGUUGGUUUAAAGCCCAUGUCACAAGUUCUAUUUACUUUAAAGCAAUUUAUUUAUCAUGGACGGUUUUACCACCUACUGCUUUAAGUUUUGAUUUAUGUGAAUGGUGCUGAAUUAAAGCCCUUGUCACAAGCUUUAUUUACUUAAAUGCAAUUUAUUUACUAUGGUUGGAAUUACCGCCUAGUACUUUAAUUUAUUUAUUGUACUUAUCUUUUGUUACUAUGAAUAUAUACAGGACCUGAAGUUCCUUGAUCAGAUCAGAACCUGCAGUUUCUUGAUCCUCAUCAUAUAAAAUGAUUGGACCCGAAGUUCCAUCAUACAAAAGGAUCUGGCAUGAAGUCCCUUGAUCCUGAAGAUCAGGACAUGAAGUUCCUAGAUGAGUACCGUAAGUUUGAAGUGCCGCAGUGCCUUAACUUAAUUGUAAUAAAAGCCAUAAGAGUCUUAGUUUACAGACUAUUAAAUAAGGACCAGAAGUUCCUUAUGUCCAUACUCAAAAUGGUUUAGCAGAAGCCUUUAUUAAGCGAAUGAAAUUGAUUUCCCGCGCUCUGCUCAUGAAAACGAAAUUGCCAAUUUUCUACAUGGGGACAUGUAAACUUUACAUGAUGCAUUAUUAAUUCGGUUGAGACAUGUUACCGACCAUCAAUACUUCUCAGUACAACUCGGGUUUGGAACCAACCAAACAUUAUACAUUUACGAGUUUUUGGUUGUGUUGUCUAUGUGCAUGUAAGACUGCCACAACGUACUGAAAUGAGGCAUCAUUGCAGAUUAGGCAUUGAUGUUGAACACCAUCUAUCAUUCAAUAUUUGGAAUUCUUGAUUGGGGAUAUGUUUACCGCAUGGUUUGCGGACUGUCAUUUUGAUAAGACAAUUUUCCUGCCAUUAGGGGGAGAAAAUAAUAUUGUUCCAGAAGAACGAUGAGAAAAUAUCAUUCCAAAAGAAUGAUGAGAAAAGACCGUUCCAGAAGAACGAAGAGAAUUUGUCUUAUUUUGAUUCACGAAGCAAUCAAUAAGAAAAUGAAAUAUGAAUAAUUGAAUGAUGCAACGAAAGUGAUGAAAUCAUAUAUACUUACUGCAAAUGUGCCUACAAGAAUUGAUGUCUCUGUUGGAUAAAAUAAUGAGACAGUAAAUGAUUUAUCUGUUGCACGCCUAAAGCGUGGCAGAUUUUUAGACUCAAAAGGUUCAGUUAUUCGAAAGAAGAAUAAUAUGGCACUACUGAACUAUUGCAUUCCCGAAGCAUAACUGUUGCAUGCCAGAAGCAUGACAGUCGCCGCGUGGAUACACGUCCCAGAUAGGACAAUCCACAGAUAUGAGAAUAUUGAUGUCUCAUGCAUGAAGCAUGAUUGACGUAUAGGUUCUAAAUGACUCAACUCUUGGAAGUGGAGAUUAAAAUCCAAGCUCUAUAACGCUCAAGAAGAGGUUAUGAUCCGCAUUCUCUAAACUAUGACUAUCCUGGAAGAGAUAGUGUAAUGCCCUUGAAGAGGCAAUGGAUAUCCAAAGAAAUGAAAAGCUUUUAUGCAUGCGCAUGCACAUGAGAAUAUGGGAUCACGGAUUGAUGAUAACCAAUGGUAAUUUUGGUUUUUACAAGUACCUACUAAAUUCAUCAAUGAGCUGUGUUAAUAUUGAGUCACGUUCUUUUGUUCGUCGACAAAAGAAAAAUUAUUGGCCAAAAUGGAGAAAGGCAAUUCCAUUACAAAUUUUGUAAGAACGUGGGCAAAUGAACCUAUAUAUAUUUGAAUACAAUACAAAUAGCCAAAGGAUGUUAAACCAAGGAGGUUAUAUAUGGGCAUUUGUAAUAUAGUGUAAUACACUUACAUGAUAUGACACAAGGUUGUAAACGAGUUCAUAUGAAUGGAGAAUUAUAUACGAAGGGUUGUGAGUCGCCCACAUUAUAUCUCCAUAAGUAAAUCCCUCAAGUAUACAUGGGAGCAAAUUGCUCUGUAUAAAUUCCAAAGGAAAAUGUGUCAUGAAGUGUAGAAAACCCUUGAAGGAUUCAAAUUGCUUGAAGUAAGCCUCUGAAGGGUAAAACAUAAAAUAUGUACUCAAUACCAAUUGAUGAUAUAAAUUACCUUAGUGAGUACUAUCAUUAUGAUAUUGUUGCAACAUACUAAAAUCUCUUGCAAGAGUCAAUGACAUUAAAUUAUAACUCUUGAAGAGUCGAUGAUAUUAAAUUGGGACUCCUGAAGAGUCUAGAAAAAAUUAUAAAGUGUUGAAGGAAUUAUUGUCUCGAGCUGCAGAUCGAACAAUCUACCAACACGAAUCUUAUCCAUGAUAUUUAUGAUAUUAAAAGAACCAUAUGGAUUGAAGAUUAUGAGUUGAAUACUCAUAUGAUGAAGACACUAAGAAUAAUCAUUUAUCUUCGUGAGGGUAAAGAUAAAUUAAUAUUUGGUCCAGAAGCACCACAUCUUAGUGAAGUAUAUGCUUUAUUGUAUUUGGCACAAUACAUUGAAUGAAAUAAAGCUUAUUUAUUAAUAUCUCCAAGAAAUUACAGAUAUAUACAUACACAUGAGUUAAAAAACAAACAAACAGGAUGGAGCCUUCACAAAGGUUGCUCAUGUGAAGCCUCAGUACUCGGAAGUACCCCAGAAGGGGGAGGCACUGGAGAUUGAUCAUGUGGCACCCCAGUACUUAGCAAAACACCAGAAGGGGAAGGCAUCAGUUGCUUUCGGAAUCUAGCAACGAACCUCUGGUGAUCACUUUGAAUCCGACUUUCGGAUUCCUGCAGUUGGACGAGCUUUCUUUUCAUGCUCGUAGAGUAACUAUUUGCAAGCACGUGUAACACCCUAUUCUCGUGCUUGAGCCCUCUGAUCUCUUGUUUAAGACUUGCCACCUCCGCCAUCAAUGAUUCAACUUGGCGAGUUUGAGCAAGUAGGCGUUGGCCCAUAUUGGACACAGAGCCAGCACACUGAACACUGAGAGCCAAGGAGUCUUGAACGGCCGACUCUUCAGACCGUUCUGAAAGGAUCUUGUUAUCCCUUGGAGUGAGAAGAUUCCUAGCUACCACAGUAGCGGUUAUGUUAUUCUUCAUCAUAGAGUCCCCAACCGUAAGAGGACCAUUAGAAGAUAAGAAGGACGGGCGCCAUAUAUUAUCUUGACGCUGCUCGUCUGUAUCACUCCUAAGACUCAAAUCUAAGCAAAUGUUAGAUGGGCAAGUCAUUUUUCAGAAAUGAUGAAGGAAAAACAGAGGUCAAAUAAAAUUUCAGAAGUGCAAGAAGGUGGAAAUUUCUCAGGCAGCAACUUUCUGAGCAUACUCUUGAACACAAUUGAUGUCUCUAUAAAAGAAGAGGCAGCAGAGCCACUUGUUCAAAGAUCGAUGAGUCACCGCUCUCCGAAUUUCAAAAGCCAGAUUUUCCUGAAUAAAAUUCGUUGGCAUUUUUCAGACGUAAUCUCAGCUUUUCAGAUAUCGCGUGCAACUUUGUCAAAGAUCUCUGACAAAGUUGAAAACGCGUAAAUCUUACUGUUCUAUUUACACCACAGUUGCUGACAAGAGUAAAAGCACAGCACCACCACUUGCUAUUGAGAAAUCUCUAUAUAUGUCGACCUCUGUUCUCCAUAACAAGGCAGACCCGCAACACUGCAAGAAUACCUAACUCUUCCUCAUCUCCGAGAAUGCAUCUUCAACAUAGUAUUUCGAAAUACUCAGUUUUCUUCCUCUCCGAGAAUACCUCUUCAAACAUGUCACACCAGAGCAAGAUUAUCACAUAUCUUCAGGGACCAGAGCAAGAUUAUCUCAUAUCAUGCAAUCUCCCUGUCAUUUCAUUUGUCCUUGUUCUUGCCUACGAAGACAAGGAUAAAGAAAGCAAUAUGUCGGAACUUCCACUCAAACUCCCGGUAAGGAACCGACUGCCUGGAACCUUUCCUGAUUGCUUACCUAGUGUUGCUCUCGAGUAGUCAUCUUUAACGGUUGGAGCUGGGUCUCCAGUCACCAAGAAGUGAUGAACCAUUCAAAUGCAAGGGUUUGCAUUCCUCUCCUGCAUCAGGGGACAAAUCCUACAAGAGAAGAUGCCACACAUGCAUGGGGGAAAAGCAAGGAAAAUACUACUUAAGCAAGGGGAGCAAGUAAGGAAAGUGAAAAUGAUACAUUGAAGCAUGUGGAGACAAGCGCAACAAACGCGUGCUGAUUCAUCCCUAACAAAACUGAAGAUCACUUGCCACAUGAAGCUCCUCAUGGUCCAAUUUCAUUCAAGAUCAAUCCUCGAAGGUCCUUGAAGAAAUCACAAGUCCGAUUCAAGAUCAAGUGUCCACCACUUUUGAAUCAAAUUCCACUCCAGAUAAAAGGAGUAAAUUCAGAUCUUCGAUACUAGUCUAGCAGAAAGUCCUACAACUCAGUUCAAGAAAAAGCCUGUGGAAAGUUAACAAGUAAAGCACCUCUUUCAGCAACUCUUCUUACUAAGAGACUAAAGCAGAACAAUCAACGAUCAACCUAAAUGAUUUGAAAUCAGGGGGAGAUACUCAUCAGGGGGAGCAUCUAAAACAGAUCAAGAUUUUAACGAGUCAAUCGAAGACUUGUAGCCAUCCAAGGGGGAGUGUUGUAGAAAUGGAUGUCCACUCAAAUAAUGGGCAAGUUGCCCUUCCACUAUUUAGCAUGUGAUUUACUUGUAUAAAAACAAGCCUUAUGAAACAUAACAAAGGGAUAGAUAGAUGUGAAGGGUUCACGGGAAAGAAAGAGAGGAAGGAAGGAAGAGGAAGAGAGAGAAAGAAGAGGAAGAGAGUGAAUAGAGGAAGAUGAGAGGAGAUAAUAGAGAGAGUUAUCUUUGUACUCCUAUUAUUCUAAAUUAUAAUGAAAGCACCACUGCUGCCCCGAGGACGUACUCCAGUCACACUGACUGUAGAGGAACCUCGUAAAUUUUGUGUCUUGUUUCAUUUAUUCCACUGCACCCACAGUCGAUUUUACAACAUAAAUCUUGUUCUGCUUAACCCCAUGCGUAGUGAUGAAUGCAAAUGUCACAUGUGUCCCGACUACUAAGUCAACAGAUGUCUACACUCUACAUACACCAUGAGGGGCAGUUUAGUCAUUUCCCAUCUAGAAGGUUAAAAUACUAUAAUUUAGGCCACAAAAAAAUUGGGUGCAAAAGAUUUGAACUCUCAUUUGAGGGUGGGGAGCAAAAAUGCACUAUUUAUUUAUUUGAAUUAGUUUCUAACUCGCUAUUUAUAAAAUUCGAAUAUAAAUUCUCUCACUUAGAAUUAAAGAAUAAUACUAAUAAACUAUACACUUAGGCACAAUUUUUUUUCUUGUUUUAUUUGGAUCUAAAAAUCGGAUCAGGAUCCUCUCCUGAGCAGAUGGAGAGGAUCCUCCUGACCAAGCCCAUCGGGCCGUUCAUUUUUUAUCCAACGGCUAUAAUUAUUAUAACUUUUAGAGGGGCCUCCUGUUUGUAACUGUUGGAUAAAAAAUGAACAGCCCGAUGGGUCUGGUCAGGAGGAUCCUCUCCAUCUGCUCAGGAGAGGAUCCUGAUCCCUAAAAAUCGUAAACAACUUACAUGACACCAAUAUAAAAACAAUUUAUAUAGAACGAGAACGGCACUCAUCAUGUGACGUCUCUCGUUUAAUAUACAUUUCUGCAACGUUUUAACGUCGCAUGACGAUUAACCUCACCACCAGUACACCGCCCCGUAUAACUUCUUCUUCACCAUUACACCGCCCCCAGCCGGAUGAAAAUCCCGCAUUCCUUAUAAUAUGUCAAGUAGGCGCUGCCUAGGGGAGUCUGAUCGGAGAGACAACUUAAAAGAAAGAAGCAAGCGGCUGGGGAGGAUGAGGAGGAGGAGGAGGAGGCGGAGUCCGAGUAGGAGAAGUGGAAGGGGAAGGGGAAGGGGAAGAGAGCGAUCCAUGGCCAACUGAAUAGUCACACACAACUGGAAGAGAGAGAGGGAGAGAGUCCUGGAGAGAGAGAGGGACCAUAGGAAAAAUGGGGAAGGGUCCCUUCUCUUUCAAGCGCAGCAGCAGCAGCAUACGACGCCGCCCCAAGAAGUUCAUUGGCCCUCCUUCUACUGUUUUUCCCUCUACGCCUCAGCCGAUUCAGUCUCCUUCGCCCUCCAACAAUGUUAAUAUUAGCAAUACCAAUACCAAUAGUCUGAGUGCAGUAGUUGCUGGCGAUGCCGGCGGUGGCGUGAAGGGGAAGAAGAAGGCAGGAGCCAGGCUUUGGAUGCGAUUUGACCGCUUCGGCGUGUCAGAGCUCGUCGAGUGCGAAAAGAACGCUAUCAUUCGACGCACGGCCAUUCCCGCCCGGGACUUGAGGAUUCUCGGCCCUGUCUUCUCCCAUUCAUCCAGCAUCCUUGGUACUCCUACAUAUUUUAUUAAGUUAUGCACCUACAUUAGGGUUAGGGUUUUGCAAUCAUCUUACUUUAUAUGUUAACUCUCUUCUGGGUUUUGCAAAUUUUAUUACUUUAUAUGUUAGUUCACUCGUUCUCCUUUGAACAAUGCCUUUCUAAGUUAUACUACUUAUGAAUACAACUUUAAUGUAUGUUAUCUUAUAGAAAGUAUUCUCUGCAUGAGUUGCUAGUGUUUUAAUUAUAAACUGUGUGUGCCAUAGUAGACCAUGAUAAGUAUGUAUUCCUCAUUUCAAUUGCAGCCAGGGAGAAGGCCAUGGUGGUUAAUUUAGAGUUUAUAAAGGCCAUAGUUACAGCCGAAGAGGUUUUGUUGCUUGAUCCUCUUCGGCAGGAGGUUAUUCCAUUUGCGGAUCAGCUAAGGCAACAGCUUCCUCAGAAAAGCCAAUCCAGGAUACAAGAAGCAAGUCCACUCGGUGAAGAAGAUAAUGGAAUGGAUGUUUCAACCGGAAGGCAACGGUUACCUGUUCCCGAGGCCGUUGAAGGUUUGCAGUGUGAUCUCCCAUUUGAGUUUCAGGUUCUGGAGGUUGCAUUAGAAGUUGUCUGUACAUAUUUGGAUUCUAGUGUGGCAGACCUUGAGAGAGAAGCCUACCCUGUGUUAGAUGAACUGGCCAGAAAUGUUAGCACCAAAAACCUUGAACUCGUGAGGAUUUUGAAAAGCAAUCUUACCCGUUUGCUUGCACGCGUCCAGAAGGU